rnacentral:lncRNA from 1 species
UUUUAUUUUUUUUUCUCUUAUUUUCAUAUUUCUUUUGGUUUUUUUUCUUUUAUUUUCAUAUUUCUUUUUUUUACUUUUUUAUUUUGUUCCUUAAUAAAUUUUAUCUUUUUAUUUUUUUUACUUUUUUGAUUUUUUUCUUAUUUCAUUUUGUUUAUUUUGUUUUAUUUUUUAUUAUUAACUUUAAAAAAUUUAUAAUGUAUAUUUAAAAUGUUUUAUAAUACUUUUUUAAAAUUUUAAUUAUUAUUUUUAAAAAUAUUUUUUUAACUUUAGAUAUAUAUUUGUGAAAUUAAUUUUUUAUAUAUUUUAAAAAUAUAUUUUUCAAAUUAAUUUUUUAAAAUUUUAAAUAUUAAUUUUUAAAUAUUAACCAUAUUUUUAAUAAUAUAAAAUCAUUUAACCUUUUAAAAUUUGUAAAUACAAUUUCUUUAAUUUCUUUUUAAAUUUUUUAAAAUUUUUUUUUAAUUUUUGAAAAGUUUAGGGGACCUUAAUAAUAAUUUUUCAUUUUCGGUGGAGCCAUUUCAAAUGGCGCCACCAGUUUUUGUCACCCUUAUUUUUUUUACUUUUUUAUUAAAUUUUGUCUUUUUCUUAAUUUAUUUUCUUUUUUAAGUUUUAUAUUAUUUUCUUAUUUUAUUUUAUUUAUUUAAUUUAUAUUAUUAAUUUUAAAAAAUUGUAAUUUAUAUUAUUAAUUUUUACAAUUUUUUUAAAUUUUAAUUAUUAUUUUUAAAAUUAUUUUUUAACUUUAGAUAUAUAUUUGUGAAAUUAUUUUUUUAUAAAUUUUAAAUAUAUAUUUUUUAAAUUAAUUUUGAAAUUAUUAGUUUUAUAAUAUUUGAAAUGUAUGUUUAAUAUUUUAUUAAUUUUGCAUACAAUUUUUUAAAUUUUAUUUUUAAAUUCUUUUUUAACAUUAGAUAUAUAUAUUUAAGUUUUAAAGUUUAAAUUAAAAUGUAUAUAUAUUUAUUAUAACUAGUCACAUCAUGUUAGUGAUGUGACUAUUAAUAAAUUUAAAUAUUAAUAUAAAUAUUAAAAAAUUAAAUAUUUUUUUAAAAUAUUAAAUAUUUUUUCUUUUUUUAUUGUUUUGUUUUUUUUUAUGUUUAAUUAUUAUUAUUAACUUUAAAAAAUUUGAAAUAUUUUAUUAAUAUAUAUAUUUGUAAAUUUUAGAUAUGUAUUUUGAGAUUAUUUUUAAAAUUUUAAAUACAAUUUUUAAAUACAUUUAAAAAUCAUAAUUUUUUAAUAAUAUAAGAAAUCAUAAUUUUAUUUUGUUUAUUUAUUUUAUUAUUAAUUUUAAAAAUUUUGUAAUGUAUAUUUAAAAUGUUUUAUAAUAUAUUUUUUUACAAUUUUAAAUAUUAUUUUUAAAUUCUUUUUUUAACUUUAGAUAUAUAUUUAAAUUUUAAAGUAUAAAUUAAAAAAUAUAUAUUUAUUAUGACUAAUCACAUCAUGUCAAUGAUGUGACUAUUAAUAAAUUUAAAUAUAAAUAUAAAUAUUAGAAAAAUAUAUAAAAUAUAUAUUUUUUCUUUUUAUUGUUUUGUUUUUUUUUUAAAAAAAUUGUUAUAUAUAUGGGUGGGGCUUGGUCCGCCCUUGUAUAGAUGAAGAGGUUGAAUAAAAAGGUAACGUGGAGCAAAUACGUUAAACUUUUAUUUUUUUGUUUUUAUAUUUUAUAGUUAAUGUAAUAUAAAAAAUAAUUGUAUUGUAUUUUUGUUUUUUUAUAUUAUACAGAUUUUAAGAUGUCUUCUGGAGCAAAUACGGAUCACACUUCAUCGAUGAUCGACGAAACAGUAAAUUUUAUUAUAAAUUAAAUAAAAAAUCGGUUUAGUUUCCCAUUUUUUUUUGCUAAUCACUACUCUGCUGAACAUGUUUUGACUACUUUAAAAUAUUUAUCCCUAAUUAGUUGUUAUUUAGCUUCUGUUGAACAUUUUAGAUUAUUAAUUUGAUUAUACUUUGUAAUACUUUAUUUUUGUUAUAAUUGAUUUAGAUAUACAUUAUUUGUAAUUGUAUUUGUAUACUUUAAAAAAAAAGUUUAGUAUCACUCACCUCCAAACAUCUAAUUUAAUCACACAAAUUAUAAUAGAAUAGAUAUAUUAUAAAAUAAAUUAGGAUAUUUUCAUUUUUUUUAAAUAACUACCCCUUAAAAUCGACUUACUUAAAAUUUUACUCUAUUUUUACUAAUUUCAUACUUAAUUUAUUAGACGGUAUCUAGGGAUUAAUACGGAAAACUAUUACUUAACGAGCUCGAUUUAUGAAAAAAUUCUUUUAAUUUUAAUAUAUAUAUUAUUAAAACAAUAAUAAUAAAAGUGAAUAUAUUUGAUUAUUUACUAGUUAAUUUAUAAAUAACUAGAAAACAUAAGUAUUUGUUUAAAAAUUACUUUAUGUUUUUAAAAUUUAUCAUAUAAAAAAAUAUUAGUAUUCCUUGAAAAACAAUUUUUUGCUAUUACUCACUUUAAAAUUUGAAUAAGAUAUCAUAAAAUUUUAAAAUUAGAAAUAUAUACGUAUUGUAGCCAUUGGUGUCAAAUUGAACUUGCUUGAACCAAUCAUCCUCUCUUCGGUUGCUUUCUGGUUUGGACUUAUUUUUUACACUCGUGGAGUUUGAGUUGCUGCUCAAUGAAUUUCUUUUUCUUGUAAUUUUACUAGUCCCUAGUUUAUAUUCUUGGUAUAGUAUAAGUGUGAUGUUUUUGUUUUCUAAACCUUUCAAAUUUACGAUUGAAUAUAUUUUUUUAUGAUUAAAUUAUAUAGAUAAUGGAUUUAUCGUAUUUUUUAAAAAAAUUUACCAUUCAGGAUGGUUAUCGGGUUUUGAGGUUGCGGUGUCAUUUUCCCAAGUACGAUCCGGACGAGCGGAUCAUGCCAUACUUACGGUUGGCCAGAUUUGGGGACGUCGCAUUGAUCCGGAGGUUUGACUUGAGGCCAAACUUACUAUCCGCCUUGGUUGAGCGGUGGUGUACGGAGACCCACACCUUCAUUAUGCCGUGCGGGGAGUGCACUAUCACAUUAGAAGACGUCGCUAUACAACUUGGGUUACGAGUUGACGUCGCUAUGCAACUUAUUUUAAUAAUAAGGGUGGCAGAAACUGGUGGCGCCAUUUGAAAUGGCUCCACUAGAAAUGAAAAAUUAUUAUUAAGGUCCCCCAAACUUUUCAAAAAUUAAAAAAAAAAGUUAAAAAAUUUAAAAAGAAAUUAAAGAAAUUGUAUUUACAAAUUUUAAAAGUUUAAAUGAUUUUAUAUUAUUAAAAAUAUGGUUAAUAUUUAAAAUUUUAAAAAAUUAAUUUGAAAAAUACAUUUUUAAAAUAUAUAAAAAAUUAAUUUCACAAAUAUAUAUCUAAAGUUAAAAAAAUAUUUUUAAAAAUAAUAAUUAAAAUUUUAAAAAAGUAUUAUAAAACAUUUUAAAUAUACAUUACAAAUUUUUUAAAGUUAAUAAUAAAAAAUAAAACAAAAUAAAAAAAAUGAAAUAAGAAAAAAAAUCAAAAAAGUAAAAAAAAAUAAAAAGACAAUUUAUUAAGGAACAAAAUAAAAAAGUAAAAAAAAAGAAAUAUGAAAAUAAAAGAAAAAAACAAAAGAAAUAUGAAAAUAAAAGAAAAAGAAAACAAAAAGGUGUCAGGCAGAAAAGUGGUGGCGCCAUUUAGAAUGGCUCCACAACUUUUUACUGUAAAAAACAGGUUAUUUUUGUAUUAAUUAAAAAGAUGAGUUAUUUUAAUAAUUAAUUUAUUUUUUUUGAGUUAAUUUAAUAAAAAAGCCUGAAAAUCAACUAUAGAGGGUCCCAUUUUAAUUAUUAUUUUAAGUUACUUUUACUUUUUGGAUCAUUUCUUUAAAGAAUCCACUUUUAUAGAAAAUGGGCUGAAGAAGCCCAACAAAAAUAUAGUAGUUCAAAGGUCAAACUUAAUACAAAAAUCUUAGUUUAGUUAGUAUUAGUAUUGUUAUAAGAGAACGUGUAUUUAAGUGUAUUUAAUACGUUUUAUUCUCCUAUUUUGAGUUCAAGAGGAACUAUAAAUAAUUCUAGGCAUUUUAUUCUCCUAUUUUAUAAUUCAAAAUUUGAAACAAGUCAUUUUGUAUCAAUACCAUUAUUUAAAUAUCGAAACCCAUUCCCAAUGAUCAAUACUUUAUACUGGUAUAUAUGCAAAAUUAGCAUUUUAUCGUUUUAAAAUAUUGUUCAUUUGAUUAAAUAUUGAUACUCUUAUCCAAGGUAUCGAUACUUAAUGUCAAAAAUGUCAAAAUUAUCACAUUUUAGUACUUAUUCAUACUCAAAUCAAAUGAUACCUAAAAUGGUGCCUUAAACACCAUUAUAACCUGCACAAAACCAUUUAUAACACAAUACAUAUAAUCAUCAAAAUGUCAUUAUCUUAAAUGUUCAUAUUCGCUAUAAUUCAAACAUAUUUGACAUCACAAUUCAUUUGACACUCCUAAGUACAUGUCAUAUAUAACCAAAUUCAAAUGAUUAAAAAUCUACUAAAAUAGGAGAUGGAUAGUAUAAGCUCCUUAAAGAUUCAAUUGACACAAUUCAAAAGACCAAAAUCUACAGGAAAAGAAAAGAAUGAGUAAACAUUAUAAAAUGCUUAGUAAACUUAUAUGUAAAAAAAAAAUAACUUACCUCAAAUAACAAGUACAUAUGAAAAAUUAACACGAAUAAUAAAUUUUACCCAAGUCAUCAAAGCACAAUAUAACAAGGUGAGUUAUAUUCAUAUUCAAACUAACCCCAACUCAUUUAUUCAAAAUUGACAAUAGACUAGGAUAUCUUGAGCAUUUACACAAUUCAUCUCAUUUUCAUUUCACCUUUCAUAUUACUGUAUUACCCGAUGAAACCCAAUAAACAACUCAAUAACAUAAGCAUUAAUUUCAUCAGAGGCUCAUUUGAGUUGAGCAUACAAUCGUGUCUAGUUACUCGUACAGGCUAAAUUUUUAUAUUGGCACAUCAAAUAGUUUGGCUAGAGCUAUAAAUACAUGUAAGAUUACCAGUCCAAGGCUAAACCUUUAAAACGACAAUAGAUUACCAAUCUAGGCUAAAUCUGUGUCACAUGUAUUUUCGAGUUCGCAACAAAUGCUGGAGCUUGGUAUAAUCGGAAAUCAACCUAUAAUUGUGAGUAAGAUACAUUUAUGAGAUUUCAUCAGGGUAGUUUUCGUUGUACAAGUUCAUAUUUAUCCGUUUUCAAAUUAAAUCCAAAUCUCACCCAUUUUGUACUAAAUUGCAAGCAAAUCAAAGUUCAUUAAAAUUAUAUAUAUUCACAUUAUAACAUACAUAAGGUGCAAAAUAUAAAUAUACCAUAUGACCUUACUUGACAAAAUCAACAGUCUAAUUGUACUACAGAAGCUAAUCAAUAAUUUUCCCUUUUCCCGGAUUAUCCUCGACUUAGAGUCAAAUCUUGACCCAUAUAGUAAUUAAUUUCAAACUAUCAAUUCCAAACAUUCCACAACAACAUAAUAUUAUAAUAUAUUAGUUCAAUUUCAUUUGUCGAAUAUUUCCUCAACUUUUAUAUUUUAUUCAAUUUAGUCCUUAAAACCCAAUUUUGUCAUAACUUUCAAAAUUGAGCUUUGAUUUUGACAUUGAUCUCAAUUUCAUCUUCUACAGCUCUCUAACACUUAUAAUUAUAGAAAUUUCAUGCCAAAUUCAAACUUAUUACAUUUUAGUCUCUAUGUUCAAAUACAUAUCUAAGCUUAUAAUUGAUCAGUUUAAUACUAAAAGCUUCAAUAUUCAACAAUGACAACAUUUCAAUUCUUCAAAUUCUUUAACAGUUUUGAAAAUCAACACACAGGAUAGCUAAAUCAAACUACAACGAUCUCAAAAAUAUAAAAUUUACGAAAAGCAGGUCAAUUUAAGCUUACCAUGCAAGAAAGUAAAACUUGGCCGAAUAUAUGAAGCUUAACAAUGGCUUCACUUGUUUUCUUCCCUUCCAAACGGUGGUAAAAUGCAAAGUGGAAGAUGAUGAUAAUUAUUUUUAUGUUUUAACACUUUAAUUAUUAAUUUAAUAAUAAUUUUAAUAUAAUUUAUUAAAAUAAAACUCAACCAACCUCCCACUCAUAUUAAAAAGUAGUAAAUUGCCACUUUAAACCUUAAACAAUUUCCUUUUAAGCCUUCCAUCAAUAAAAAUUUAUACCGAUUAAUUUUUUCAAUUUUAUAAAUUAAUCCUAGUACCUCAAUCACUAACUAUUUAAUAAAAUUAUUGGACCGAAAUUCUAUAUAACUCUAUAAUAGACUCAUAAAUAUUAAUAAAUAAUAUUUAUUGACUCAAAUUUAGAAAAUCGAAAUCUGAAAUUACUGUUUUUGAUACCACUGAAAAUAGACUAUUGAUGAAAACCAUUGAAUACAAACAUGAUCCUUAUCAGUCUCUCAUUGUCAGCCUAAAGUUGGGCAACAAAAUGAGGGAGAGGUCUUGAGGUUGUUAUGCCUAAUGCAUAAGACAAGCAAAAGGAAAUAAAAUGGUUAGCUAGCAGGUAGGGGUGAGCGGCUCCGAUCCAUAAGGCGUGCGGUUGCUCACAAAGAAGCUUACAUUGCUUCAAUUUCACCAAUCCACGUCUACAUCACCAAAAAAGGGAAAAAGAUUCUCAAAAUAUGGAACUAAUAAAAGGCUUAAUUUAACAGGAGGUCCUUAAAUUAUGUCUUUUGUUUAAAUUAGGUACUUAAUUUUUUUUGUGAACCGGGUACAUAAAUUAUAAUUCCAUAAUCAAUGUUGGUCCCUAUUGUUACUCUAUGUAAGAAAAACUCAUAGUAAAUUAAAGUGUAUACAUGAACUUUAAUUUGGUGCAAUUGUACACGUGAAAUUUUAAUUGUGGUUCAAAUGUAUAUUUGAAACUUUAAAUUUGAUUUAAUCAUACACAUUUAAAGAAAUAAAUACAUCAAUUUAUUUUUAUAUUGGAUAAAUAUAAUUAUUUAUGUAUGCAAUAUAUAAACAUAAAACGACGUUAUAUUAAUAAUUAUGUUAAUAAUUUACAAGAAUUGAAUUAAAUUAAAAUUCAUGUAUAUAAUUACACAUAAAACCAUAGUUGAUAUAUAAUUUUAAUUUUUAUCCCUAAAUAAAUAUUUGAGAGAUGAGAGGGAGAAGAUGGAAAAAGGGAGGGGGAUAUUUUUUAUUUUAUUCAAUAUUAAUAUAAUUAUUUUUAUUAUUUUUUAUUUAAUUAAAUUUUAAUGAUGUGACAUUUCUUGAUUGACGGUAAUAAAGUUUUUUUUUAACCGAUACAAUGAUAGAUGGCAACAUUAGCUACGGAAAUAAAAUUUAGAUACUUCUUUCAACUAAUUUUUUUUUAAAAUAUCUAACUCAAACAAAUGGUAUAAUUUAAUGGCUUCCGAUUUAGUUAAACCUUAAAAAAAGAAAGCAAAAUUUAAAAUACCAAUUUAGAAGAAACCAAAUGGGAAAUCCAUUAAAAUAAAAUUGUUAAAAAAAGAAAAUAAUUAUCCUACAAUUAUUAAAAUAAAAUUAUUUAUAUCCAUAUAAUCACAAAUACUUUGGAACGAAACAUGCAGCUGGCAAGUAGCUGGCAGCUCAUUUAUGACCGUUGGAUUUGGGCCAAAUCAUGAUUGAUUUUUUGUGCUAAAUUAUUAAGGGUAAACUACACCCAAGGUCACUAAACUAUUAGUAAAUUUACGUUUUAGUCACUCAACUUCAAAAAUUUAUAAAUUAGCUAGUAAAUUAUUUGACAGUUUUCAUUUAAUUCGCCAAACUAUUCAAGAGAUUUUAUUUAAGUAACUAGACUGUUAAGUUUUUUUUAAUAAAAAAUCUGAUCAACAAGCUCCAACGACUAUUCGACAAUCGGUGUGGUGGAUUAAUACCCAUCUAUGAGUAGAACAACAUACCUUAGAUCUAAAUUAAUUUGGCAGUUAGUGCUAAAUAUCGAAGAAGAAAAGCUGAAGUGUAAAAGAGAAGGAUAAUGAAAGCUUUUGAUUGGUACAAAUCGUGCAAAAAGGAAAGACCAUACAACAAUAAUUUUAACAGUUCAGUGGCUUAAAUAAAUUUUUUUGAAUAAUUUAGUGAUAAUUUCUUAAGUUUUUAAAGUUAAAUGAUUGAAACUUAAACUUACUAAUAGUUCAGUGAUCUAAGAUGUAGUUUACCCAAAUAUUAAAUAGUCAAGUAAACGCCUUUUUCUUUAAGUAGGGCUGACGUCUGGUUGGCCCAUUGAAAAAUAAUUCCCAGCCGACGGCCCUUUAGUAAUUAUCAACAAUUUACCUUAAAAACCCAAAAUUCUUCUAUCCAAUCAAUGUCCUCCACGUAAACAUUCUGUGACUGACAUUCCGUAACAGGCAGUGAUUAAAUCAAACACUCCCUCGUCUUCAACUACUCCACAAAGAGGAAAAUUCAACGAAGCUGAAAAAUAAUACACAAAGUCAUUUUGAAGCUUUCGUUUGAAAAUUCCCAAUUGCUUUACCAGUACAAAGUCCGGUACAAUUUUCUAUUUUUCUUUAUGUUUUAAUUUUUAAUUUUGUUUUAAAUUCGCCGAUCUUCGUGCGAUUCUGAAGAAAUUUCGUUGUUUUUAAAAAAAAAUAAAUUUUGCUUUUUUAGAUGAAGUUUAUUUGUUGUUGAAAUGUUUUUUAGGUUAUAAUUUGUUUUUUUAUAUUUUUUUGUUAUUAAUUAACAAAGUUUUAACAGAUCUGUGGAGAAUUUUUGUUUCUGCUUGGUUUAAUCAGUCGUUUGGUUUAAGGAUAUAAACUUUAGGUAAGUUUUCUUGGUUUUUUGGUUUGACUUUAUCUUUUUGCUUCAGGUUUAUGAGAUCUGCUCUAGCUUUCGUGAUAUCUGACUUUUGAAUUUCGAUUUUUAAGGAUUUAUUUUUAGAGAUUUGAUUUUCAGGGUUUCCUUGAAAUUUUUGGUUUGGAAUUAUUUUAUUCUGUAUAGAAAUGACUUGGCUGUUUCUCUGUAUGAAGUUUUUUCCUCAUGUUCAUGGAGGAAAUCAAUCAAAUCAUGUAGAAGUAGAAUUAGGCCUAGCUAGGAUGGAUAACCUGAGAGAAAAUAAGGCAACUAAGGAGAUCUCGAUGUAUUUGUUAUGAUUUAUUGUUACACCAUAUCUUUUGCAUUUUUUUAUGAUUUUGAUGUUGAAUAUAUGGUCUUGACUGCCAUCAAUAAUUUGGUUGAAUCUACAAAAUUCAGUACUGAUUUGAUGCUUAUCAGGUAUGAUGUGGUUAGAUCUGUUCGGUAUGGUAUUGGACAUGGUUUCAAGUUAAUUUCUCUUUAUUCUUGGAUGGUUGAACUAAUGGUCUAAUUGUUAUUAGUGAGAUGAUGUCAGUUUCAAGCUUUGCCCUUGCUUGCAUAGUAUAAAGAUGAAACUUAUGGAAACUUCAGGGUGUUCGAUGUCUGUUAUAAACAUGGAAUUAUUGACUUGAUUUGGUUUAUCAAGUAUUAUUUCAUUUUGAUGAUUGACUUUGUUCUUGAUCUUGCAGUAAAUACAUCAAAAUGAGCCGUCCUCAAGAACCACAACGCUCUUUCUUCCAUUUUGGAAAUCCUUUCCGUUCACCAAAGGGUUCUCAUUUGCCUCCAGGACUUCUUUCUUUAUUGGAUAAGUUUGAGAAAACCUUGUCAGAGAGGCUGCAGAAACUUGUGCCUAAAGACAAGAGUGACAUCCUUAGCUUGUCAUGGAUGAAACUAGCAAUGGGAUCACUUUCCGAGAUUCACCGUGACAUAAAAGACCUGAUAACUGAGCUUGAGAUCCCUGUGACUGAUUGGGAUGAGAAAUGGAUAGAUGUGUAUCUGGACAUCAGUGUAAAGUUGCUUGAUAUUACUAUUGCUUUUACCUCUGAACUUACAAGGCUCAACCAAGGCCAUCUCUUACUUCAGUGUGUCUUGCAUAAGUUGGAAUCCAACUCCCCAGAUCAGUUCCUGCGGGCUUGUUCCUCACUUCAUAGCUGGAGAGAGCAAAUUCGCUCAAAAAAUCCCAGAGUUGAAACAUGUCGUCCUGUACUGGACAACCUUGUGGAAUCAUUGGACUUGCCGAAGGUAAGGAACUCUGCUAAGGGGAAGGUUCUGAUGCAUGCAAUGUACGGAGCUAAGGUGGCGACCACAUAUAUCUGUAGUGUCUUUGCCGCAGCUUUCUCUAGUUCUACUGAUAAUUUGUUAGAUUUGAAUUCGACUGUUCCUGCUACACUGCCAUGGGCACAAGUUUUCUAUAAUGUUCAAACAACUGUGAGUACGGAAAUUAAAAAUAUAUUUUCUCGUGGAGAAUUUACGGUUCUUAGAGAACUUCUUGCUGUUGAUAAUUGGGCCAAUAAAUUGUAUCCUUUGCUUCAAGACGGGUUCAGUCCUGCUCAAGAGGAAUCGUUCAAGCAUUCCGUUUCUGAAUUGAGGAAGACAGCAGAGGAGCUAUCGCAAGGGCUGGAUAAUCUUUCAAAGGUAGUAGAUGACUUUUUCAAAAUAGUUUUGUCUGGGCGUGAUGCUUUGCUUUGUAAUCUAAGAGCAGGUUGUGCUUCCCCAAAUUCAGUUCUGGGAAGAAACACAGACGAGCAAAUUGUGAGGUGAAUUAUGAAUGAAGUAAAGCUAAACUCUUCUGUAUACAGAUGGUUUAGGUAUGAGACCUGCUGUUUUCUAACUAGGGAUAUACAACCUUGUUUGGGUAAUGAAAGUAUUUAUUGUGUGAGUUGUAAGGUGUGUUAUACUAUAGUACUUGUUUGUACAUGUAUUUGGACCAACCUAUGUCAAAUGCUAUAUAAAAAGGGCUUAUAUUUGUUUGCAAAUGCUUGCUUCUUAUUGUUAUCAAUCACCAGUUUCCUAGGAUAUCACUUAUUCAUUUUUCACAUAUAUAACAUGUUUUCUGAAGUAAAACAUUAAGUAGAUGAUAUGGUCGGAUAGAAGCUACGAAAAUCUCUAGCUGUGUAUUUCUGGGUUUUUUUAAUUAAUAUAUGCAUUAUUUUUCUUUCAUCGGGAUAUUAUUCUAUUUCUUUUUCCUCAGAGUCAUUCUCAAGGAUGAUAUCUUCAUUUGACAGCACAGCAAGCUUAGCUCUGACCAUUUUCAUGAUCCCUGGCUUGAGUGCUGAGAAGAUCCUCAGGUUGUAUCUAUUAUGGUAAUAUGAAGAGAUAAAAGUAACAUUUAGUCCUUGAACCUGGUAGCAUUUUUCAGUUUUGGUCCAUGUGAUGACUCACCUAAAAAUUAUCACAGGGAUCGAAAUUGAGAAAAGUUGUCAAGUUUCAAGUCUAAUAUGAAACUGGGAAGAUAGUAUGAAUUGCAUGUUUAAUCUAUUGGAUAGUAUUGUUGCAGAUGCAGCGGCUGGUGGUACUAUAUAUACUAUUCUUUGAUAGAAUGGUUCAUGGGACUGACCACCGCCCGAGAGCCUGGUGGCUUGUGCAGAUUGGCACUUGACCAUGGCUUGCUUACUUUUGGUUGAAGGACUUGGAGCCAUAUUAAAUGGCUCUUAUUGGCCGAAAGAAAGCAAAAGCUUUAAUGGCUUUUGGGGUUAUGGCUAUGGAUUUAGGAGUUAUGAUUGGGCCAAAUGCUGGAUCUGGUAGACUUUAAUGUAAGGGGUACAGUGUGGUUGGAAUCGGACUAAACCGGUUUUUAAGUUAAUAUCAAUAGGUGGUUGAGUUGAUUUAUAAUUUUUCAAUAUAUAUAUUUUUAUAAAUUUUAAAUAAUUUAUAUAAUUAUUGUUGAAUAAAUAUUUAAAUAAAUAGAAAUAGAAAUUAGUGAUUUAAUUUUUGAUACAUUAAGGGUGCGUUUGGUUCGCUGUAUUGGAUUAGAGGUGUAUUGGAUUAGAGGUGUAUUGGGAUUAGAGGUGUAUUGGAUUAGUGGUGUAAUAGCUAAUCCACUGUUUGGUUGAAUGUAAUGGAAUAGAGGCGUAAUAGUAAUCUUGUGUUUGGUUGAAUGGAAUAGAGGUGUAAUAGCAUAAUGGAAAAAACUAAAAUGACUAGAAUACCCUUAGCAUAAAAUUAUUUUGGUAAAUGAUUAUUGUUAUUGUUAUUUAAAUUUUAAUAAGAUUAUUAUUAUCAGUAAUAAAUAAUUUAAUCAUAUUUUAACAUAAUUAUUAUUAAAUAUAUUUUAAUUAAAAUAUAUAAUUUAUAAUUUAUAAUAAAUUUUCACAUUAUAUAAUUAUACAAGUUUAGAUACAGAUGUAACAUAAAGUUUUAUGCAUGACUAUUUAUUUGGUGUGUUAAUAAUGAAGUUUUUUAAUUUCAUAUUGGGGUUAAUAAAUCAUUAAAAGUUUUCUUAAUUCAUAUGUUUUUUUUUAAAUAAAAAAAAAAUCGAUAUAGCUUUGUUUGUGAAAUUGGACUGUAAGUGUACUAAAUAAUAAUAAGAUGCAAGUGGUGCAGAGUGAACGUAGAAGUUUUAUACGCGUAAAUUUGUUGAAUCGAAUAAAUCCCAAUAACAAUAGCCGUGAUUCAAAUAAACUCAGCUUGAAUUCAAAAUGAUUUUACCCAAAAAUUGAUUCUAACAAUUAAUCUUUUUAAGGAUGUCUACUUAAAAAGUGCAGACAUAAAAGUUGUUAUUUUGAUGAAUUUGGAGACGUUAAAUAUUCGUCUCGCGCGCACUUUUAGUUCGGUAUUGUGAUUUAGUUAAAAAUUUGAAAUUAUUACUCUUUUUUGGUAAAACAAAGAGUUGGAACAGAUGGUAAAUAGCAUAAUCAGACAACAAAGGUCAAUAAUCAUCCAACAUUUGAUUCCUAUCAUUCCAUUCUCAAGCUAAUUCGAAAAGAAGACGGUUCCUCAAGCUUGAAAGCUCUUUUCAGUCAACCUCCUAUUUCCUCUUGUCCGUUUAUUUACCUUGGAUUUUAACUUUAAGCGUCCAAUUAUACCUUCCUUCUGGGAGCGGUAUGGAUUUUGGCAUCCGCAAUUGCACAUCAAACAGUCCAAAUGUUUCCAAAGGUGUUGGAAGGUGCAGAUUUUCAGGAUCAAUUUGAACGCAAAGCUGCCUUCCAACCUGAAAUGGAAUAAAAGGAGGAGAUUAAUCGAGUGCGUAAAUGGAAAUAACAAAAUCAUAACAUUUCAAGUCCACAUCUUAAACGUUUUAUGAUUAAGCUAUGUCACUUGGACUUGAAGCGAGUGUUUGACAUGGGUUUAUUCAAUUUGCUCCAAGUUUACUCACAUAUUUGGAGGAUAUAACCAUGUACAUAUCUAAAUACGCGUCGAACAUAAAUACUUCAGAAAAAUAAGAGUCCGAAUAACAUAGCAUAUAACACAAGGAGAUUGUCUAUUGUAGUGACGUGAGAGAAACUAUUACUAUCAAUAAAUAUCAUGGCCAUACCUCAGCAACAAUUUCAUCUUUUGUCACAGGUGAGCGCAAUUCAAUUGGGUCAUCUUUGGUCGAUUGGGCACGAAACUUUUCAACAUUGAUAGAUCUCCUCAAUACCUAUAAAAUGCAAUACAAGUUACACACUCGUACCACAAAGAGCCUGACAUAAAUACAAUUACUGUUUUCAAGCUUCAACAAACUUUUGAAAAAGAUUCACCACUAACAAGUUGAAUCAAUUAUGACUAGUCUAGUGGCAACUUGUUGUAUGUGGGUUCAAGUGUUGGCAUGCUAUCUAGGGUUUGAACCUUGUGAAACCCCAUCCUCCUCCCACUUAGAAUGUAAUGUAAGCUUUGCUUGUACCAAAAAAGAAUUUAAACAAGUCUUAAUUUAAAAUUUGACACCAUUGUUAUCCCACAUAUGCCUAGUUCCACUAUUGUUAGCCUAACCAUAGAAGAGGCAGGUCCAAUGUUUCAGUCCCACACACCUUGACCUUGUUUCCCCAAACCCUUUAAAAACACACACAUACAAACAUUGUUGAGAGGCUGUUUUUUGUGUAUUUCCAUGUGUUGGGAGGAAGGCAGAUAAAGUAUCAGACAUUUAAACCAGAAAAAAACAUUUACGAAAUUAAGGGCUUCAUAGAUGGGAACUAACCAGCCGGCCAUUAAGUAGACGAUAUGCAGCCUUUUCAUAUACUUUGCUCUUAUCUUCCAUAUUCUUUGUAACUACUUGAACCUCUUCUUCCUUCGGUUGAUAAAUCUGAUGAGGAAGUAUACCACUGGUAAGUUAUCAUUUAACUGAAAAUGAAAAGCACAAUAUCCCACAUAUCAGAAGUGACUCCACCAAAUAAAGACUUUCAAAACAGUAACUUAAUUUGACAAAACUACAUAAGCAGAAUGUGCAUCUGAAAUAAGGAAUGGAUUUUUACUUCAUCAAUAUCUAAUAUCCAUACGCAACAUAUGAAUCCUCAAUAAGAGUGAGAGAGUGAGAGAGAACGCAAGAUUUAAUAUACUUGCAGUUGGAGACAUGUUUCCUCCUUAAGGCUGAAAUAGCAGAUAAUACAUGUCUAAGAAAAGGCAUUACUUAUAUCAUAACAAGCAAAAUCUAACCAAAAACCAACAGCAAUAUGAAAACACUGUUACUCAGACUCUUCAUUUUCCUAAAAAACCUGUGUCAGACACAUUCGGAUAUAAAUAUGUGUAUGAUCUUCUAAAUAUACAGAAAAACUUAGAAAAAACAAGUAUACUUGUGUCGAACACUUAAUUGUAUCUAGCACUCACCCCCUAUGUUAGAUGGACUAUUCAUUUCUGUAAUAUAUUUUUGUCCGAUACAUAUACAGACAUAGUAUAGAGAUAUACUCCUCCAAAUACAAGAAAAAAACCUUAAAAGCAACAUAUACUCAUAUCGGUCACAUUCACAUAUCCAAAUCCACUCCCAAGUCCAGCCAACAUAGCUUACCCCAUAAUCCGAGCAACAAACUGAAAACGUUCUACCUUUAUGUCAAGCUUGUUUUUCCUUGAACGUGUCAUGACAAAAGGUUCAUGAGAGACUUAGGUAAUGCAUACAGAUGUGUGUGUUUAAGGGAAAACAAAUUGAUGCAUAUUUGUUUGUAAAUUAACAAUACGAUUAUGAUUAAUAUCAACUGAAAAACUUCUUUUUAUAAACAAACAGCAUUGCAAGAACACAUGUUUCAAGCAUCAAACACAAACUAAAAGAGAGAAGAAAGCGACCUUACGCUGCUCCUUAAUGAGAUAAGCGAACUUAUCAAUAUUAGGAACAGUAAGCAAUUUCGGCAUCAGAUGAUUGCGAAAAUAACCAGGAGCGACUUUGACAGUCUCACCAACUUUGCCAAGUUUCUCAAUGCUCUAAAAAAUGGAAGCAAAAGCAAACGUGAAUGAUAUUUUGCAAUCUGAAACAACAAAAAAUUGAGAAAAGAAAAAGAUUAUUGGAUCGAAAUGACUCACCGUCGUAAGAAUCACAUCCAACUUUCUGUAUCUAAUUCCUUGACAAGCAUAGAACAGAGGUUGCAUCAAACGAUCAUGGCUUUGCUGGACAUUCGUUUCUUUGAUAAUUUACCGAAGGGCAUGUCUUCCAUACUGGAUAUAAGCCAUUAAUUUCCUAACUUUGUGGGGGGCUCUAAAAUAUAAAAGGAAUUUAACGGUGAGGGAAGAGGUUCAUGCACGGAAGACCUUUUGCCUAAAAUUUCACGACAGAAUAAUCAACGGAAGAAGUGGGAAAUGGGAGGAGAAAAUGAUUAGGACGGAAGAGGAGAGGGUCGGGUAGGGAGGGAGGGUAAAACAGGGAGAUGGGGAGGGAGGCCGGAAGUAAUAGCUAAUACAGCGAAAAGGGAAGGGAUUGGAAAACACGGGAAUUUGGGGAUUAGGGGCGUAACCGAUUACGCGCGUAAUACCUAUUACAGCGAACCAAACGCCGGAAUAGGGGCGUAAUGUAAUACGCACGUAAUCGGGGCGUAAUGGAUUGGGUAAUACGGCGAACCAAACACAGUGUAAAUGUGGGUUUUAGUUUAUCUGAUAUAACAUCAUCUGCUAUCUGCUUAUCCCUGGAAAUGCGAUGGUGGAAUUAUGAUGCAUAUAAUUUUAUGCAACAAUCAUUAAAAUUAAAUAAAAAAAAGAAGCUAAAUAAGUUUUAAAAUUUCCUAAUGGUUCAGAAUCAUCUUAUUCACUAAUAGUAUGUAGAAAUAAGUUAAUUUAGUUUUAAAUUAUUUUUGAUGAAUUGUUCUCAUUUAAUUCUACAUAAAAUUAUAUUCCUUUUUCGAUACUGAUUAUAUUAAUUGAUAUAAUAUAAAAAUUUUGAUGUUAAAUCAUUGCCUCAGUAUCAACUUAUGCAUAUGAACUCAUAUUUCUUAAUAUAAAACUUGUAAUAUUGUGUUUAACUUUUUUUUUUUGUAUUUAAAGUAAAAUAUAAUAAUUUAAUUAAAUUAUUCGACCUAAAAUUAUUAAUACUCGAACAUUCUACCAAAUAUAAAUUCAUUAUGAAUUUGCUUAUAUAUUAUUAUUAUCACUGUUAUUUGGUAGACUUUACCAAGUAGUUUAAUAUAGAAUUAAAUAUGUAAACCUGGAUUCAAAAGAGUUAAUACAAAAUAAAAUUAUUAAAAUAAAUAAAUUUUUAUUUUUAUUUUUUUAAAAAUUAAUAAAAUAAUAAAAAUAUAUUUUAAAUAUAUAGUACAAUUUCAUUAGAGAAAAUUUCCAACAUAACUUCAUUGCUCUAAACUUUGUAUGAAGACGAGAAUAACUUCGAGUGUGACGAGCUUUGGACAAAAAUCUUAUCUUUUCACUGCGAUUAACACAAUGCAGAAUAGAAUCCAAAUUUUAUUAUUGGGGCAUUUAAUCUUUAGCACCUUUAAGAAUAAUCCAAUGAAAAAGAAAAAACCAUCAAAAUCAAAUAACACAGAAAGAAAAAAAAACUCUAUCAGAAAGUUGAAAUCUUCACGAGAAAAGCUCUUUUUUUUCCAGUUCAAAAGGUUCCCACUCAUGACUUUUAUCGUCUUUGCAAUAAAUUUGAAAAUUAAUAGUAAACCCAAGACGAAAUUUUCUCUCUGAAUUUUGCAGGAAUUUUUUUUUUUGGGUGGUUGGAGUUUGGGUCCGGGUUGAACUAAAAUUCGGAUCAAGAAAGCAUGUCAAUAGAAUCAAGGUCUGGGUCAGCUGAUCAUGGUAUCAAAGGAGUAGCAACUCAUGGUGGAGGCUAUAUUAAGUACAAUGUUUAUGGUAGCCUUUUUGAAGUUUCCAGAAAAUAUGUUCCUCCUAUUCGCCCCGUCGGUCGUGGCGCUAAUGGCAUUGUCUGGUAAGAAAUUAAAAAAGGGGUUAAUUUUGCUAUUUUGAUUGAGUUUUUGUUUAUUUCAUGAUCUGGGUUUUUCUUUUGUCUUGAGGUUGCAUAUGAUAAUGUUGAUUUUCUGUGUUUUUUUUAUAUACUUCUUGAUUUUAUUAAGUUAUUUUUAGAUUGAUUGAACUUUGCUGUUGGAUUUUGGAUUCUUUUGAGAGGGGUUUCGAAGUGUCUGUCAUCCGGAGCUAAUGGAUCCUAUAAUGAGUCGGUAUCAUUUCUGAGUCUUCAGACACUAGAGAACCCGAAUGCUUGAAAAAAUCAAGUGACACAGGUUCACAAAAUAAGAGUGCCUUACUAGGUCGGACUGUGCGUGGUGCAGAAAGCUUGACCAAAUGGUAUCACUCCUCCCUUCUAGUGACCUAUAUCCUAUAGCUUAGGUUCAAACCUUCCUUUGGGAGGUGACCAUAUGCCAUGUACAGUUCGACCUAGCAGCAAGGCACUCUGGCUCUCUAAAUCCAUGCUCUAGACGAUCUCUUCAAGCACUUAGGCUUUCCGCAGGAUCACGAGACAAACUUUCGACUCAACCCGAGAACAAGACUGGCCUAUUGAGGUGUCCAAUGGCUUUGGACGGACGACACUUUGAAGACUUAUUUGGAAGGAGUCGGCUUUCCCUCGGCAAGCUUAUUUCAUGGUGAAUUAAUUUAAUGAAUUGACUGACCUUAGCCUUUGGUUACUUUCAUGUAGUGUUGAGAGUGCGUGACCCUUUGACUGGCUUUCAUCAGCAUUUUUAGCUGUAUUUUUGCAGUGUGUUACCCUUCUAAAUGAAAAAUGAAUCUAAAGCUCAAGUUUUGGCUGUAUUAAGGCUUGCUGUCUUUAUGUUAUUAAUAAUAUGAAGCUAAGAUGCCAUUGUUGCUCCUCUGUUUGUUCUUUUUAGUGCCGCCGUGAAUUCAGAGACACGAGAGGAGGUUGCUAUCAAGAAAAUCAGCAAUGCAUUCGACAACAGGAUCGAUGCCAAGAGGACAUUGCGAGAAAUCAAGCUUCUUCGUCACAUGGAUCAUGAGAAUGUAAGUGUACUUUUAGCUCUAUAAUUUCACAUGCUUCACCUAUUCGAUGGAUGUUUCGAAAAUGUCGUUUAAGUCAACAAAACCGUAAUCCUUAUGCUUCUUGCAUGCUACGAGGGGUCAGCUUCCAUAGGAAGAUAUUCGAUUUUUGUAAGAUAGUUUUAACUAUUAAACAAGGACUAAGCUUCUAAUAUUAUGCAUGAUCUAAAUGUUCAUAUCAGAAACUUUUUCCUAUCGUAUUUAUUGAUGCGCCAAUGGAGGAACAGGUUUAUGAUAGUUUCCUACUCCUAGGCUCGACCAAAGUGGUUAAUCUCCGAUUGUGGAAUUUAUAGUUGAAAUGGUUGGUCCUUUUCUUCUUCAGGUGAUCGCCAUUAAAGACAUCAUCCGGCCUCCAUUAAAGGAGAACUUUAAUGAUGUCUACAUUGUUUAUGAACUUAUGGACACUGAUCUUCAUCAAAUCAUACGAUCUAGCCAGUCGUUGACGGAUGAUCAUUGUCGGGUUGGUACCAAUAUUCAUACUGGUUAUUGUGUUAUUUAGAUAGAAACAUUAUUUGAUUCUGUAGGCAAAUUAGAAGCUGGACGAUUGUUGAUUAUGCAUUGUUAGUUUUGCAGUACUUCUUAUAUCAGGUUUUACGAGGGCUGAAAUACGUACAUUCAGCAAAUGUUUUGCACCGUGAUUUAAAACCGAGUAACUUGCUUCUGAAUGCGAAUUGUGACCUUAAAAUCGGAGAUUUCGGACUUGCGAGGACAACAUCUGAAACUGAUUUUAUGACAGAAUAUGUAGUUACUCGUUGGUACCGGGCACCAGAACUGCUUCUGAAUUGUUCUGAAUACACUGCCGCAAUCGAUAUUUGGUCGGUGGGUUGCAUUCUCGGUGAAACCAUAACUAGACAACCCCUCUUCCCCGGCAAAGACUAUGUGCAUCAGUUGAGGCUUAUCACAGAGGUAUGUUAUCUACAAUCUCCCGAGAAACUACCUGAAAGCUCUUCGGAUGGUCUGUUACUGGUGGCCCCUUUAUUAUAAGGUUCUUAGUUUGAUUUUGCUUUGUAUGCAAAAUGCAUUAUCUCGGAUCCAUUUAGCUUAAUUCUGUAAAAUCAACAUUGACUCUACCUUCCUGCGUGAUCGUUAUUUGCUUGCUCUUUUCUAGUGCUGUUUUUUCUGACACUAUGUAAUUUCCUUUUCCUUGGAAUAUAGCUUAUAGGUUCACCCGAUGAUUCAAGUCUUGGUUUCCUUCGAAGCGAGAACGCUAGAAGAUAUGUUAGACAGCUUCCGCAAUAUCCAAAGCAAAAUUUCUCUACUAGAUUUCCUAACAGCUCGUCUGGUGCUGUUGAUUUGCUCGAGAAGAUGCUUGUCUUUGAUCCCCAUAGGCGCAUUACGGGUACUAUAAAUUGCUUAUUUCUCUAUGCUACUUCAAAAUAGCACUGUUCCAAGUUUCUUUCAAGCAAAAGUUCCGAUCCCAUGCUUAGUUCGGAACAAGCAUCGGAAUCGAACCAAAUCAUCCCUUAUCCUCCUUUUGCUAACAUCCUUUUUCGUUGCAGUUGAAGAGGCUCUAUGCCACCCGUACUUGGCACCUUUCUAUGACAUCAACGAAGAGCCCAUUUGCCCGAGGCCGUUCAAUUUUGAUUUUGAGCAACCGUCGUUUACCGAAGAAAACAUCAAGGAGCUCAUCUAUACAGAAUCUGCAAAGUUCAAUACAGAACCAAUUCAUUGAGACUUUUGUGUGUUUGUAUAUGCCAUUUAAGGGUAAAACUACAAUGGAGCUUUUAUACUACGAGUCAAGUUAUAUUUUGUUUUUUUUACUAAAAAAAAACAAAUUAAUCUCUGUAUAUUAAAUUAAAGAGCAAACAGGUCCUUUCUAUUAUAAUUUUUAUCAAUUUUUAUUGUUAAAAACUGAUAUAGAUGACAAUAAUUAGACAGUUACAUUUGACGUGUCAUGUGUAAUUUAUAUUAACAUAUAGAGACUAGUUUUUAACAGUAAAAAUGGAUGAUUUAUUUAAUAGAAUGAUCAAUUUAUUCUUUGAUCUAACGUUUAAAGAUUAAUUUACUCAUUUUUUAGUAUGAGACAAAAUAUAAUCUGACUUUUAGUGCAAUAACUUCUACAAUACUUUUACUAUGAUUUAAGUGUACUUAGUGAAUGUUUUUUUUUAAAUUCAAUACUUGGUGACUUUUAUAACAUCCUCAAAACUCCCGUGGUUGUAAAUAAUAUGAGAUAAAAUCUUAUCGAAAUAAGAUAUCAGAUCAAAGAAAACGAAAGUUGUAAUAUAUCAAAAGAGAGUUAAAUCAAGAAGCAUGAUAUAAUUUAUUAAGAAAGGGAUUAAAUUGUAAAUAUGCAAAAAGUUCUAUGGCACAAGUAUAAAUGUAACAUCUCUAAAAUUGAUAUAUAAUAAAAGUGGUAAUAAAUUGAAUAAUGUCUAAUUAAUUUUUUGGUAAAAUGAGAAAAUGAUAUAAAUAUGAUAAAAGAGAAUAUUGAGGAUAAUAAUAAUAAUAAUGAUGAUGAUGAUGAUGAUAAUGAUAAUUAAGAAGUAGGUUUUAGUAUAUUGAUUUAAAGUAAAGGCUAAAUCGUAAAUAUGUGAAAAGUUUUUGGCUCAAGUGUAAAUAUUUAAAUUUUAGGGGAUCGAAGUGUAAAAACGAGAAAGUUGAAGGACUAAAAGUGAAAAUAAUCUAAUUUAAUAAGAUAUGGAAUUGGCAUGUAGGGACCAAAUUGAAUAGGUAGAGAAUUGUGAGGGACUAAAUCGUAAUUUAUCAAAUUAAGUGAUGAUUCAAGGAUGGAAUUUUGAAAGAUUAUGAAGGGCAAAGUGGUCAAUUAGCAAGAGAGAGAAUUUUAGAAUGUAAUGAUGAUGUUUAUGAUAUUUUGGUGAUUUUUUAAUUAAUUAAUUAGUUAAAUAUUGUUUUAUUAAUAUUUUAAUUAGAUAUUUAUUAUUAUUUUAUUUAGAAAAUGAUAGUAUAAAAAGAAAGGAAGGAUAAAGGAAAUUUAUCAUCCUUCCAACAUGAGUGAAAGGGUGAGAAAAAAAGUUUUUUUUCUUUACAAUUUAGUCCUUUGCCGUGAAAACCUACCUUUUUACCUAAAAUUGUUGAAAAUUUCCUUAAAUAUUAAAGAGAGAAGAUGAAGUAGAGAUUCUAGAGAAUAUGUUCAUCAAUUUAGAAGUAAGAAAAUAGAAGAUGAAGGUGGAGAAAAUGAAAAGAAAAAUGAAGGAAAGUGAUAAGGAUGAGAAAUGCAUGGAAAUGAAAAAAUUCUUGACAAAGAAGGUAACCUACUUGUAUUUCAAUAGAUUGAGUUAAAGAUGUUUUGAGUGAGAUGUAUGAAACAUGUAUUUAAUCUAAAUACUAGAAAUAGAAAGUAUUUGAUGAAGAAUAGAGACUUAAAACACUAAAUUAGUAAGAGAGAAUGUGAUUUGUGUGGUGAAAAGUACUAAGAUUAAGAAAUGAAUAUGUAAUCUACACAUACACAUAAGUGUCUAAAUUGUAUAGUAAUUAAAAGUAUGGCAAUUAUGUUAGAUUUGUAAAAUAAAUCUAAAAUAAAACUGAAUAAACCAGGAUCUAUGUCAGAUCAUUAAGAAUAAAUCAAGAAUAAAACUAAAUGCAAAAGCGUACCAGAAUCCAUGAAUUCCUUGAAGCUUUUCUCGAUAUUGGGGAUUUGAUCUUCCAAAUUAGCAAAAAGAAUAUUUACUCUCUCUUUCCUAAGGAUGGGAUGUUAUAAAAGAUAUAUUGUGUGUAAUUUGGGGACCAUAACCCUAAUAUUUAUAACCUUGGUAUAUUAGUUCUAAUUCCUAAUUAGCUCAUCAUUAAUUAGAAAUUGAUUAGAACUCAAUUACUAGUAUAUCUACACAUAUUUGACCCAUAAUUUAUUUAAUAAUUAAACCCAAUAAAACUUUAACCAAAUUAGAUCACUUUUAAUUUGGGUUAACCUAUCAUGAUAGUAAAUAAUAACAUGUAAUUACCUUUAUUAUAUAUGUGAUGUCCAUAUUUUCCAACAAUCUCCCACUUGGACCACAUAUAUAUACUAAUUAAUUUAUAAUUACAUUUCAUUAUAUAACCUUAUGAGCUCAAAAUUUUACUAUCAUAUCCAAAAGGUAUUCUAAACAAUCUCGUCCAUUAAUUAUGUUAACAUAGAACCAAGACGACUUUCGUUACAUAUAUUGUAACUAAAUCCAUCCAUGAUCAUGUAUAUUACCACAACCAAAUGACAUAGAUCAAGUAUGGAUAUGUAGCAUGGAAAUUAAAUGCAAUAUGAUCUAAACAUGUCUAUUUCUAACUGGUCCUCUUAAACCUUAGUGAGAUCAAACCUUACCAAAAUCAGAGUGUAAAUAAACCAAAUAAACUUUAUUUCUACAGAAAAUAAAUUUAAUAUCUGUAAAUUGAAAUAACUAAAAAUUUAUCCAUAACAUAAAAGCGUUUAAAAGUACAAACUCCCACUAAAACCGAAUAUCCUUAAAUGACAUUACACCCAUAUGAGCAGUAUGCUAUUAUAAAACCUUAGGUAUAGACCUUAGUAAGCGGAUCCACAAUCAUGGAGUUUGUCCUAAUAUGCUUUAUAGGCACCUAACCACUCUGAACUUUUACUUUAACAACUAGGAGCUUAAAGUCUAUGUGUUUUAACUUUGAUGUGCUCCUGUUGCUAUUGGAAUAAAAGACUGCAACUUGUUUUCAUAAUUUGCACAUUAGUGACAAAAUUUUGUAUCAUAUUCCAUCAAAAUUGGAGUCUGUAUACCUGAUGAUCUCUAACUGAUUAAACCUUUGAUAUGUGAGCAUGUAAUCUUUGGUUCUCUGAAAAUACCUUAUAACCCUCUUGGAUGCUAUCUAAUGGUCCAAACCAAGAUUGUUUAAAAUAUCUACCAACAUCCCAACAGUGUACAUAAUAUUCCAAUGUAUACAAACCUGAACAUACAUUAGACUUCCCACUGCUAAAAUGUAAAAAAUCUUAUGCAUUUUGUAAUCUCAAAAUCAUUAUUAGGGUAUUGGUUAAGACUAUACUUAUUGUUGACAAGCAGUAUGUCAUUAACAUAUAAAACCAAAUAUAGAACCUUACUCCCACUAAACUUAUGGUAUAUACAAUUAUCGAAAAAAUUCAUCUCUAAACCGAAUGAGAUAAUCAUUUGGUAAAAUUUGUAAUUCUAUUGACGAGAAGUAUGCUUAAACUCAUAGAUGAAGUUCUUUAAUUUGCAAAUAAUUAACUUUGCAUCAUCAGACACAAAGUUUUCUAGUUGCACCAUAUAAAUGUAUGAUCAAUAUUACCAUUGAGAAACCAUUAACGUAAUAUUCAUCUGAUAUAGCUUAAGGUCAAAAUAUUCCACUAAAGUCAUUAUAACCCUUCCUCUAGUGGACCUUUUUAAUGACAUUCAUUCUUGAGGUUGUUGAGUUUGUUCUUCUAGAACAAUUACCUCAUCUUGAAUAGGGAGUUGUUCAACAUUGUCUUAUUAAGGUUCUAGAUUCACUUCUUAAUCAAUAACAUGUACGAGAACUUAAACAUCAUCAAAAGUGAUAGUAGGAACUGAGUUAGAAUUCAAUUCCUGCUUAAAAGCAAUGUCUCUAACGUUAUUUCUCUCUCCAAACUCAACAUCCUAAAAGAAUGUUACAAUUCUCAUCUCAAAAAUAUUCCUAAUUGUGGGAUCAUAAAACUUAUAGCCCUUAGAUCGCUAAGAAUUUCCUUGAUCCUUAUACUUUAUAGACAUCAAAGAAGACAGAAGUGAUGUCAUUUCAACAUUAUCGUUUUUAGCAAAACGUUUCUCAAUUUCGUCAAGGAAACUUUGGCCUAAGUAAUCUUUUUAGAUUCUUUACCCCUAAGGCUUCUGAAAUGUUGUACUUCAUGAUCAUUAGACUCAUGCAAUUUGAACGAUCCCACCUCUCAAAAUCCCUUUUAACAUAAAGGGUGUUUUCCACAGUGAGAGGUGGAGGUUGUUCUCCCCUUAGUGUAAUGUCUAUGUUCAUACAACCAAAUACUUUAAGUAAGUGUCUUUUCCAUUCAUUGAAAUUAAUCCCAUUAAGCAUGAGUAAGAAUUUAUAUUAGCAGAUAUUGUGGUAAUAGAAGAUGAAUUAACUGAAUAUAGAACAAAAAACAAAUAAGCUCACAUCAAUAUUCAUAAGUAAACAAUAAAUUUAUGAUAAUGGCUAAUCCCAUCUCAAGAUACCAAACAUAACAUUAAUAUCAAGUAUUUGGACAGUAAUAUUAACAAUAAGCGGUACUCUUGUUGUAGCAAUCAAACAUUGACAAUAAAUUAUGUCAAACAAUGAAUUAAUCUUUGGACUAACGUAUUGUUCAUAUAAAGUAUCUUAUAGUUGUCACACAUUUAUCACCACAGAUGUCGUUGAAAUUCUGCCAAGUAUUGACUUAUUUUUGGGUCAAUUAAUAAACGCAUGAAUCACAAAAAUAUAUAAUCAUCUUGAUAUUUUAAAUAAACUAAUCUACACAAAAGAGGUCACUUUGGUGGCAUUUUGUUUCAACUAAUCUGUUUAAAAUAUUAGACAUCCUUAAUUAAAACCUAAAGCCAAGAUCUAAAUUUAUUUGUUUCAAAAUAUUUCUUAUCUUUCAAUUAAAUUUAAAGAUAAUAUUAUAUAUAUGUAUAUAUAUUUAUCCCAAAACAACAUACAAUGAUGUUGGCAAAUAUAAUAAUAGUUAAAUAAAUCAUAAACCAUAAACAACCUCACAUAAGACUUCAAAUUUAAACCAAAAUAAUUUGAAAGGUAAAUCUCAUCUCAAGAUAUUAGACACUACAUUAAUAUUUUAUUUUUGGACAAAAUAUUAACUUGUAAGUGAUAUAUUGGUGUAAUAGCCCAAAUUUCAGCAAUGUAGGAAAUAGUGGUUCGAGACCACCAAAUUUGGGAAAUGAACUUGUAAAUCAUAUUAUUUAAUAUUUACGAGCCAAAUGUAGCUUUUAAAAGAUUUUUGAAAUAGUAAACUAUGUUUUAUAAAGAUUUAUUUGGUUAAGAAAUUGAGAAAAAAAGGUAUUGAGACCUCGGUGUUAUAAACCGAGCCAUAAAUAUUUUUAUGAAUAUUUAUGGAGUGUCAAUAAGGUAGUAUUAAAAUUUCGUUAGAAAAUUUUAACGUUUAGGUAGUCAAUUAGAUAAAAAGGACUAAAUUGAAAAAGUGCAAAACUUGCUAAAGUGAUUAAAUAGAUUAACCAUUAAAUAAGGAAGGACUAAAGGGAAAAUGGACCAUUUUAAAAUGGCUGUGGCGGCAUAGCGUGAAAAAAAUCAAAGAUUUUUAUGUGAAAAGGACAAAAUUGGAAUUUUAACAAAAGUUACAUGGCCAAAGUUGAUUUUAAUGAUUUCUAGGCCAUUUCUUCUUCAACUUUCUGUCAAAAACAGCCAUGGAAAAGGGUUUUGAGCUGUUCUUUCAUAUUUUAGCUUAAAGUGAGUUCAAUUCUUUCUUUUUCUUUGAAAUUUUAUAUUUUUGGAAUUUUACAAUUAGGUCCAACUUGGUAUUCUAUUAGUUUUUUAUUUUGUUGAAAGUUUUGGAAGUUACCAUUGAUAAUUUCAUAUGAUUUUUGUUAUUUUAUGAUGAAAUUUAGAUGUUAAUGGAUGUUUAAAAGUGUUUUAUUAAAGGGUUUUGGAUGAAAACAUGUUUUAGGGGUUAAAUUGAAAACUGUUGAAUUUAUGAAAAAUUUUAAAAUUUCAUGGAAUUCAUGGGCUGUGAUUGGUAUGUAUGAGAAUAAUUAGGCUUGGAAUAAGGAUUAAAUUGUAAGAAUUUCAUUUUCCGAGCCUAGGGACGAACUCGUCAUGUAUUAAAAGUUUAGGGGAAAAAUGAUAAUCAACAUUUUACACUAAAAUAGUUUUAGACAGCAACAGUAGUCUAACUUUGAAAAAUCACCAAAAAUUGUGGGAAUCAAUUAGAGGAUAAAUAAAAUAUGAAAUUAAAGCUUAUUGAGUCUAGUUUCUCAUAGAAGAAACAGUGUAAGCAAUGGAAUUGUAAAUCAUGAGAUAUAAUAAAUUUUGUGAGACAAGGUAGAAUGAUUUCAGGUUCCUCUGUUUUGACUUUGGAAAAUCAUCAAAAAUUUGAGAAAAAUAAUUAGGGGCUUAAAUUUAUAUGUUUAAAUUAUUAAUGAGUCUAUUUUCAAAAGAAACAAACGGGAAUAUCAUCCAAAUACUGUGUUAAGAGAUAAUUAAUUUUUAGUAAGCAAAGGUCAAAGCUGUCGAACAGCAUAAUAGGGAUAAAUUUGAAGAUUUUACUGUACUAAUUGGCUAAACAAUAAAUUCUGAAAUUUUUAUGGUAGAAGGAUAUAUUAAUCUAGUUUCAAAAAUAUCAAGCGGAUCUUAAUUUGGAGUUUUGUAGCUCAAGAUAAAAAUAAUUUAGUGCCUAUGACACGAUGGACAACUUUGUAUAUACAUAUAAGUAAAUAGUGAAAUUAUAGAUAAUGUUACUUAUAAGCGUGAUAUAUACAUUAAGGAUGUGGAAUGGAGAGGAGAAGGAGAAAAAUAUAUGAAUGACUUGUGUAUAAAUUGAUCAUAUGCCCGAUUAUAAUCGAUAAACGUUGAAUUAGAAAUGAUAUAAUGUUUUAUUUCAAAUAUUUAUUAUGAAAUUAAGAUUAUCGUUAUGGUAUAAAAAUCGAAUUGUAAGUUUGUGUAACUUGAAUUGUAUUCUUAAAUGUUUGAAAUGUAAGUUUAUGUGAUGAAAAUGUGAUUUGAAUGCUCAAUGUAUGAUUAUUGAUGAAAUGUUGAUAAUAUUCAAUAAAAAGGGAAAUAAAUCUCGGUUGAAUGGAAUGGAAUUCGAUGGAUCACUGAAAAUGAUUUGACGGUAAAAAGGAUCUAACCCGGACAGGUGAGUGUGAAAAGGAUCUAACACGAACGGGUGAUCUUGAUAUAAGCCCUCCUGAAGAAUAUGUGUGAAAUAUAUUUAGCCCGGACGGGCAAUUCAAAGUAAAUGUGAGUCUGGAUUUAGCCUGGAUUGGUAAUCCAGACAAAGAUCUAUAGAGUAUUUGUCAUUGUAGGGGAUUUAGCCUAGACUGAUAAUCCCAACAAUACUCUUUGAGCAUAUGUUAUAGGGGAUUUAGCCUGGACUAGUAAUCUCGCUGUAAGAAAUGAGGUUCGCGGGAGUGUGCUAUCUUACAGGGGAUUUAGCCUGGAUUGAUAAUCCUGCUGUAAGAAAUGAGGUUCGUGAGAGUGUGCUCUUUGAAAAGGACUUAUGUAUAUAUAUGUAUGAAUUGGCAGUUAAUGAGAUUGUACAUCAUGAGUGUACUACAGGAAAUCUAUCGAAAUUCCGAGGAAUUCAACGGGAUAAAUAUGGAAAACGGUAAAUACAUGGAAUUAUGAAAUUGGUGAGCGUAUUCACAAGAAUUUGUCGUUUGAAAUUGUGAUUGACAGGAAGAAAUAGUGAAUUGCAUACUUAUGUAUGGUUACAAGUAUUUAUCUGAAAGACAAGAAAAUUAUGGUUAUUGAUAUAUGGAGACAUGAGACUAUGGUAUGUGAACAUGGAAUAUGUUUGAUAAAUAUGUUCAUUCAUAAUUAUGAAUUAUAUACCUCAUGUGUACUAUUUGCAUAAAGAUGAUAUUUCAAAUACUUUGAUAAGUAAAGCUCAAAUAUAAAAUAUCAAGACAAGUUGUUAUGAAAAUGUAUUUAAAAUAUAGAGAUAUGGUUGCUAUAUGUUAUAUGAUUACAUAAUGUGAAAUUGUCUAUAUAUAUAAAAUUUAAUGAAAAAUGGUUUUGUAAACUCCAGUAAUGUCUCGUACCUUAUUCCAGCGACGGAUAUGGGUAGGGGGUGUUACAUAUUGGUGUAAUAAUCAAACAUCGGCAAUAAGAGCAUGUCGAACCAUAAAUCUUCCUUUGGGUCAAUUUAUUGCUCACAUGUAAAACAUAAUAAUUGUCACAUGUUUAUUACUAUAGUUGCAUAUGUAAUAUUAUUAAGCUUCAUUUGAGCUGAUCAAUAUUAACAUAACUUAAGUUACAUGCACACAACCUUUUAUAUUUUAAAACAAAAUAAUUUAUAAAAAAAAUCACUUUGGUGACUUAUUGUUUCAAUUAAGUUAUUUUAAAAAUAUAUAAACAUAACAAUAUUCAAAUUUAAAAUUUACCCAAGAGUUAAAUGUCAAUACUAUUUUUUUAUUGCUUUAUAAACUCCGAAAUAAUCCAAAAUAAGGUUGUUUUAAUAAUGCAAUAAAAAACUGAAAACCUUAAUCUUUGACUUUUUUUUUCAAAAUCAUAUAUAUAAAAACCAAAUAGAAAUAAUGUAGUGGUUCAAAGCCAAAUAAUUAACAAGCAAAUGUAAUCAUAAUUUUGGCAUGGACAAAAAACACCAAAGCAAUUCACGCAUAUACAUGUAUCCAUAAUCACAUAGAAAAACUCAUCUUAAAUUUACCAUGUAAAUCCAAAGUUCUAUUUAUGAUUAAACAGAUUUUCACAUGAAUAUUUGAAAAAUAUUUUCAGAGCCAAUAAAUCUCAAAAACAAAAUCAUAAUAGUUGGCAUAUCCCACAAUUCCAUAUCAUCAUAGUUUAACCAAAUAUUUGGAAUCAUAAGAUGCCAAAACCUAAGAUUAUAGAACCAAACUUAAAACCAAAUUAUUUAAAUAUGUAUAUAGUUGACAUGAAUUUGCACCAAAGCACCCGUAAAAUUGAAUAUAUAACCAUAAAAAAAAACGACUUCAACGAUAUCCAUCAAAACUUAAUUUCACUAAUAAAACUAUAAAAGAUAUCUCAUUGAAUAAUAGUUUUAAACGCCUAUUCACACAAACUAUUAUCAUGCAUUAAUCCUCAAAAUCAUUGAUAUUAUAUAAUAUAUAUACACAAUUAUAAUAAUAGAAAAAUAAUAUUGGUUUGCCUUACAUAUUUCAUGUAAACUUAAAUUUAUAUUAAUGACUAAAGAUAUUAUCAUAAAACUUCUUUAUACGCACAAAUACUUAAAAAAAAAUCCAUAACCAUCAAAUAUAAAAGAAUCCCAAAUUGUAAAAAAAUCUUCAUAUGCACAACCACUUAUGAAAAUCAUAGCCACUAUAUUAAAAAAAAUUCCAAAUAUUUUAAUUAUAGUCGGGUUCCAUAAGGACUAAAACUUAUAUAAAAAAAUUAUAGAAGGAACCAAAAGUAAUCAUUUGUAUAUAUGAAUUGAAUUCAAAAGAUGAUAAUUUCAUAUACAUUCAACCACAAAUAGAAAAUUUAAAACAAGUAGUGCAAAAAAAAAAUCUUAACAACAUUCAGUUAUUUAAUUAUCAAGUGAAUUAACUUUCAAAACCAAUUAGACAACCCAAUUAGAAUUCUUCAUUUGCAAAAAGUUGUAAGUCUGUAGCUUUAAUUUAAUAAUGACUUUAACCAAAAUUUAUAAAAUAAUUGUGUGAAAAGAAGAAAAAGAAAUCUCAUAAAUUAAUUUAUAUCAAUUGAUUUUAAAUAAAUAAAUAAAGCUUCAUUUUUCGAAUAUCAUAUGCAAAUAUUAAACUAGAUUAUAUUUAUAAAACCUUAAAACUUUAUUUAAAGAACCAAAACCCAAAAAUUUAUCAAGAAUCUCAAAGAUUUAACAUAAUAUAUAAUUAAAAUAUCAAAUACAUAAAAUUAAAAAAGAAAAACGAAUCAAUUCAAAAAUAACAAAGAAUAAAUUCAGUAUCAAUGAUUCAACAUGACAAAGUUCGGAUGCCACUUGUUAAAUUUGUAAAAUAAAUCUAAAAUAAAACUGAAUAAACUAGGAUUUAUCAUGUCAAAUAUCAAGAAUAAAUAAAAAAAAAUUAAAUGCGGGAGCGUAUUUUAAUCCAUGAAUUCCUUGAAGCUUUUCAUGAUCUUGGGGAUUUGAUGUUCCAAAUUAGCACAAAGAAUAUUUACCCUCUCUUUUCCUUUUCUUAAGGAUGAGAUAUUAGAAAAGAUAUCAACCCUAAUAUUUAUAAUCUUGGCAUAUUAAUUCUAAUUCCUAAUUAGCCCAUCAUUAAUUAAAAUUUGAUUAGAACUCAAUUAUUAGAGUACCUACACAUAUUUGACCCAUACUUUAUUUAAUAAUUAAAGCCCAAUAAAACUUUAACCAAAUUAGAUCACUUUUAAUUUGGGCUAACCUAUCAUGAUAGUAAACAAUAAUAUGUAAUUACGCUUAUUAUAUAUGUGACGUCCAUAUUUUCCAACAAAUUAUGCGUGAUUGAAUGAAAGAUAGUACAAAGAACCAUAGAAAAGAAAAUAUUUUCAUUAAAACAGUUUAGACAGUAGCCGUGACUUAACUUUGAAAAUUUACCAAAAAUUAUAGAUUAGAGAUUGAAUUAAAUAUGAAAUUAAAGAUUAUUGAGUCUAGUUUCACAUGAAAAAAACGGUGAAAGAAACAUAAUUUUAUAGUCUGAGAUAUAUUAAUUUUCGUGAAACAAGGUCGGAAUGGAUUUAAGUUCCCCUAUUCUAACUUUAAAAAAUCAUCAAAAAUUAUAAAAAAAAUUAUUAGGGGUUUAAUCAAGAAUUUUCAACUAAUUUUACUGGAUACUUAAUCAAGUUGUAUAUAAUUAUCCUAAUAACAUAUAUCACAAAAAAAUCCUAAUAGAAAAAAAAAAUCUAAUAAUAAUAACAUCACACGUACAUCACCAUCAUCUUAAAAAUGAAACAAAAAGGGUUAAUUCAAGACUAACCCCUCAUUAAUAGCUAAAAAUUUAAUUUAAUCAUUAAAACAAAAUCGAAUUUUAAUUUAGUCACAAAAAUAAAAAGAAAAUUUUUAAAUAGGUCAAUAAUUCAUAGAAAUGUUAAAAAAUCUAAAUUUUAUUAUUUCAUUUAAAAUUUCUGAAAUAAUUUAUUAUAAAAAUAAUAUUUUCCAUUACAGGUGAGGCUGAAGAGAAGUGGUUGCCAACCGAUAAAGUUAAAGAUGUACAAGGGUGGCAUUAAUAUAUUAAGAAAAAAUCAAUUGGAUCUCAUUGGGAUUUAUUUAUUCGAUAAUUUAACCAAAAAGGGUUUGUUUCUUACAUAUUUCUACCGACAGAAAAUAACCUAAAAGUUUUGUCGGACAAAUGCACUAAUAUUAACAAAUUAAGAAAUCCAACUUGCUGCAACUUCCAAUCACACUAUAAACAAGUGGCAUAUUAUUAAAAAAACAAAAACAUUUUUAGAUCUUUAUUUAUUGGUAUAAUUUUACCAAACCUUGAAGAAUUAAUUUAAAAUAUUUAAAUAAAAUCAUAAAAUUAAAAUAUUGUUUUAAGUAAGUUUUUUUCGUCAAUUUAGUUAUUAAUUGAGGGAGUUGCCUCCUUUGAACAAAAUCUUUAAAGUGGUGUCAUCAAAUAAUAAAUCAAUUCCCUAACAAUUGAAAGUAUUGUUGUGUACCAUAAGCAACUACCCUGAGUAGAUCAUCAAAUAAAUCAAUUGAACUUGAUUGGAACGGUACUUUAAUUCAAGAAUUGGAUUGUAAUGUUUUUGAAAUUUAAGGACCAAAGUAAAAUUGGCCAAUAAUUUGAAGAGGUUUGAUGCUGUUAACUCUUAAAUUUUCCCCCUUAUCUUUGUUGGCUGCAGGUUAGACUCUGGGUAUUGCCUUGGUUACAAUAUGGCUACCACACAUUUGCAUAUAGUGAUGGUUCCAUGGUCAGCUUUUGGUUACCUUAUACCUUUCUUUCAACUCGCUUUACAAUUAGCCAAAGCAGGUAUCAAAGUCUCCUUCAUAUCAACCCCUGGAAACAUUAAAAGACUGUCCAAUGUUCCAUCAAACAUAGCAACCCUUUUAGACCUAGUGGUCUUUCCAUUGCCAAACGUAGACGAUGAGCAACAGCUGCCCGAAGGUUGUGAGGCGACUGUCGAUAUCCCUUUCGAGAAAAUCCAGUACCUGAAGAUUGCAUACGAUCUGCUUCGUCAACCGGUGAAACAGUUCGUCAUAGAUCAAAAGCCAGAUUGGAUUUUGAUUGAUGUGAUUCCUCAUUGGAUGAUGGAAAUAGCUCAAGAACAACAUAUCCCUCUCGUUAAUUUCUCAGUUUUUUUCGGCUUCAGUUUAUAGUUUCUUUUUGAAUCAGACGUUGAUGAGGUCAUCCCCGGAAAGUUUGAUGUCACCGCCUGAGUGGUUUGGUUUUUCUUCUCCAUUGCGUUAUCCUAAAUCCUUAGCUACUGCCAUGCACGAAGGAUUUCAUGGGGAGAAUGCUUCCGGGAUAUCGGAUGCUGACAGGGUUAACAAAAUUUUAUAGGCAUCUAAAGCUGUUGCGUUUCGUACUUGCCCUGAAUAUGAAGCUGAGUACUUAAACGCAUUCGAGAAGAUAACCAUUAGUGGCAGCAAACCAGUGUUUCCCAUUGGUUUGCUACUACCGGAAAAACCCCAAGGAAGACAAACCGAUGAAAUUUUUAGGUGGCUCAAUGUUCAAAAGCCUAACUCGGUUGUGUUUGUAGGGUUCGGGAGCGAGUGCAAGCUAAGCAAAGAACAGACACAUGAGAUAGCAUAUGGGGUGGAACUAUCGGGGUUACCGUUUUUAUGGGCACUAAGGAAACCCCACUGGGCUUUCAAUGAACUUGAUGCGUUGCCUUGUGGUUUUCAAGAGCGUACGCGAGGGAGAGGGAUGGUCUGCUUUGGUUGGGCACCGCAGUUGGAGAUACUAGGACACUCUUCAAUAGGGGGAUCUUUGUUUCACGCCGGGUGGGGCUCGAUUAUCGAAACACUGGAGUUCGGACACUCUCUCGUGGUGCUACCUUUUGUGAUAGACCAACCAUUGAAUGCAAGGCUUCUGGUAGACAAGGGUUUGGGUGUAGAGAUAGAGAGAAGUGAAGACGGAUCGUUUAGCAGGGAUGAUAUAGCUAAAGCUCUGAGACUUGCAAUGGUGUCUGCAGAAGGAGAGAAACUAAGAAUCCGAACUAGGGAAGCAGCUCAAGUUUUUGGGAACCGAGACCUGCAUGACAGUUACUUCAAUAGAUUUGUGGAGUAUCUGAAGGAAAAUGGAGCUGCAAAUUAAACAAAAAUGGAGGAAUGAAGGAUAUGCUAAGUUAUUUAUUUCGGACAAAAUGUUAGGUACCUUCCGUUUUAUUUCAAUGUCCACUUUAAUAAUUUGACUUGCCCUAUAUGUUGUCCCAUGUUAUAUCACCAUUUUCAAUGACUGCAAUGGCUUGAAAUUAAACGACACCAAAUUCAUAGUUGCCCUGAUCAGUACAACACACUACUAGAGUUUCUUUCUUGAAAAACAUUUUCAACUAAAUUGGCGAUGUAUAAAAUAUUAGUUCACAUGAUUUAGAAUUGUGGUUUCUAGUCCUACGGCGUCCUAUUGUCUACCAAAACAAUAUAUAUGCAAAGAAAAUUCUUUACCAAAUAAUACCUAGAGGCGUUCAUGGCCGGGCAGCUCGGCCAGCUUUGGGCCUGGCAUGAGUUUAUGUUUUUCAACCUCAGAGAUUGUGCCAGUUUACGGUUUAUAAAUUAUAAAAAUAUAAAAAUUAAUUUUAUAUUAGUAUUUAUAUAUUUUUUAUAAUUAAAUUAAAUAAAAAAAUUGUUUUUAAACAAUAAAAUAGGCCUUUGGAGGGGCAUAAGCACACCGUGAUCGGGUAAGAAAUUUUUUGGAACUAGGACUCAGCUCGGUCCAUGAACACCUCUAGUCAUACCCAUUUCUUCAUGAAUCCAUUUAAAAUGGUGACCCUCCAGUCCCACAACAACGCAAAAACACAAAAUCACCAAACACGAUUUAUAUCUCAAGAUAUAUUCCAGUUGUGGAAGACGUCUAACCGCAUAAAUUGCAACUUGGGUGCAAAAGAUCUCAUUCUCUUAGCAUCGCUGACCUAUAGGACAUUGGAAUGUGCUGCCCAAUGUAGCACCAUGCUUCUUGAUAAUCCGGACAGAUUGCAGAAGAAUAUCUUGGUGUGUAGAGUACAAUUCAUCUUUGCUCUAUAAUUGCAUAUCAAAACAACAAUGUAGAUAUCAGUGAAAUGAGAAAAGGUAAACAGAAGUCAGGCUUAAAAUGAUGAAUUUCAGAGAUGAUCCCAACAAAUAUCUAGCAUUAGCAAAUCGCAACAAAAUCACUGAAUGCGAAAACAAUGUUAAUAAGUCGAGGUUGAAGGCUAGGUCAACGCAAACCAAAGAUCAAAAAAAAAAAAAGAGUUGAGAUUAAUUAGGUAGACCAAGCUCAUACAAGAUGCAUCUGAAAAGUACCGAGGAUGAGAGGUUACCAUAUGUCUGAGAUUGCAUCCAACAGUUAGUUCUGCAUAAGAACCUUCUACAUGAGACAGGAAACAGUAAGGGACCUCCUUUCCCAAGAAAACUUUUGAGUUUGAUUUCAGCAUGCUCUUGAUCUCAUUUGAUAUCUCGGGAACCUUGUCCAGAUCUUCAAUUAGCAAGGGAAUUUUGGUCACCACUGCACGCCAUCGAGCACGUGACUUGUUUACAAUAACCUGAAAUUUUACGUAGUAAACAAUACAAUGAUAAUUUUGGCCUUUCUAGUACGACUACUGUGUGUAAGUAAACAAAUAAGCAUACGCUCAUAAGAGUUGAUGAGUUGAAAACAAGGAUUUCUUCUCUUUCAACAAAAGAAAUGAAAAAGAAAAAUACCAACCUGACUGGAGAAAAGUGAGUUCGGAACUAGAUCCGGAAAUCUCUCAGAGUUAAGUACUGUUGUGCUUGCCAGUCCCAUUUCAACCACCUGAACUUUUACAGAUCCUGCCUGCAGUAAGAACAAUUUAUUAGCAAUCCUGCAGAAAAGAAAAAUAAAUAAAAGAACAAACUAAAACUUUUAAAAAUCACAAGUGGAAAUCAAAAUUUAUCUGGCUACCACCAAAACAAAGGGCAUUCAGGUUAUAUGACAGAGUUCCCGAUAUGAUGAAAUAAAUAACUGACAUCUCCGCAAAGGUCAGAAUUACCCAUGACCUCAUAUAUCAUGAAGCAUGUAUCAAAUAAACCCCAAUUAACUUCAGAGAAUUAAAUUAAGAGUCGGUAAAUAGUGGAAUUAGGAGGGAAAGAGCCAGUUCAGGCUAAGUUGAAAGAUGAUAACUGAUUCAAACAGACAACUCAGAAUUAGCCAGCAAGAAUAAUAAAUUAUUAAGUACAACAUCCAACCAUGCAAUUUUCUAAGAGAAGGUCAGUUCCUAACAAUAUAGGAUGAAAUACAGGGUUCAUCAGAUACAUUUAGAAAUAAAGAAAAAACUAUUUUUGUCUUUGUAGACUGUAACUAUUACAAAAGCUGAGUGGAUCCUUUCACACGGAAAGAAAGAAAACAUUUUUCCUUCACUAAAAGAAAAUUACACGUUCAUUUGUGUUACCUUUAUUGUAUCACCCAAGGAAAGGGUUUCGAAAACUGCAUGUACAAUCCACUGAGCACAUUUCCAAAGAUGUCCCUGGCAGCAAAAGCAGUAGCCACUCUUAUUAAGGAGAUUGAAUUAGUUAUAUGACUACUUUGAAGAUGAUAAACGAGUGACGCAUACUAUAUCUUCAAAUAUGAAGAUUCAAGAAACAGCAAUUUGGCGCCUUUCUAUUUUGGCAAUAAAGCAUGUAAAAUUAGCAUUUCCUAAACCAUUGCAUAUUCUUAAAAAUCUUUGUAACAACAAAGAUUGAUGAUAAGAAAAACACUAAAAGAAAAAGUCUUAUUUGGGUUAACACAGAUAAAAGCACUGGCGUUUUGUACUGUAAACUUAACCAAUUGAAUGAUCUUAUUGUUAAAAUGGACUGAAACAAAUGAGAACAUAUGCAUUUAACAGAAAAACCUACCUCCUACGCCACCAACUGUCAGAAUAGUUAUCACAGAUAAAAGCACCUACUUUGUAACACCCCCUACCCGUAUCCAUUGCCGGAAUAGUUACGAGGCAUUACCGGAGUUUACUGAAUAUUUUUAGAUAAUUCUGAGUCAUUUAUUAUUCAUAUUUUGAAAAUAAUCAUAACGUCUCUCUAUUGGGCCCUCGAAGCCCCAAACAUACAUUAAAAAUCAACCAGAAUUAAAUCGGGAUCAUAAAAAAAAUUUCGCAAAAUCUUAAAUUUUAUUUUCAUCUAAGUACUUACCAUUUCAAUACUUCUUAUAAUUAAACAUAUUACCAUUCAAUAAAUAGCUUGACACUUGUCUAAACGUCAAACAACAUCAUUGUUAGUAUACUUGCAUAUAUUUCAUAUAAAUUCAACAUUUAUAUAUUUAUUUUCUCGACAUGUUACACUUGAGUUUAAUAAUUGUCUUUACUUACAUAAUUUUCUUGUAUCAACAUAUCAAAGAUAAUCAUAUAUGGACAUGUCAUGAAACAUAUCAUUCUCUUACCGUUUCUUCAUAAGUAUAUAUCAAUCAUUUCGUUAUAUCAAUAUUUCAUGCACCAUCAUUUCCAUAUAUUUUAUGUAUAUUUAUUCCGGUAAAGUUUAUAUCAAACUUAACAUAAAUUAUAUUCCAUGUACUUAUUCUUAUUUUAUUUAUCUAUCUUCAUAAUUAUUUUAUACAACUAUUUUGUACAUAUAUUUCUAUAUGACCAGUUCUUGUAAACAUUUCACACAACUAUUUCAUAUAACCAUUCGUCAUCUGAUAUAUCUUACCUGAAUAUCAAUUGUUCAAUAGAUGUCAUCGUGUCUCCCAUCCACGGUCUUAUUUAUCUUUGACAUGAUGCCAUAGUGUCUUUCAACUAUGGUCUUACUCAUUUUCUGUCAUGUUGCCAUGGUAUCUUUCAACCAUAGUCUUAUUCAUUUCAUGUCACGCUGCCAUGGUAUCUUUCAACCAUGGUCUUAUUCAUUUCCCGUCAUGUUGCCAUGGUAUCUUUCAGCCAUGGUCUUAUUCAUUUCAUAUGAGGUUUCCAUGGUAUUUUUCAACCAUGGUCUUACACAUUUCAUAUCAGAGAGCACACUCCCGCGAACCUCAUCCUUACAGUGGAAUUACCAGUUCAGGCUAAAUCCCCUGUAAUAUAAACUCAUAGAGUAUUGUCGGGAUUACCAGUCCAGGCUAAAUCCCCUACAAUGACAAUUACUCUAAUGAGCUUGGAUCUGAAUUACCAGUCCAGGCUAAAUUCAGACCCUAAUUCAGAUUACCCGUCUGGGCUAAAUCAAUUUUACACAUAUUCUUCGGGAGGGCUAUAUCAAGAUAGGAUCACCCGUCCGGGCUAGAUCCUUUUUACCGUCAAUUCCUUUUCAAAGAUCCAUCGAAUUUUCCUUUCAUUCAACCGGGAUUUCUUCCCAUUUUAUCAAAUAUAUCAAUGUUUCAUUAAUUUUCAUACAAUGAACAUUCAAAUCAUAUUCACAUAAAUAACAUACAUUUCAAGCAUUUAAGAAUAUAAUUCAAGUUACACGAACUUACCUCAUUGUUUGUUUGUGUUUAUAAUUUCAUUAAUCCGAUAUCUUUUCUUUUCUACGAUCAAGUCUCAUAUUUGAGUCGUCCGGAUCUUUAUAAAUAAAUUUGAUCAUCAUUUUCAUUCAUUUCAUAUUCUAAUGCAUUUAAUUAAUGCUCUAGGCAAAAUUACCAUUUUGCCCCAAAACUUUUAAUUAAUGACGAUUUCAUCCUUAGAGUCAGAGAAAAUAAAAUUCUUGCAAUUUAAUCCUUGUUUCCAGCUAUUAUUCUCAUAUGUAUUGAUAACAGUUCAUGAAUUCUAUAAAAUAUCAGAAUUUUCCAUAAUUUCAACACUUUUCAAUUUAAUUCCUAAAACAUGUUUUCCCCCGAUCUUGAACUAAAUUAAUAAUUUCAUUCAAUUUUGUAAUUUAAAUAAUAAAAUAAUCCAUUUCAUGCAAUUUGGUCAUUUCUAACAUUUUUACAAAAUUGCCCAUAAAGUUUUACUUUUAUUCAAUUUAGUCCCUGAGCCUAAAAUAUACAAAUUAGCCAUGCUUGAUGAAUAUUCAUACAUAUUUUUCCUCCUCCUCCUCUCCAUUCCACAUCCUUAAUGUAGAUAACACACUUGUAAGUAACAUUAUCCAUAAUUUUUAUUAUUUACUUUUAUGAAUAUUCAAGCUGUCUAUCUGCGUCAUAGUCACUAAAUUAUUUAUAUCUGGAGCUAUAGAACUCCAAAUUAAGAUCCUAUAAUUUUUCCUGAAACUAGACUCAUAUAUCUUCUUACCAUAAAAUUUUCAGAAUUUUUUGUUUAUCCAAUAAGUACAGUUUAUUCUUUAAAGUUACCCCUGUUCUGCAGUCUGACAGUUCUGGCCUUUCUUCACUAAAAAUUAAUUAUCUCCUCGUACAAAAUUCGAAUGAUGUUCCCGUUUGUUUAUAUUGAAAAUAGACUCAUUAAGGAUUCUAAAAAUAUAAACUUAAGCCCAUAAUUAUUUCUAUCCAAUUUUUUAUGAUUUUAAAAAGUCAGAACAGGGGAACCCAAAAUCAUUCUGACCUUGUCUCACAAAAUUCAUCAUAUCUCAUGAUUUACAAUUCCAUUGCUUACAUAAUUUCUUCUAUAAGAAACUAGACUUAAUAAGAUUUAAUUUCAUAUUUUAUUCAUCCUAUAAUUAGAUUUCUACAAUUUUUGAUGAUUUUUCAAAGUUAUACUACUGCUGCUGUCCAAAACUGUUUUAGUACAAGAUAUUAAUUACUAUGUUAUAACACCUUUAUUUUCUUUUUCUACACCAUUUCUCAUCACUUUCUCUUAUUUUCUCUUCACUAACAUAUCAAGAACAUAGGACCUUAUGUAAGAAAACUCUACUAUAACAUUAUUUCCAUGCUUUGUCAAUAAUAACAAACUUAAAAACAUAUUGAAAUCUUGAUAUACUUACCUUGUUCUAUUGAUACUAAUUUUUAACUUGAUUUUCUCUCUCAUCCAGCUUCUAUUUCUUGAAUCUAACUUGAUAUUCUAACUCCCCAUGGUCUCCUUAACAUUUUUCUCUCUUAGUAGCUAUGGAAAUUCUUUUGAUUUCUAGGUGAAAAUGGUGAAUUUUUGGUGGAAGGACCAAAUUGUAAAAAAAAUAAAAUUUCUUUCUUUUCCUUCUCUUCUAACGUUGGUUGCAUGGGAAAGGAAAUGUGAUGUUAAUUCUUCAUCUUUCCUUCCUUUUAUACUAAAUAAAUAAUAAUAUAAUAAUAAUAAACAUCUCAUAAAAAUAUUAAUAAAAUAAUAUUUAUCUAAUUAAUUAAUUUAAAAUAUCAUCAACAUAAUCAUUACAUUCUAGAAUUCUCUCUUACUAAUUGACCAUUUUGCCCUUCAUGAUCUUUUAGAAUUUCAUCCUUGAGUCAUCACUUAAUUUGGUAAAAUUACGAUUUAGUCCCUCAUAAUUUUUCACCUAUUCAAUUUGGUCCUAAUUCAUCAAUUUUUCUUGGUUUCUAGAUCAUUCCACCCUUAAAAUAUUUGCACCAUUAGUCCUUCAAUUUUUUUAUAUUUACACUUCAACCCCUUAAAUUUUGAGUAUUUAUUGUUGUGCAAUAAGACUUUUCUCAUCUUUGCAAUUUAGUCCUUUCUUUAAUUAAUAUAUCAUAAUAUACUUCCCAAUAUUGACAUAACUCAAAAAUUCUCUUUUUGUCACUUUAUUUCCUUAUUUUACUAUAUCACGGAUAAUAUUUUACUGUAAAAAUUUUCGGGGUAUUACAUACUUUUUUACGGUAAACUUAUGAUCUUAUUGUUAAAAUGGACUGAAACAGAUAAGAACAUAUGCAUUUAACAGAAAAAUCUACCUCCUACACCACCAACUGUCAGAAUAGAUUGCACAGCUACGCCAGAUGCCUCUGCUAAAGCCAUAAUCCCAAUAACAAAUAGACCAACAGAUGAAAACCUGUCUAUAGUUAACAACUUCUCCCUAUCAAGCGCUGCUAAAGUCUUAGUAGCCAGUGCACAACCAAGUACGUUUGUUUUCCAACGAUGCAAAAACCAGACAAAUGAAAGGAUAGCUGCACCCCUCUAUGCCUGCACAAUGUAUUGUGAUGGAUCAGUACUUGGUGCCACCAUCAUGCAACUGCAAGUCCAGGGGUAUCUUUAUUCAUUAUUCAUAGACCCCAAAAAAAAUGUAGAAACAUAUGAACAAAUGGAUACAAAGAGUUGAACAUAGAAAUCCAGAACCACUGACAUUUGAGAGAUUGCCACGAAGUUAAUUACAUAUCUCACUGGAUCCUCCAAAGCUGCCCACAAGCUUUUAUCAUAUGGCACUUGAUCCCCAAGCAUUCUUCCAGAUGGCAGGAUUGAAGUUUGUAUCGCAUACUCAUGAAAUCUUCUCAAAAGCCUAGGCAAGACCACCCAAGCUAAUAUGGUGAGAGUCAAAGCAAAGCCAACAGGAAGAACCACAUCCUUAAGAUACGGAUGAGUAUCAAGCAACUGAUAAACAUGAGGCUUCAGUUCAUUGGAGACUUCUUUAGCCUUCUGCCCAGUAUAACCCAUUGCAUCCGCAGCACUAUGCCAAUCAUCUUUGACUUUAUCACCCCAACCACUACGAAUACCAUCACUUUUACUAACAUCUACUUCCGCUCCAUCAGAAGCAGCUGAAACCUUAUCUGCCUUGCUACUGAAAGACAAUGACUGCGAUUGAUGUAUCAACACUGGGCUUAUCGAAACAAAAGGAAACACCCUCUGGAAAGGAAAAUUUGAUGAAGUCGAGGAUAAUGCAAUAACAGACCGCAACUUUACUACAAAUAUUCAUAAACUUUGCAGCACAACGAAGUUUUGUUUUGUUAUAGAAACCAUUCACAGAACCAUAAGAUGGUCUGACAUAGUUCUUAUAAGCAAUUCCUGUACGCUUCAUUAAUGAAUUGUAUAAAGCCGGUGACGAUUUUGAAGAGGAAUAUAGGGAAUUAGAAAAUAACCUCAGUCUUGAAAGCUUAAUUCCAAUCAUUACAGCAACAAAGCAACUGAGAGUUACUCACAUGGUCCAAAAAAGUGAACAUCUACACAAUUUGAAUAACAAACUGAAUCCACAAACAAUUUCCAUUCUGCAAAUAACAAAACCUUCAACGAAUUAUUAUCAAAGCUAAAUUCAAAAACGUCAAUCACAAUUUCAUGAUCAAGAAAAUUUGUGCAGAAUUGAACAUUGGAAUAAAUUUAGACACAGUUAAUACAAUUUCAAUAAUAAAAAUACGAAUUAACCAAAAAAAAAAAGAGUUAGAACUAAUGGUUUCCGCGAGUAGAUUUCAGUCCAGUUGGUUUUAGGCGAUAAGUAAUUCAAAUUCAUAUGCAUAAAGGACAUAAAGUAAUUCAAAUUUCUAAGCGAUUAGCUUCUUUUUUUUCUUGCAUUUUCUCAGCAACCAAACGAAACAUAUUAUUAUAUGGAAUCAAUAAUUAAGUAAUAAAAGGUAUAAGAAACUUCACUAACCUUUGACGGUAGCCUUUGAGGGUAUCUUUGAGGUGAAGCUUCCAAAGAAGAACAAAAGAUCAAUGGAAGGCGGAAACGGAGGCUUGCCAGAGACUUGUUUAGUUCAUGAAAAUGUGUGUAAUCUCGUUAUCGUACAUCAUGUUUUAUGUUCGUCUGAUGUUGUGAUGGAUUAUAAGUAGAACAAAAGAUCAAGGAACUCAUCUAUAGAGAAUCUGUAAAGUUCAAUACAGAACCAAUUCAUUGAGACUUUUGUGUGUUUGUAUAUGCCAUUUAAGGGUAAAACUACAAUGGAGCUUUUCGUAGUGUGAAUUAGGUUAUAUUUUGUUUCUUUUAAUAAUUAGAUAAUUACACGUGACACAUGACUAGUUUUUAAAAAUAGAAAUUAAUAAAUUUUUUAAUAGAAGGAUCACUUUAUUAUUUGAUCUAACCUACAAAGAUUAAUUUACUCAAUUUUUAGUAGGGGAUAAAAUAUAAUAUGACUUUUAGUACAAGAACUUUUACAAUACUUUUACAGUGAUUUAAGUGUACUUAGAGAUUUUUUUUUAAUUCAAUACUUGGUGAUUUUAGUUUAUUGUAAUAUAAUUUAGGGCUCAUUAGUCCUUUUGAGAUUCAAAACCAAUAAAUGACUUGUAACUUUACUACGUUAAAAUUUGAGGUUUAAUUUUUUUAUUAAUUUAACAUAAUUUAAUUCUUUAUACAACGUAAAUGUAUUAUUGAAUUGAUUAUUCAAGAGCAUGGAGCCUUGCAUCAUGUUUGGUUCGACGGAAUGGCCAUUUCAUUCCGGCCCUAUUCCACGCACUACAGUGACUCAUUUGUUUGGUUGAAAUUUGACCGCCGAAUAGCUAUUCCGUGCGGGCUCUAUUACGCGUAAACGCUGCAUAACCAUUCAGAGGGUUAGGCGCUGAAUGCCCAUUCAAUGGCUCUCGUAAUAGAUUUUUUUUUUCAGACGAAAAUCUCUUCCUACUUCUACUCAUCAUUCAAACGAAAAUCUUUUUGGGUUUUCAUAAAAUGCAUAGAAUACUCUCUGUUUUUGGAUUUUGGGUGUGGUGGAUUUGCGUGUACUGGAAAAUAUAGAGAAAUCGAUGUCGAAGGCGGAGCUUUCCAAAGAAAUGCACACGUCUCCCACUGUGCAGCGCAGCGAUUGUGGGAACGGCGAGGCUUCGAUCAAUUAUCAACGAUUGUUGUUAGUCUUCUUCCCUUUGCUGUCUAUUUUCUUAUUCUCUCCCCUCUUAGAAAUUCUCUAUCAAAAUUGUCAUCUUUAUUUCACCCGUUCCAAUUAACAUGCAAAUAUCAUAUGGAGAAAGGAUUAGGUUAUGCUUUUUCUGAUGUAUAUAGGUUUGGAGUUUGAUUUCCAUAUUUUUCUAUUUUCUUCUUCCCAGACAAUCUUAGAGGACUGCCCUAUGUUUGAAAACUUGUUUGAACUUUGUCAAAUUUAUGCUGGUGGGACAAUAGGUAAAUUCUGAUAUGGUGGGCUGUUUCUCUUUAUUUGAUUUGUGCAUUUUCAGUUGUAAUUGAUUGUCAUGGCUGGCAGAUGCUGCAAGAAGAUUAAACAAUCAGUUAUGUGAUAUUGCUAUAAAUUGGGCUGGUGGUUUACAUCAUGCCAAGAAGUGGGAGGCAUCUGGCUUUUGUUACAUCAAUGACUUUGGUUUUGGGAAUCUUGGAGCUUCUUAAGUAUCAUGCCCGUGUAUUAUAUAUUGGUAUAGAUGUACAUCAUGCCCAUGUAUUCUAGUUAUAGACGAACUUAAGAUUCAUGCUUACAUUGAUAAUGAAAACUGAUUUUAGAGUUUUAGUAACCCACAUCUAAUUUUUCGACAGUCUGGUGAACUGGCUGAAAGUGUAUCCAAAAUCAUCGAUUCUCAAUUUGCAGACCGGGUGGAUAUGUCUGAAGUGCAGGUAUUGCUUACUUCAUAACAAAUUCAUUUUGCAACAUUGCUUCUGUUGGUUCUACAAGGUCUUGCUAUUUUACAAGAUGAAUUUUCAACGGUUAUAACCAAAUCUUUAGUAACCUUUAUGCAUGGCCAGGAAACUAAAUUUGAUGCCGAAAUGGCUGCAAUGACCUGUGUUCCAUGGGGAACCCUUGAAAGCGCUGGGGACCAAUCAGGGUAAGAUGCAUUCCUUUUUAAGAUUUUAAUUUCACCCAGGCUAGGGUCAACUUUUGAAAGCAAUCUUAUUGUCUUUGUGGCAGAUAUGUCAAUGGCAUAAAUAUGAUCCUUAGUAGUAGCAUUCGUGUACUUGGGAGCAUUCUUUCACCUAUUUACUUCCAGUUCUUCUUGGACAAGGUAAAUACCAAAAAAGAGGGGUGUUGCACUAUGUCUCUUAACAUGGUUCACUCUUACUAUUUUCUUUUUCUUCUCUCUUUCCUUUUGUAGAUAGAUAUUUUGUGUAACUUUCUUAUUGCUAAUUCUUGCAGCUUGCAUCAUCGGUUGGCCCCCGGUUCUACAUGAAUAUUUUCAAAUGCAAGCAGAUAUCAGAAACUGUAGCCUAACAAGUACUUUUCACAUAUUCUUUCUCUCAGUUUCCUUCUUGCUUUAUUAAUAAUUCUAACCAUUAAUUAGUUUGAUUAAUGUUGUAGUCUCUGGCUCUGUGUACAUUGUGAGUUUUGCCCUUCGGUCAACUUUUUGAAUUUUGCCCCAUUUAAAGGCUUUAUUAAUAAUUCUAACCACUAAUUUGUUGGCUGUUUGAUUGAUGCAAUAUUUCCUAGCUAAAUUGUUACCGCUAAUUAAAUGUAGCUUUUAAUAUUUUUUUAGUACACACUAACUAUUUAAACAUAUCAGGUGAGGUAAAAAAUUUCGACAUUUGGAUUUGGUGGGCCAACCGAAGUUACCUACGGUGGUAAUGCCUUGAAGUUUUAUGCUUCAGUGCAUCUAAAUAUAAGGAGAACAGGACUUGUCAAGAAAGGAGAAGAGGUAUCAAACUCGCACCCUUCUUUCCUAUUCAGUUUGUUGGUUGGAUUUAUGUGUAGUGGGUAAACGCAUAUAAAUGAUAUGUUUAUUUACUCUUAGCUUGAUUGAAACUCUCUUGAGCAACCUGUUAAAAUUUCCUUUGAACUUUCUCUUACAUUCCCAAGCAAGUUAAACAUGUAGCUUUAUCUGCAAUCCAGCAAAUCUCACUCUUGUCUAUGUUCUAUGUCUCAUUGUGUUUUUGAAAUGUCUAAUCUGUAGACUAUUGGAAGUCAAGUUCUUGUGAAGGUUGUGAAGAACAAGCUUGCCCCUUCAUUUAAGAAAGCUGAAUUUUAGCUUGAGUUUGGCAAGGGAAUAUCCCGGGAAGGGGAUCAUAGAUUUGGCAACGAAACACACACUUGUUACAAAAUCUGGCGCAUUUUACAGUUUCAACGACAGGAAACUCCAUGGCAAGGAAGCCUUCAGAAGGUUUUUGGCUUAAAAUGGCAGUGCUCUUGAAGAACUUGUCAUGAAACUUAGAGAAAAGCUACUUGAUACUGAGAGCAAGAAGGAACGACAAACAAAUAUCUCGGAUGAUUGUAGGUGUAAUUUUGGCGUUGAAAAGUUUUGUGUAUUCAAUGGAUGAGAUAAUACAAGAUCUUGUUUCAAAUUUCCAGGGGCAUCUGACUGUCUUCCUCUCACAUUGUCCUAUUUCCAGCCAUAUUUACCAUGUUAACGAGGGAGCAAUUUAUAUUUGAAAAAUUGCAUUGUAUAACUUAGAUUCUUAUUUAAAUUCUGAGAAAAUUUUCUGCUAUCUAACAAAUCUGUUCUCUGCAAUCACGAAAUCAUAAGAUCACAGAUUAGUAGUAGUCUAUUGAGGAUUUGAGCAUCACCAUCAUUAUCAUUUUGUUGCACAUAAAAUUCCCAAAGAAAACUUUUUACCAUCUUUCCUUUCGUAUGAAUUUGUAUGUGUGAUUUUUAUAUUAAAAAUCGAAUAUACCGGUAAUCACCUAAAAAGACUUGACACAAUUAAUUGACUAUAUAAGUCAAAUUUUAAAAUUACCAAACUGAAAUUUUGGAUUCAUCGGUUUCGUUGGUUUUGAAUUUUUCCCUCAACCUGAAAAUCUUUUGUCAAUUCUUAGUUUUUUUUUUUCCUAAGUUAACUUCGAUAAUUAAUGUAUUAAAAAGAGGGGAUUUUUUUAACGGAAAUGUUGGUUAAAAUAUUAAUUUGAUAUCCCGUAUGAUAAUUUAUAUGUACUUUAUUUUGACACAACUUAUUUGUCUUAUGCACAUCAAAAAAUAAUUUAAAAUUCAUAAAAAUAUUCAAAUAAAAUCAAAAUUAUAAAAAGCUCAUAAUUUUUUUUAAAAAAAUGCAUGAAGUACUUGUGAAUUGUUAUUUGCCAUAAAGUUGUAAUUAAAAAUUUUAAUGCUUAAAAAAAUGAUAUUUUAACACAUUAAAUAUGUAUUGCAGUUUAAAAAUAAUAAAGUAGAUUAUAUAUUAUUUUUAUAGUAUUAUAUAUUAUGAUUUUUUAAUUCAUAUAAUAAUAAUUAUAUUAAGAGUUUUAUUAAAUUAUAUAUUAUUUUAUUAAAUUAUAUUUAAUAAUAAUUAUGUUAAAAUAUGGUUAAAUUAUUUAUUAUUUAAUUUUUUUUAAUAAUAAUCUUAUUAAAUUUUAAUAACAAUAACAAUAAUCAUCUACCUACCAAAAAUUCUGCUAAGGGUAUUUUGGUUAUUUUAGUUUUUUUCCUCAUGCUAUUACAACAUUAUUCCAUUCAACCAAACAAAAGAAUGCUAUUAUAGUUUCUAUUCCAUUCCAUUCAACCAAACAGUUGAAUUACUGAUUACAGCUCUAUUCAAUUACAGUGAACCAAUCGUACUAUUGAUGUUUUUGUUUUGGUAGCUUGAGAUUAGAUUAUUCUUCGGUUGGAUAGGGUCAGGAUAAAACAAUAUUUUUAAACAUAUUUUUAUGUUUAGGUUAAGCCUAUUUUGAAAUAUGAGCUUAAUGUUUUGUGCCCAUUUUUUAUUGUUAAUAUUUAGAUUUAAUUCGAUAUUUCUAGAUUAAGUUAAAUUAAAUGUUUCUUUUUCUUCUUUCUUUUUUUUUUGUAAAAAAAUUUCUUCAAUCUCUUACAAUUUUGAAAUUAAGUAAAUUAGUCCCUCUUAAAAAAAUUGGAGCAAUUAAAUCAAUUUCAAUUUCGAAAGUGAGCAACUAAAGACAAUUAAUGUCUUCUAUUAAUUGUACAUAAUUUUGAUUGGUAUAAUAACAAUUCUAACCUUCAAUGUUUAUAUAUUUUGUCAUUUUAGAUUUAAUUCUAAAAAAAAUCAACAAACUCGACCUCAAUAUUUACACAUUCGCUCAAAUGUUGCGGGAUAAAUUUGUUAAGUCACGACUAAAUUGAUGGAACUUGUAAACUUUGUGGGCUAAAUUUAUAAUUAUACCAAUCAAAAUCAUGUACAAUUGAUGAAAUACUUUUAUGAUUAAUUAUUCUUGAUUUCUCAUUUUCAAAAUUAAUAUGGAUUAAAUUAAUUUGAUUUUUUUACAAAAACCAAUUUACGACCAAAAAUAUACUUUUAUCAAUAUUUUUUCAGAAUCACUAAAAUAGAAUGUACUAGAGUUAUAUUUAUAAUCGCAAACAAGUAUAAAUAUAUGUAAAAUGCAAAAAAUCCACCCAUUGGACUAAAUUCACUUUUAUGAUAAUUGCAAUGAAUUAUUGUAAAACUCGAAUUUGAAUACUCAAUGAACUAAUGCCUCAAUUUUUUUGUUAACAAUCUCAAGAUUUUAUUGGCAUAUAUUUAUUAUUUUUAAAAUUAUAUAAAAUACUAAUACUUUAGUCUGGAGUAAGUUUAGGCUUGAAAUCUUUUACUCAAAGCUCGAUUCAUUUAUAAAAUGAGUCUUUUUAUUUACACCCAUAUUUUAAGCUUAAUAUUUUUGUCUAAAUCCUUUCAAAUCUCGAGAUUAAAUGUUAAAUAGUCGCUUUAAUUUGUUAUGUUAUAGUAUGUUUGGAAAAAUAAAAAAAUCAACCUAAUUUUUUUAGAUGAUUAUUGGAAUAAAUAUAAAAACACUAUUGUUAUUAUAACCUAACCAAAUUCUAUUUUUAUUUAUUUUAUAAUUAUUUUUAAUUUUUAUGAUGUAAAAAUAAAUGAUUUAUAUUUAAAAUGGUAAAUGAAUUUAAAAAAUAUAUAAAAAAUAUUUCUUAUAAAAAAUACUAUAAAAUAAUUGUUUUUUUACUUGAAAAUUUAGUUAUUUAAAAAAAAAUAGUUCUGGAAAACACUUUAAAACUUUACCAAAUAAUGUCUAAAAUACAUAAAACAAAGCCCAUUUUUUCAAAAAUAAGUUAAAAAAAUUUAAAACUCAAAAUUAGUAUAGAAAAAUAAAGAACUAAAACCAAAUCAAAUCAAAUUACCAUGGACAAUUUCAACAAUUCAAAAAACCCAAUCGAAUUGAACUAAACUUACGCUUAAAUAGGGGUGAGUGUUCGAUCAAACCAAGUGAAAAAAAUUGAGUUGACGAGUCCUAUUUUAUCAUCCUAACUCAAUUUGAAAUUUUUUCAAAUCAAGUUGAGUGAAAUGAAAUUUGAGUCGAGUCGAAUCGAAUGAAAUUGUUCGAGUUAAAUUAAAAAAAUUAAACAUAAUUUCAUGUUAAAGCACAUAAAUUUGAAACCAUAUAUACUUCAAGGUUUUUUCGAAAAAAAUAAUAAAAAAUACUUUAGUAUUAUAAACUUGAAUCAUUAAUUAACUUAUUUAGGUCCCAAUAAUAUUAUUCUAGAAAAUUUUUAAUUUUUUAACUUUCUUUAUAUAUUUUUUAGAAUUCUUGUUUGAAAUUUUUAGAAUUCUUUAAAAAAAUAUUGUAAAAUUUUGUUUUUCAGUGGUGUCAGAAACAAUGGUUUCGAGGCAAAAAAUUCGACGAAUAAGUUCAUAAAUAUUAUUAUUUAAUAUUUACGAGUCAAAUAUUGUUUUAAAAAGAUUUUUAAUAUGGUAAUUUAUGUUAUAUGAAUGAUUAAUUAGGUUCAAGUGGUAUGACUCUAAAGUCAAGUGGUUCAAGUGUUGUUAAGAUUGUAUUAAAGUUUGAUUAAGAAAUCUCAAAGUUCAGAUAGUUAAUUAAUUUAAAAGGACCAAUUGUAAGAGUUGCAAAAGUAAAUUUUUAUUAGUAAUAGGUAUUUAAUAGUUAAGGAAAUAAAAAUUUAUGGAGUUAAUUGGUAAAUAUGCCAUGUGCUUAUAUAUAGUGGACGGUUAGUUGAAUGUGUAAAUUGAAUGUAUAAUUAACCGCAAUUUGGUAAUUAACUAAUUAAUGUGAAAAUUAAAUAAAACAAUUAAGGCAAUCGUCUUUCUCCUUGAUGUUUUGCCGAAUUUGAGAAUGAAAGAAGCCAUGCAAGGGGGUUUGAGCAUUCAGUCUUCUUUUAGAGCAUACAUGGUAUGCUUUUUGAGUUUAUUUCUAGUAAAUUUUAUGUUUUUGAGAUUAUUAUUGUAACACCAUAAAUAAUUUAUUUUUGAUUCUGUAAUUAUUUAAUAUGAAUGUGUAUCUACUUCAGUGGUUGAGUGUUUUGGGUAUGUUUUAAGAAGUCUUGGGUUCAAGCUUCAUCUUUGCUAAUUUUGUUAUUUUUUGAUCCAAGCCUUACCCUUCUUGAGUGGGCUUAUAUAAAUUGUCUGUUAAUCUAUAUCACAAUGAACUUGUUGGUUCAAGUGGUAAGGGAGUAGGUGUGUAGGAAGUCUUGUGUUUGAACCUCUGCGUGAGUAUGGGUAUUAAUUUUGCUCAGUUGUCUGUUAGAGUUUCAGUGGAGUUAAAAUUUUGAAACUGAGAGAAUUGAGUUAGUGGGUUAAUGGGAGGAAAUUAAGCGAUAUGGGAUAUCUAUUAUUUUUAUUUUUAUCUUUUUAUUUUUCAAAUUUUCUCUCUCCUACAAAGAAAAUCACAUUAGAAUUUCUUUAUUUUCCCCUCUCUGACGUUUUUCCUCCAUCUCUGCAACUCUCUGUUUUGGUUUUCUUUCGUUUUGGCUUGUGAACCCAUUGUUCGAUCGUAUUGUUGGAAUUGCCAGAUUCUCCUUUUGGUGUGGUAAGUAGAACUCUAUUUUCGUUGAUUUUUGGUUUGAGAUUUUUGCAAUGGCAAUCUGGGGAGAUUUAUUGAUGGUUCGGUGUUUAGGUGAAGAUUGUGAAACAGAGAAUUGUAUUUUAGCAGUUUAGUGCACGUUAGAGGCAUUUUGGCAUCGGUGGUAAGUCGACUCCUUGUCAAUUCUUGUGUUGAAUUUGUUAACUAAUCUGUUAAAUCGAUGUUGGGUACACUGGUUUUAGGUCUUAAAAGGCUUGGGAUAGUUUUCGCAUCAAAUUGAUACCAAGUGUGUACCCAAAAUGUAAAAAACGAGGCUUCGGCAAAAGCCAAAAAACUGUUCUAUCGACACCACAAGGGUGUGUGGUCACCUGUAUGGUUGGUCGUGUGCGAGACAAGACCGUGUGGUCGACAAAGGCAUGGCCGUGCGCAAGACACGACCAUGUAGUGCCGUGAGCGCGACCGUAUGAGCCACACAGGCUAGGCCAAGUUGGGCGUGUGGGGCCAUACGGGCAUGCUACACGGGCAUAUGGGUUUUUGGGCCAGACCGUGUGGGUCCAUAUGGGCAAGCCACAUGGGCAUGUGGGCUCAUAAUUCUAGAAAUUUCCCUAAGGACACACGGGUCUCUCCGAUCGACUGUGGGCCUACCGUAGGGUCGGUAAGGGCUAACCAAACUUUAAUUUAUGUGAUUUGAUAUUAUGAUAGUAUGCUCUGAGCAUGACUGUCCAUUCUGCUAUCUGUAUUUCUGAUAUCUAUAUAUAAGCAAGUUGAGCAUGUUUAGUCUGUUAUUUUUGUAUUUGUUUUUGUAUAUGAUUUUGGGGUGGGAAUUGUAUAUGAUGAGGAAGCAUUUUGUACGAUGAUCAUCACGUAUAUUCUGGCAGCUUGGCUACACAUUAUCUGACGUGUUGCUAUGGCACGAUAUGGUAUGUAGGGAUGGGUGGGUGUUUUAAACCCCACAUGGUGUGUUGGGAUGGUCGGAGAUGAUGUGUAGAGGAUGGGGUAGGAUUCUGUAUGUCUGAUUUUGUUUACUGUAUCUGAAAUGGGCACGAGCCCAAAUUUGUACCUGAUUGAUUAAGAGAUUGUUGUAUGUUUGCAUGUUUAAUUUUGUAGGGUUACAUAUUGAGUUACAAAAACUCAUGUCUGUAUGUCUCUAUUCCAUUCAAGUAAUCUACGAACUUGGCAGAUCAGUGCAGCAGAGACUCAGCGGUGAUCACUCGACCGUAAACUAUUAAAACUUGCUCAUUUAUGGUUUUAUUUAAGAUUUUGGUUUUCAAUGGAGAGUUUGUAAUUUUUUGGACUUUGUAGACUGUAUGGUUUUUUAACUUUUGGUUUUGGAUUCUUUUGAUCGAUAUCUUGCAUGCCUCAACAAAAUGUUUCUCUUAAAACAACGAUUUACGCAGAAAAAGGUUUUUCUAAAAAACACGACUUUAUUUUCAAAUAUAACGGUUUUAAGGCUUCGGCUGUAAUAGGUUUUUGGCAAAUGAACUAAUUAAAUUGUGUUUUGAGUAAAAUUGUGAAUGUAUGUGAAUUAUGAAAUGUGAAUUAUUUGACAAGACAACUCCAUUUUCAAACCAAUUUUUUGUGACAUCUUCGGAUUCGGCCAUUACGUCUAGGCCGGGUUUAGGGUGUACAUUUAGUGGUAUCAGAGUCAGGUUGCAAAACUCAAGCUGUAAAAUUUUGGAUUCCAAAAUUGUGUUUCAAAAAGAAUUGGUUUUUAAAUGAUUUGAAUAAUUGAGAAAGUAUGUGGUACACCGAGUCUCCAACGCCGAUCUUGUAAGUAUUUCUGAAACUUAGAAAGUAUAUUCUAAAAAUACUAUAGAUAGUACUUUCUAGAAUCAUACUGAAAUAGUUAGAGACUGAAACUUCUGAAAACAUCUUUGAACUUUUGAUAAUUUAUGCAUAAAAUCUGCUAAUAAAUACUGGAACUGAUGUAUAAAACUUUAUAAUAUAGAUAAAUUCGAAUUAUACAAUGAGCGCUCGUAGAACUCGUAGAUGUGGUAUUCGUGGCCGUGGAAAGGGCCGUAGGGGCUCGAGUUGAGUUUUUCUCUUUGGGCAGUAUGCCACAUUUAGAUAUGAGUGAGACACCGGUUUCUUCUACUACUAAGACUGGGUCUCAAAUUCGUUUGGCUGGGGACGACGCACUAUCCCAAGCCAUGUUGAGGAUUUUGGAGAGGGUUGCUGGACCCUAUUCUGGUUCUGGGAGCCGUGGGUCGGUAACUGAACAACUCCGGUCCAAUGGUGCUUAGCUGUCUAGGGGUGUCACUUGAGUUGCCCCUACUGUGGCCAAGUAUUGGUUGGAGGCCACCGAGAGGAUCAUGAAUGAUAUAUAUUGUACAUCCGAGCAAAAACUUAAGUGUGUAGUCUCUUUAUUUCGUGACAAGGCAUAUCAGUGGUGGUUAUCAGUUGAGAAGGGUACUCAGCCUGAUCGUUUAAAUUGAGAUUUCUUUAAGACUACCUUCCAGGGAAAGUAUGUAGGGGCGAGCUAUGUAGAUGCUCGUAGGCGUGAGUUUAUGAAUCUCACGUAAGGUGGUAGAUCUGUGGUCGAGUAUGAGGUUGAGUUCUUGAGGUUAAACCGCUACACUCGAGGUAUGAUGGCUUCUGAGUAUAAGAGGUGCGUCUGGUUUGAGGAUGGAUUGAAGGAUAAUUUGAGGGUACUGAUUGCUCCACAGAGGGAGCAAGAGUUCACAGUUCUGGUUGAGAAGAUGAAGAUCAUCGAGAAUGUUAAGCGCGUGGAAUGCCAAAAUAGGGACCGAAAGAGAGGUAAGGAUAAGAGGGAUUCAGAGCCCUCUAGUUCUAUUCAGAGGCCUAAGAAAAAGGCUAGACUUGAUAGACCGUUUAGAGUGGGAGCUCCUGUUGCUCUUACUGGGAUUUAGCCGUGUGAAGAUUGUUGUAGGCGCCAUCCGGGUGAGUGUUGGAGGAGGGUAAGGGCUUAUUUGAGAUGUGGGUCUUUAGAGCACCGUAUUAGGAAGCAGCCUGCGUUGGUUUAUGCUGCUUGACGCCGAGUGGAUAGAGAUGCUCCAAAUGUUAUCACCGGUAUGUUCUUAAUUUUUUAUGUACUUUACACUGCUUUGAUAAACACUCCUAUGUAGUUAGUUCUGUUUCUGGAAACUUGGGGAUUUCUGUUAAGAGCACUUCUAGUGAGGUUACUAUACUGAUUCCAUCAAGGCAGUCUGUUUGGGUUAGUAAACUUUAUAGGAGUGUUCCGUUAAUGGUGCAAGGGGCUGUCUUUCUGGCAAAUCUGAUGAAGCUUACGUUUAGGGAAUUUGACUUGAUUCUGGGUAUGGAUUGGUUGGUCAAGCACCGAUUAGUCUGGAUUGUGCGACUAAGAGGGUCGUUCUAAGGAUUGAGGAUGACAAGGAGGUGGUUAUGAUUGGUGAGCGUCGAGAUUAUUUAUCCAAUGUGAUCUCCGCUCUUGUGGCUGAGAAACUAGUUCGGAAAGGGUGUGAGGCGUACUUGGCUUACGUCAGUGUUUCUACUUCUAGGACUCCUCUUUCAGGGAUAUCAGAAUAGUCGGGGCUUUUUCGAAUGUCUUUCUUGAGGAAUUUCCAGGCUUACUUUUGAACCAAGAAGUUGAGUUCAGGAUUGAGUUUCUACCGGGUACAGCUCCGGUGUCUAUCGCUCCCCUACCGAAUAGUACCAAAAGAGCUUACGGAGCUUAAAGCUCAACUUCAAGAGCUUCUGGAUCGUGGUUUUAUCCGUCUUAGUGUGUUCUGUGGGGGGCACCGGUUCUGUUUGUGAAGAAAAAGGAUGACACUAUGAGGAUGUACAUCGAUUAUCGACAAUUGAAUAAGUUAACUGUGAAGAAUAAGCAUUCACUUUUGAGGAUCGGCGAUUUGUUUGAUCAAUUCCAAGGGGCUUCAGUGUUCUUGAAAAUAUAUCUCCAUUCUGGGUAUCAUCAGUUGGGAGUUAAGGAGGUGGAUGUUCAUAAGACUGUAUUUAGGACUCUUUAUGGACAUUACGAGUUAACUUACCAUUUAUACAACCAAACAAUUAAACAAAGUAUAUCAAAUUGACUUGCCAAAUGCCUAUACACAAGCAUUCAUCAACAAGUUAGUCACAUAAGUAUAUGUAAUCAUCCAUUAUCUCAAUUUAAUACUCAAUACAUUGUAUCAUAUCAAAUUCAUAUAUCAUAUAUAUCAUUUGUAACAUUUCACUCUCAAUCAUAUAAACAGUAAAUCAUUCGAUAACAAUACUCAUCCGUUUAAUCAGUACUUUAUCCAUAUAACACAUAGGUUUUUCACAUAACCAAUAACAAAAUUUAUGCCCGUUGAACCUAUUAAAAUUUCAAAGGAUACUCGGGUGAUAUACAUUAAAUAUAUAAAUUAGCAAUCUGUCAAUUUAUUAACAUUUCCACACUUUCGAGCUAUGAUUAGUAAGCUCCUCCAGAGCUGAUGGACAGUAAGCUCUAUUGAGCUAAAACGGUAAGCUCUUAUGAGCUGAAAACAGUAAGCUCUUAUGAGCUAAUAUAUCGGUAAGCUCAUACGAGCUGCGGUGAGUCCACAACACAUGCAGGAUCUCAACCUAAACGGUAACCUUAGUGACAUGUCACUCGUAUCCUACGAAUUCAUAUGGUUCAAACGGGGCUCGGUAACCAUCAAACUAUAUCAAUAAGGCAUUUGAAUUUCAAUAUAUCAUUUUAUAAAUUACAUACAUUCAUUUCAAAUAAUCACAAGUACUGAAAAGUUCGAUUCUAAUUAUACGAACUUACGUCAUUCGCUGUAACGACAAAUUAGGUAGACUAACUCGAUACUUUGUUUUCCCCCGUUCUAAAUCCAAAUCUCGUUUAUAUCAAUCUAUAUAAUAUCAAAUUUUACUUAUUUAAUCAUCAUUUCAUUCAAUUUGGCACAAAACACACAUUAGGGCUAUUUUACACAUUUUCCCCUAAACUUUCACAUUUUUACUAUUUAGUCCUUAUCACAUAAAAUUGCAAAUUCAUGCAAUUUAGAACAAACCCAUGCUUAGCCAAAUUUUAAUGGACUCCCUAGAAACCCAUAUCUUUUAUUUAUUUACACUUUUACUCACAUAAUUUUACAUUUUCACAAAUUAAUCCCUUUUUGACAUUUUUUGUCAAAAAUCACUUUACAAAAUUAGUAAAUCUAUCAAUAAACCUUCAUAAUCUAUCAUCAAUAUCAAUUUAAUCAAACAUUCAACAAUGGAAACAUGUUAAAUUUUUAACAUUUUCGAAAUCUAAGAUAUGGGCUAGCUAGAAUACAAAGCAAUAAUCUCAAAAAUGUAAAAAUCAUUAAAAACUGAGAUCAAAAACCAUACCAUACAAAGGUAAUACAUAGCUGAACCUUCAAGUCUCUUCCAUGGUUUUUUUCUCUUAGAUAUUCGAUGGUGGUUCAAGGAAAAAGAUGAUAACCAUAUUUUAUUUUGUUUAAUUUUAUUAAUAUACACCUAUUUACUAUUAUAACCUUUUAAUUUAAAACAAAUUUCAACAAUACCAACUCUCAUAAAUGUCCACUAUUACUUAAAUGGUAUAAUUACCAUCCAAGUACUCAAACCAUUAAAAUCUAUAACCAUUUAAUGCAUUUCACUAAUAGAACUCAAGUUUUGUACUUUACGCGAUUUAGUCCUUUAAUCAAAUUGAGUACUCAAAUAGUGAAAUUUCUUAACGAAAUUUUCACACCAACAUAAUAUCAUACUGAAAAUAUAAAAAUAAUAAUAAAAUAAUAAUUUUUACUUUGAAUUUAUGGUCUCAAAAUCACUGUUCUGAUUUGACCCAAAAACGGGCUGUUAUAGAGAGUUUGUAAUUUCUGGGACUUUCUAGACUAUAUGGUUUUUUAACUAUUGGUUUUGGUUUAUUUUGAUAGAUAUCUUGCAUAUCUCAACAAAAUGUUUCUCUUAAAAUGACAGUUUACGUAGACAAAAGUUUUUCCAAAAAAGACAACUUUAUUUUCAAAUAUAACAGUUUUAAGGCUUCCAUUGUAAUAGGUUUUUGGCAAGUGAACUAAUUAAAUUGUGUUUUCAGUAAAAUUGUGAAUGUAUGUGAAUUAUGAAAUGUGAAUGAUUUGAUGAGAAAACUCCAUUUUCAAACCCAUUCUUUGUGACAAAUCCGGUUUCGACCAUUACAUCUAGGUCGAGUUUAGGGUGUUACAGUUAUAACUAAGUCUAGCUAGUCUGUACCUUCAAUUUUAAAACUGUUAAAGAUUUUGAAUGUUUCCAUUGUUGACUCUUUGUGAUUUUAGAUGUUAAAUGAUGAAUUUGAAGUUUUAGUUGUCAUUUAUAGGCAUUUUGUUAAGUGAUUUUUGAUAAUUUUAACGAUUAAGGAUUAAAUUGUUGAAAUAGUAAAAAUAUAAGGACUUGAUGUGAAAUUGUUACAAAUAUGGACUGUAUUGGAAGCUAUGAACAUUUGGCUGACAUGAAUUUUCAAUAAAUUUGGGGCAAUUUUGUAAAAAUUGAAUUAAAGUAAAAAGUUAGAGGCAAUUUUGGAAAAAUGUCAAAAAAUGACUAAAUUGCAUAAAAUAAAUUGUUUUACUAUCUAAAUUAAUAAAUUGAAUGAAAUUAUUAAUUUAGAUCAAGAUCAAGUGAAAAAUCGAGGAGAAUGGAAAAUUACCAAAAAACCUUUGUACUUUGACAUUUUUGUAAUUUAGCCAGGUAAGCUUGUAAUUGAGUUGAUUGGCUUGAAGGAAAGUGAUUAAGACCAUAGUUGAAAAACACUAUGGGACUAUACUGGAGAAUAAAUAAGACCAUAGUUGAAAAACACUAUGGCACCAUACUAGAAAUGAGUAAGACCAUGACUGAAAGACGCUAUGGCAUCACGAUUCUAUCAAGUAAGACCAUGAUUGAAAGACGUUAUGGCAUCACGAUUCUAUCGAGUAAGACCAUGACUGAAAGACGUUAUGACAUCACGAUUCUAUCGAGUAAGACCAUAACUAAAAGACGCUAUGGCAUCACGAAUCAAACGAAUAAGACCAUGUUUGAAAGACACCAUGGAACACUCCGAUCAUUUGAUAUUCAAGUAACACAUUUCAAGUGAGGUAUGUAUCGUAAGUAUGAAUACGAGUUGAAUGUUUGACCAGUAUAGUUUGAUAUGUAUGUUAAUGCCUUGGUGUAAUUAUAUAUUCUUAUUAUGUCUAUAAAUACAUUAAAUCGUGAUGUUGCAGUGUGUUUAAAGAAUUAAAUGGUUACUUGAGCAUUUGCCUAAUAUUCUAUGUUAUUUCAUUUGAUUCAACGGGCAUGAAAAUGGAAGGAACAAUAAAUAUUCAAAUGAUUUAUAUUAUGAAAACUAUGAAAAAGAAUGAAAAGGAAAUGUUAAAUGAAAGUAUGACUAUAUUCAUGGAAUUAAUGAUUUCAAGUGAGGUUAUUCAUGUUUAAUGACUUAUCUUAUGUUAUUCAAGUGAAUUAUGAAUUUAUAUAUUUACAUGUGCUGUUGAUGAUGUUUAGGCUUAUGCUAAGCUAUUGGUUGGAUUGUAUUAUGUUAGUUUUAAAAAAAUGUAUUGAAAUGGUGAGUGACCAAAUGGAAAAAUGCUUAUGUGCAUGAUAGAGUGGUAAAAAUAAAAGUAUGUAAUUUUUCAUGAAAUGGUUUAUUUUGUAGUUGAUUUUAAAAGAGUUAUGCUUAAAUGCACUAGCUUGUCGCUAUGGUUAAUGUUAUGUUUAUGCCUUAUAUGUUAUGCAAAUGAAAUGGAUGAGAAUAGGUAAUGAAAUGAUAAGUUCAUAGUUGAUAUGUAAUGUGAUGAAAAGAAAGAAUUGUUGAGUUAAAGGACUUACUUGUAAGGAAGAAAUUUACUUAUUGUAUAUGUGAGUUUACUUAUGUCAUGAAUAAAUACACUAGUUUGUGAGUUAAUAAUGUAAUUAAGUUUAUACUAAGUAAAUGGAAUGGUAAGUAAGUAGAUGAAAUGGUUCAUCGUUUUAAGGAAAAGUUGAUAAUUAUGUAAGUCAACCUAUGAAACCUUGUUAUGUUAUGAAUGAAAGGUGUAUGUAAUGUUUAUAAAUAUACUCAAUUGUGAGUUGAAUGGUGUUUAAUAGGUUUAUACUAAGUUUGAAGUAUUGGUGUUGAAUCAUGUUUAAUCUAUGUAUGACAGUAUUGAAGUGAUAAGUUAUGUUUCAAGUUUAUACAAACUUAUUAAGCAUUCAUUGCUUAUGUAGUCAUCUCUAUCUUACUUUGCAGAUUAUCAAAAGUUCAAUCGAUUUGGAAACUCGUUAGAGAUCUAUCACACUAUCCAGCAAUUAUAUUGGUAGAUUCUGAUGUAUUGAUCAAGGUUAUAAUGACAUGUAUAGGUGGAUUUAUGUAUAAAUGAUCUAGUUAUUGUUUUGGUAUGUAUAAGUGUCAUUACGGUUAAUGUACCUAUGAUAUCUUGAUGGUGGGUGUUAAUAUGGUUAAGUUGAUGCAUGGUUUUAUGAAUAAAGAGGUAAGUUUGACAUGUAUGCAAUAUGGUUAAUUAAGGUAUGCUUGAAUAUGGAAUUUAGUUAAGUGUGUUUGUAUAAAAAAUGACCGAUUGGAUAUAUAUCGGUGUAGUUCAAUGUGGUCAAUUAUGGUAUACCUUGGUAUGGAAUUAAGCUAAAUUUAUAUGGAUGAGUUAUGGUCAAAUAUGUAUAAGUUUAGGUAUAUGUGUGUUUGAAAUGCAUGAGAACAAUAGUUCAAAUGGUAUGUUUUAAAAUGGUAGCAAGGUAACCAAUUAUGCAUAUGUGUAGUUAAGUUGAAUGCUUACUUUUUAGGUGUCAUAUAUGGCAUAUUAGUUAAAAGAAAUUUGGUCAAUUGAAUUGGUCAUAGUAUGUAUAUUUUGGUAUGUUUUGAUACCUUGGUCAUAUGUGCAAAUGGCUUGUAAGGGUGUGCUUGAAUUGGGUGAAAGAAAUGGUUUCAAUUUAGCUUAUUUAUAGUCUACACGCCCUAAGACAUGGACGUGUGUCUUAUCCGUGUGUGACACACAACCAUGUGACACGAACGUGUGUCCCCUGUAGGUAUUAGUGGUUGCAUUUCGAAGGUUACAUGGCCUGACACACGGGCGUGUGGCUUGGUCGUGUGGUCCAAGUCAGAGAGUUACACGGGCUAGGACACAGUUGUGUGUCCCUAUUUCGAAUGUUACACAGCCUGAGACAUGGGCGUGUGUCUCAGUCGUGUGACCCCUACAGUGUGAAUUUUUCCAACUUUUUUCCUUAAGGUUUCAUAUGUUCUCGAUUUAGUCCCGAAUUGUUUCUAAAGUGUUUCUAAGGCCUCAAGGGUUCGAAUAAGGGAUGAUAUGCAUGUGUUUGAAUGAAUUAUGCUAAGGUUCAUCUAAUGUUUGGAAAUGAAUGUUUUAAGUUACAAUUUUAUGGUAAUGCUUCGUAACCUUAUUUCGACGACAGAUACGGGUUAGGGGUGUUGCAAAUAUAAAUUUAAGAAUUUUUAUAAAUAUUUUGAAUUUUAAAAAUUAUUUUGAAUUAUUUUGUAAUUUUUGUGGGGAGAGACCAACUUGCUCAUUUUCAACUUGAGAGGGACCAAAAGGGUAUUUACAUCAAUCUGUUAUUCGAAUUAUUUGAAUUGUAAAAUUUAACUGGAUUUAAGCUCAAAACUCGAAUUACUUAGUCGAGUUGAUUCAGAAAAUUUGAAUAACUUGAUUCAAUUAACUUGAAAUUCGGAUUUUUUUUCAAAUUUUUUAAAUCGAAUUGAAUUUUGCUCACCCCUACUCCUACAUAUUAAAAAAUUGUUAUUUAUUGAGUCAAACAAAUUUUGUCUCACUGUUCCUAAGAGUAGGGAGACCAUUGUAAGGCAAAUUAUAUAGGGAAAAUAAUUUUUUUGAUACAAUUUUUAUAACCAUCCAUAAUUGUCAAACCCUUAAAUUGAAAAAAUUAUACGCUUAAGGGUACUCAAACCCAUGUUCUCUUAAUUGUGGAAAAGAAAUUAACAUUGUGUUAAAAGGUUUAUAUAACAUAAAUAAUUGCAAAAUAUCAAAAACUAUAUUUAUGCAAAUAAUAAAAUGGUUAUAUGUCAUUAAUCCCUAUACUUUUCGUAAAUUUAAAAUCUAGCCAUUUUAAAAUUUAAGUCCAAUUAUUAACACUGUUCAAAUUAUUUUGUUAAAUUUAGGUUAAUUAAAACAUAAUUUUUUAGUUAAAUGGCUACUAAGUAAUUUUUUUAAAAUUUUAAAUAGUCUCAUCAACAAAAUUAACAAAAAGAAAUUAAUGGUGUUAACAAUUGGACUUGAUAUAGACCGUAAAACCUCCAAGUUGUUGGUUUGACCUUAGCCUCUAUGUAGCACCCCAAACCCAGCCCAGAAGUUAUGGCCGGAUCCGGCAUGCCACAUCAAAAACGUUAAAAAAAAUUUCCAUUCUAAGUCCAGAAAAUCGUACUUGAUGUUCAAAAGAUUAAUUCAUUAAGGGUUAAAGUGAAUGGAAGCUGUGCACCAGGUAGGAAACCGGAAAAGAGGUGGUGAGUCCAUCGGACUGCUUAAGUACCAAGCUCCCUUCGGAUCCAAUCCUAGACAUGCAUACCGCCAUUGCCACACCUUAACGUCAUGGAUAUUUCUAGGAAACCGAUUUGAUUAUGUCAUUUUUAGGAAAAGUGAUUAAUUUUGGAAAAUACUUUCAUUGCGGAAGCUUUGCUUGUUGUCGUGUUAUUUUGAAAUCAAUUGUUGUUUUUGAAAACGCGCCCUAAAGCUAUCCAAUUUCAACAGUUAAAAUAAGUAAUACCUAUCUUAGUAAUACAUAUUAAAACCAUCAAAAAUAAUUAAGCGGCCUUAUUACAUUUAAAAACCCAAAACUUCAAACGUAAAUAAAAGGAUGUCCAGUUCACUAGAAGAAAAUCAAACUUUCAGAACGGGUGGCCACUCCGAAUUCCCUCACAGCUCCAAGCCCACUAUGGUUGGGGAUUUCUUGCGUGGAUGAAAAUAAAAGGGGUGAGUUUGGGGAAACUCAGUGUGUAAGGAAAACCCAUUCAAAGCCCAAGUCAGCUCAAGCCCAUUGGGCCUAAGCCCAUUCAGGUAACAGUGAUACUGGGCCAGAGCCCUUUUCAGAUUACAAUAAACUGGGCCUUAGCCCCUUAUUCAAAUAACAGUAUGGCCCAUAGGCCCAUUUCAAAAUACAUGCAACAUCAAUAACAUAAGCAAGCCCAUUUGGGGAGACUACUCAACCCACCAACCACUACACUCCACCCGUACCAGCCAUACACUCCAUGUGGGGAAUAGCUCAACCCACCCAACCCAACACUCCACAGUUGCAGCCUUGCUGCUCAGUUAACAGUAAAUUGAGGCAAAGCCUCCAGUACGUAGACAAGCCACUUUCAGUACUUCCUCCGUCAAUAUCCCAGUCCCAUGCAUCAGAUAAUAACAACAUGGCAUGCAGUAAAUAACAAUAGUCAAACAUGCAUUUAGGUCAAUUUAACCCUAGGGGUAUUUCGAUAAUUUAUCUCCUAGGGGUAAAACUGUAAAUUUUCCACUUUUAAAGGUAUUUCAGUAAUUUAUCUAUUUUAGGAUUUUUCAUGCAUAUUCCUACCUUUCACGUACUAACAGAAUCACGAACCGAGGGUUCUUACCGAAUUGGGCCCGUUGGCCCAUCAUUCCAAUUUUGGCCCAUUAAGCCCAAAAAUAUCGAGGGCACAGAAAGCAUGCACUUUGCAGUCCAAACAUUGCAGCUUACCAAAAACAUUAAUUGAUUUACCUCACGAGCAUUCGCACACUCGCAAAUCUACAAAAUACCGGUUUUCGACAUUUCGGCUUUUUGGCUUUUGCCGAUCUAGACUAAGAAAGAGGGUGUUAGUUACACACCUGUUUGCAACGAUAUGCUGACAAGAUCCACACACGAACCGCCUACAAUUGGAUUACUAACACGUUAAUCUAACUAUUCAAAUACAAACUACGUAUUAACCCCUUAAAAUAUUCGGCCAACCACACCUACAGAUCAUAGUAAGCUUAUAAGAAAUCAAUAAGCAACUCAUUGACAAAUUUUUGUCAAUGUUUACCACAUAAUCAUAAUUUCACUGCAAGCUGUCUUCCUGAGCAAUAGUCACUAAAUCAUUUAUAACUGGAGCUACGAAACUCCAAAUCAAGUUUCGUUAAUUUUCCCUGAAAAUAGACUCAUAUAUAUUAUAUCCAUAAAAUUUUCAGAAUUUUUGGUUUGGCCAAUCAAUACCAUAUUUUUCUCAAAGUUUCGCAUGUUUCACUGUUUGACUAAUCUGACCACUCUUCAUUACGAAUCAAAUUUCUCAUUGUACAGAAUUCAAAAUAUGUUCUCGAUUAUUCCAUUUGAAACUAGGCUCAUUAAGCUUUAAUUACAUAAUUUAUUCAGCUUCUAACUCAUCUCCCACAAUUUAUGGUGAUUUUCCAAAGUCACGUUACUGCUGCUGUCCCAAGCAGAUUUAUUACCAAAUCACUCUUUCACACAUAACUUGCAUGCUUGUUUUUUAAACAUGUAUAUCACCAAUCAAUCAUCACAUAUCUAUGAUUUUACUUAAGUAUAAUCUCCAUUUCAUCAUUUUAAAGCACAACAUGUUAGCUGAUUUUUCCCUUUAACAUCUAAGGCACAUGCAUGCUCAUUUGUUUGGCUCAACUUCACCUAUCUUCCAUUUUUCAUCAAAAGAACAUGAAACAACAACCAUUUCCUUCAUUUUAAUUCAUGACUAAAUGCUCACAACACAACUAAAAACCAAAAUAUGCUUCAAGAGUUAAGGUAGAAUCAAGAAGAACUCAUGAGCCUCAAAAUAGAAGUAAGGUACCAAGAACUUACCUUCAAUUUUCCUCCUCCUAGUGACCGAAUACUCAAGAGUUUUCUCCUCUCCUUUCUCUUCUCUAACUUUCAGCUAUGAUGAACAAAGAUGGACAAAACUUUGUUCUUUUCACCCUUUUUUCUUUUAAUAAAAUUUCAUAUUUCAUCCAUUUAAUUCUUUAAUACAAAAGACAUGAAAUUCCCAUCAUGGAACAUUUACCUAACCCAUUAUCAUGAAACAUUUACCUAACCCAUUAUCAUGGAACAUUUACCUAACCCAUUAUCAAUUUGUAUCAAUUUGUACCUUAAAUUAUGAAUAUCAAGUGCACAUUUUGUCUACAACAACAUGAUGGCUGGCCACUUCAUGUAAAAUGGGAGGUUUGUCAUGCAAGUCCUAUUUUGCACUCCUAUUUAUUUGGCCACUUCAAUUUAGCCUAUAGCAUUUGCAAACAUUUUCACAUAGGUCCUAUUUCAUAAUUUCACUCACAAAUGACAAAAUCAAAGCAUGAAAUUUUGCCAACAUUCACAGAAUUCCCAAAAAUUGGGGCGUUACACUCUAGGCCAAAUCGAAUGGACUUGCAAGCAACCAAUAUCUUGAAGGAUUGGCGCUUGAAGAAAGAUGAGUUGUUGAUGAAAUGAAGGUUGCCACAAAAAUCACAAGAAAAAUUAGCAAUCAGAUUCAUGAAUAGAGGAAUCAAAAUUAAUGGAAAAUACUCAAUGCGAUUUGACCAACAAGGAAACUCAAGGAUCUAAGGGUUUGGAGCACCUUAAAAUCGAUUCUUGAUGGAGAAGUAGGCUGAAAUAAAAGAAACAAAAUAGAUUAGAAACACCAAAAACGAAUGAAAGAUUAAAAGAAAAUUGUUUGAUUAUUAGGAAGGAGUGAAGAACGACUAGGGUUAGGGUUUCUUGAAGUAAAAGAAUCCCCUUUUGAACAAGAAAGAGGGCUGAAUUUCUGAUCUGAAAUUGAGUCACCAAAAUAGAGUGAAAACAAUAAGGUGAAAAGAAGCAAUCAAAUCAAGAAAGAAGAGAGAUCUCUUCAAUUGGGGCAAUCUUGAUGGAAAAUGAUCUUUCUCGAAUGAUUCUUGAUUUGAAAAUAGAAACAAUUAGAUAAAUAAAGAAACCGAACAAAAGAAAAAAAAAUGAAAGAUGAUUAAUGGCCGAAUGUAGAAGAUGGUAAAAUAAAGAUGGAUAACGCCCUAAUAAGCCUUUGAACAAAAAAAAAUUCAACAAUCCCCUUCAAACAAUUCUAACCUCCCCUCAAAAAAGAAACUUGGAAAGAUGAAGCUUGAAAACAAUCUCCAUCAUCUAAAAAAUUGUGACAAACAAAUUCUAAAAUCAAACAAGAAAAAGUUCUGCAAAGAAACUCAAAUGAGACUAGAGAUCGGGUUUUUGGUUAUAACCGACAUCUAAGAAAGUGCUCGAUUUUUUAUACAAAACUUUGGGGUAUCUUGGAGGGUUUCAAGCUCAUCCAAAGUGGAGGUCAUGAUGAGCCCCCAAAGGAGAUUUUAGCUCUUAUUAAAUCAAACAGGACAAAAGGUUUUUUAUAAUUUAAAUUCUAAUUAAAGCUCGGAACUCGUAAUUUUCUGCAAUAAUUCUGUCCAGAAAUUCUGCUGACGAAAUCUCCACUAAUACAAUCAUAGCUUGAGUUCCUAAACUUGAAAUCGAGUGAUUCAAAGUGCAUUUUAGAACUAAGAGAUAGCUCUUCGAACACUAUGUGACAUAUCAACCCAAAAAUGCCCAAAUCCCAUCUAAAAAAUGUCAUCGCAAGUUGACUAAUUUUCCAAACUUAAAAAUUGAUAGCCUUGGUAAAUUAAAUUUAAAAAUUUCACCUCAUACUUGCAUGUAUCAAGACUUAAAUUUUGAGAUCUGAAAAGUAGUGAGACUAAGAGUCUGUUUGUUUACAUGUAAAAAGUUUUACGGAAUUUUUUUUUGCAUUUUCCUGUGUUUGUUUCACAGAAAAUAGUUUAGUCAACGGAAAAUGACUUACAGGUCAAAGUAAAAUAAGCCAUUUUUCCUGUAAAAUGACUUACCCUUUUGAAAAGCGUAAAUCAUUUUCCAGAAAAGAGCUCACCUAUAGACAAUUUUAUUUUUAUAUAAAAAUUAACUUAAAUCAAGCUUAAUAUUAUUAUAUUGAUAAUAAAUUCUAUUUUUAUUUUUAAAAAUAUUUAAAAUAUUAUAUUUUUCAAUAUUAUUAAACAUACAUAUUUAAUUAUUUAUAUUUAGUCAUAUAAAAAAUUAUUAAUAUAAUAACUAUAAUAUAUUAUUUUAAUAAUUUAUUUAAUAUUUCAAUUUUAUUUUAAUAAUAAAUUUUAAAAUAGUAUUAUUCACAUGAAAAUAUUCAAUAUUGAUAUUUUAAUAAUAAAUGUACGAGCCCAUUUUGCCCGGGCCCAUACCAACAAAAUAACUCAAAUAAUAAACCCAAAAGUAACAGCCCAUUUACAAACCCAAAAUUUGACCCAAAAUUUAAACCCAAACAAAUCAAAACCCUAAAGCCCAAAAGGCCCAAAAUCUAAAACAUUUUUCAGCAAAAUUUCAGCAGCAAACCCCAGCUCUCCAUGCCACCAUGUCGGCCACCAUGCCCCUCAGCCUUGGCCACCACGCCCCACGCGUCUGACACUCCCACCAACUCCUCCAUGUGCGCCCACCUGUUGAUUUCCGUCACCUGCAGAAUAAGACAAAAAGAAAGCAAACACUAAGACAGAGGCAGACGGCAGGAAGCAAUGGCAAGAAAUUUAAAAUAUUGUAUUGAAAUGGCUAUAAAUGCCAGAUCUGAAUGUAAUAGAAGGGGGGUUUUCUUUGUUUUUUUCGGCAUUUUAAUACAAAAAGCAGAGAAAAAUACAAAAAAAGGGAAACAAGGAACGAAAACAUAAACCGGAAGGUGAUUUUGUUUUUUUUUAUUUUUCUCUAUUAUCUUCUUAAAUCUAUUUUUUUUCUUUUCUUCCUCAUUUCUAGCAUAUAUAUACACACAUAUUCGAAAAAUAAAAAAAAACAAAAAAAUAAAUUUCUAGCAUAUAUAUACGCACGCAUUCUUAAUAUUAUUAUUACGUGUAUACAUUCAUUAUUUUCAUUUCGUGUUCAAUUCCAUUAUUACAUUAUACCUUCAUCUUUUCUAAUAUUGUUGUCACCUCGAUUAUUUGUUUCAAUAUAUUCCUAGCUCUUUCAUUUAUUGAUUUUUAUUUCAUAUUAUUUUACUUUGCAUUAUUUCGAAAAUAUUCUUAUUCAUGAUUUAAAUCAAUUUCAAUAAUCGAGGCAAUAUACCGAUUUAACAUUAAGUCAUCGAGUUCAUCGCUAUGUUGGGUGAACGUCAAUUGACUCGUGUUAAAACGGCAUACCCUUCUCAAAAACCGGGAUAAACUAAAAUUUCUCGUUUUUUUCGGAUCAUAACUAAACUUUACAUUGAAUUCGCAUUUUUGAAAAUCAAGACAACACAUGUUUAUGAGAUACCAAUUUUUGGGCGUCGCGAGGGUGCUAAUACCUUCCUCGCGUGUAACCGACUCCCGAACCCUAAUUUUCCUCUGGCUUUUAACGUAGACCUAAACUCAGCCUUUUGUUUGUUUUAAUAAAAGAUCUAAUAGGUGUCCGAUCACACCUAGGAAAAAGGAUCGGUGGCGACUCCCUAUUUAUUUCAAAAAUCAAACGUCAAAUUUUCAAUAAAUCGCCACAAUUAGCGACCGAAACCAAAAUUUUUACGUUGCUACAAUAAAUAUUUAUUACAAUUAUAAAUAUAUUAAUGAUAAAUAUUUUAUAGUAUAAAGGUUAAAAUAUGUCAUAAGUUAUGUACACUUUAACAGAUUUGCAAUUUAGCCUUUACACUUUUAUUUUCAAGAAUUUAGUCCCUUUACUUUUCAAAUUUGAAAAUCAAGUCCAAUUGUUAACAUCGUUAAUUUUUUUUGUCAAUUUUGUUGAUGUCACAUUUUUAAAUAAAAAAUAUUCACUUAGUUGUCAUGUAAUUAAAAAAUAACGUUAUAAUGAAUCUGAAUUUAACACAAUAUUUUUAAUAUAUGCAAAAAUAAUGUAAAAUAUAAACUUAUAGAUAAAAAUAAAUUCAAUUAAACAAUGAAAAAAUAAGUAAAUCUCAAAUAUAUGAUUGUUUAAUUGAAAACAACUUUUAUGAAAUAUUUUAAACAAAUCUACCAAACAACAAAAAAUGACGUUAUAAUGAAUCUGAAUUUAACAUAAUAUUUUUAAUAUAUGCAAAAAAUAAUGUAAAAUAUAAACUUAUAGAUAAAAAUAAAUUCAAUUAAACAAUGAAAAAAUAAGAAAAUCUCAAAUAUAUGUUUGUUUAAUUGAAAACAACUUUUAUGAAAUAUUUUUAACAAAUCUACCAAACAACAAAAAAUAUUUUACACAGAUUCAUCCAAACACCAGAUAAUAUUAACUUUUCCAGAAAACUAAAUCAUUUUCCAGAAAUUAUUUUUCGAAAGUCAUUUUCAGUGAAACAAACUGAGUCUAAUUGUUUAAUAGCCCAUUAAAAAAAUUAAAUCAACUGAAAAUAAAUAUUUUCAAUGAUAUAAUUUUUUAACCAUGUUUGAUAAUCUAAAAUAAGAACAAACGAUAGAAUUUUUCAAUAAAAAUGGUUGAAAAUAAUAAGCAGAUAAUGAAUUACUUAUUGCUUAAUGUGAACUUUUUUUUAAUUACUUUUAUUCUUUUAAUAUUAUCCUUUAAAAUUUUUAUAAUUAUUAUUUAUCCAACAAUUUAAUUGCAUUUUGUACAUAAUUUUAAGUAAUAUACUAAAUAAAUUUUAUAAUUUUAAGUAAUUAUAAAUUAUGAUUUGAUGCGCAGAAGUGUUCUGGUGGUUUGGUCAAAUUUUGUUAUAUAUUUUUCUAAAAUUUCUAUAUAUAUAUAUAUAUAUUAUUAUUCAUCUUAGAAUAUUUAAUAUAUAUAUAGGAAACUUGUAUAAAUUAUGAUUUGGUCUAAUUUUGUUAUAUAAAUUUUUUGAAAUAUUUAUAUAUACAUAUAUAUAUUGUCGAAACUUUUCUGGAAAUCGACUUUUUAUUUAAAAAAACGAAGAUGGAGUUGUCGCCAAUCUUUUUAUUAGAUAUGAUCGGAUCACCUUAAAACUUGAUCAUUUUAAUAAAAGGUUAAAUUUACUAAAAGGAUAAUUUUCUGUCUACAAAAUCCAAUAAGUGGGUUCGAGAGUCGGUUACGUAUGAAGAAGGAUUAGUACCCUCAUAACGCCCAAAUGUGGUACCUACUUGAUUACUUAAUGUCUUAGCGCCGAAAAUUGAAAAUUCGAAGAGAAUUUAAAAUACGAUCCCUCUUUGCAUGAUGUUAUUUAAUUAAAAAUAUCGGUAACUAAAUUAAAUUUUAUGGAAAAUGCCUUAUUUUGAGUUAAUUGAAAAGAAAAUAUCAUGCCCCGUAAGUUAGGACACGAUGUCCCGAAUCCUCGAAAACAAGAAUAAUCGUCAUUUGAUUAUUACCUAAGUCCUAUGUGUUUGUAUUUUAAAUAGGAUAUUCGAUUACUUAGGUUCAAGGAGAAAGUCGUACUCUGUAAGUUAGGAGCACCACCUCUCAGAUUCCCCAAAUAAAGAAAUUACCUUAGUUUUAAAUUAAUUCUUGCACAUUUGUGCAGAAAACCAGAUGAACGUAUGUAGCAAUAUUUACAAUACACAAUGAUGGUCAAAAUUAUGACGUUAACAAAAUAACAACAUAAAUAAUAAAAUAAAAUGACAAUAACAUAAUUAAAACAAUAAUUAAAAAUAAUGAUAAAAAAUAUAUUCAAUUAGUAGUACUAUAUAACAAUAAUGAUACUAAUAGUGGAAUAAUAUAAAAAUGUAUGAUAAUAAUAUAAAUACAUUCAUGAAAUAUUGAUUUUUGAGCAAAUUUUAGCAAAAUAAUAUUAAUUAGCAAUGAUAAUUACCUAAUAGUAUUAAUAGUAUCAGUAAUUGAAAAUAAAGGACUAAAAUAAAAUAAUCGGGAAAUUUGAGGGUAAAAAUGUAAAUUAUGCAACUUAAAGGGUAAAAAUAAAAAAAAGUAAGUACAGAUAUUUAAUUAAAUGAACAGGGGACUAAAUUGAAACUAUGACAAAACUUUAGGUAUAAAUAAAUAAAAGCAAUAAAUAAAAGGGUUAAAUAAAAAAAACAAUAAAAUACAGGGACCAAAGGAGAAAAUAACCCAAACCCAAUACACGCCCUUCCCAAAAGGGUCGAUAGUCUUGGGACUAAAUUGAAUAUGUAACAAAAUUUAAAGCAUAAAUCAUAAAAAACAAAAAAAACAGAAUAUAAAGGAUCAAAUUAAAAUAAAAUAGAAAAGUACAGGGGCUCAGAGCGUUAUUUUCCCAACUCCUAUACACGUGUCAUUCCCUUAGUGCGUCAAUAGUGGGUCAAGGGACUGAUUUUAAAAAAUGAAAUUAAGGGUAAAAAGAAUAAACAAAAGACAUAAGACGAAAUUGAAAAGGGGCAAAAAGGCGGAAGGACCAAAAUUGCAAAUAGACCCUCCCCUUGAAAACACUCGGAUCUUGGGGCUAUUUGGGUUGGAUCUUCGAGUCAUGCUUGUAACAACGGCAUUUUGGGUGUCUGAAGCCAAGGCCAAAACGACGUCAUUUUAGGGGGCUAUUUAAGUUUAAAAAACCUUAAAAAUUCAUUUUAACAGACUUAAAAAAAAAACACUCUCCCUUUCACUUUUUCUUUCUAAAAUCCUUCCCCCUUCCGAUCCCAAAGCCACCACAGACACCGUCAUCGACGGCGGCGGUCAUCGCCUCCGGUGGCCAGAAAAAUACCCAAAACACCCCAUUUGAUUCAUUUCCUCACAUAGGACACUGAUCAGGGGUUUUCGACCCAAGAAACUCAGUCAAGCCUCAACAAAAGGGUUGAAAGUCAAGCCUCGACAAAAGGGUUGAAAACCUUUCGGUUUCCCCUUUUCUAACAAGCCUCGACGGGGCUCGUCGGAACCCUAGUGGGUUUAGAGGCUUCUGGACUGAAGUUAGCGGAAGAUGGAGCAUUGCAGGUAAAAGAAAUUUAAGCUUUGUUUUAUUUUUAUAUUUUUCAAAAUAAAAAGUAAAAAAGAAUUAACUACCCUAUUUUUUAAUUUUUUUUGUAUUUUAUUUUCCUCUUCUCCGUCGAGGUCAUCAACAAACCCUAAUGGGUUAGAAGACCUUUCGAAUCGGCAGAGAGCCGCCAACGAUGGAGGUGGGAGAAGAAACGACGAAGUAAGUUUUUUUACUGUGUUAUUAUUUUUAUGCUUUUUUACCGAAAAAUAGAAGAGGAAUCAAAAUAAAAGAUUAAAAGAAUCAAAUUUGUAAUUUUUUUUAUUCUGUUGAAUUUCUUCGUAAAAAAAAAGAGCAAAAAAAUACAAAUAUUUCUUUGUCUUUUUAUAGCCAAAAUACAACAUAUUAUUUUUUGUCGUUUUCCUUUCUGUGUCUUUGCUUCUAUUUCUUUAUUUUCUGCAUGUGGUGGUAGCAAGGACGAGGAUGUGGUGUUGGGCCUCAGGUGGCACGCCUGCUGAACAUGGCGAGGGGAUCGGCGGCGCUAAUGGCAUUUAAAAAUUAGGGUUUUUUUAUUAGUUUAGGUUUUUGGGCUUUCAGGCUUUUUUGGGCUUGUAUUUUGUAACUUAACUUUUUUUUUUGAACUUUUAUUAACUUUAUGGUUUUUUUUUUCAUUUGUUUGGUUUAGGCAUGGCAAAAUUGGGCCAGUACAUAUAUAUUUAUAAUUUUAAGAGGUUAAUUCAUUUUAAAAUAGUCAUGGCUUCAAACUAUUUUGGGGCAGAAUUAAAAUAAAUUGUCCCAUUAUUUUUUCAUUAUUGUUUGACUGUAACACCCCAAACCCGGCCCAGACGUUAUGACCGGAUCCGACAUGCCACAUCGAAGCGCUCAAAACAUUUUAUAUUGUUGAUCCAGAAAAAAACUUACUUAGUGUUUUAAAAGAUAAUUUCAUUAUAGGUUAAAGUGAAUGGAAGCUGUGCACCAGGUAGGAAACCGGAAAAGAGGUGGUGAGUCCAUCGGACUGCUUAAGUACCAAGCUCUCUUCGGAUCCAAUCCUAGACAUGCAUACCGCUAUUGCCACACCUUAACGUCAUGGAUAUUUCUAGGAAACCGAUUUGAUUAAGUCAUUUUUAGGAAAAGUGAUUAAUUUUGGAAAAUACUUUCAUUGCGGAAGCUUUGCUUGUUGUCGUGUUAUUUUGAAAUCAACUGUUGUUUUUGAAAACGUGCCCUAAAGCUAUCCAAUUUCAACAGUUAAAAUAAGUAAUACCUAUCUUAGUAAUACAUAUUAAAACCAUUAAAAAUAAUUAAGCGGCCUUAUUACAUUUAAAAACCCAAAACUUCAAACGUAAAUAAAAGGAUGUCCAGUUCACCAGAAGAAAAUCAAACUUUCAAAACGGGGGGCCACUCCGAAUUCCCUCACAGUUUCAAGCCCACUAUGGUUGGGGAUUUCCUGCGUAGAUGAAAAUAAAAGGGGUGAGUUUGGGGAAACUCAGUGUGUAAGGAAAACCCAUUCAAAGCCCAAGUCAGCUCAAGCCUAUUGGGCCUAAGCCCAUUCAGGUAACAGUGGUACUGGGCCAGAGCCCUUUUCAGAUUACAAUAAACUGGGCCUUAGCCCCUUAUUCAGAUAACAGUAUGGCCCAUAGGCCCAUUUCAAAAUACAUGCAACAUUAGUAAACAUAUGCAAGCCCAUUUGGGGAGAUUACUCAACCCACCAACCACUACACUCCUCCCGUACCAGCCAUACACUCCAUGUGGGGAAUAGCUCAACCCACCCAGCCCAACACUCCACAGUUGCAGCCUUGCUGCUCAGUUAACAGUAAAUUGAGGCAAAGCCUCCAGUACGUGGACAAGCCACUUUCAGUACUUCCUCCGUCAAUAUCCCAGUCCCAUGCAUCAGAUAAUAACAACAUGGCAUGCAGUAAAUAACAAUAGUCAAACAUGCAUUUAGGUCAAUUUAACCCUAGGGGUAUUUCGAUAAUUUAUCUCCUAGGGGUAAAACUGUAAAUUUUCCACUUUUAAAAGUAUUUCAGUAAUUUAUCUAUUUUAGGGUUUUUCAUGCAUAUUCCUACCUUUCACGUACUAAUAGAAUCACGUACCGAGGGUUCUUACCGAAUUGGGCCCGUUGGCCCAUCAUUCCAAUUUUGGCCCAUUAAGCCCAAAAAUAUCGAGGGCACAGAAAUCAUGCACUUUGCAGUCCAAACAUUGCAGCUUACCAAAAACAUUAAUCGAUUUACCUCACGAGCAUUCGCACACUCGCAAAUCUACAAAAUACCAGUUUUCGACAUUACGGCUUUUUGGCUUUUGCCGAUCUAGACUAAGAAAGAGGGUGUUAGUUACACACCUGUUUGCGACGAUAUGCUGACGAGAUCCACACACGAACCGCCUACAAUUGGAUUACUAACACGUUAAUCUAACUAUUCAAAUACAAACUACGUAUUAACCCCUUACAAUAUUCGGCCAACCACACCUACAGAUUAUAGUAAGCUUAUAAGAAAUCAAUAAACAACUCAUUAACAAAUUUUUGUCAAUGUUUACCACAUACUCAUAAUUUCACUGCAAGCUGUCUUCCUGAGCAACAGUCACUAAAUCAUUUAUAACUAGAGCUACAAAACUCCAAAUCAAGUUCUGUUAAUUUUCCUUGAAAAUAGACUCAUAUAUAUUAUAUCCAUAAAAUUUUCAGAAUUUUUGGUUUGGCCAAUCAAUACCAGAUUUUUCUCAAAGUUUCGCAUGUUUCACUGUUUGACUAAUCUGACCACUCUUCAUUACGAAUCAAAUUUCUCAUUGUACAGAAUUCAAAAUAUGUUCUCGUUUAUUUCAUUAGAAACUCGACUCAAUAAGAUUUAAUUACAUAAUUUAUUCAGCUUCUAAUUCAUCUCCCACAAUUUAUGGUGAUUUUUCAAAGUCACGUUACUGCUGCUGUCUCAAGCAGAUUUAUUACCAAAUCACUCUUUCACACAUACCUUGCAUGCAUGUUAUUUAAACAUGUAUAUCACCAAUCAAUCAUCACAUAUCUAUGAUUUUACUUAAGAAUAAUCUCCAUUUCAUCAUUUUAAAGCACAACAUGUUAGCUGAUUUUUCCCUUUAACAUCUAAGGCACAUGCAUGCUCAUUUGUUUGGCUCAACUUCACCUAUCUUCCAUUUUUUUCAUCAAAAGAACAUGAAAACAACAAUCAUUUCCUUCAUUUUAAUUCAUGACUAAAUGAUCACAACACAACUAAAAACCAAAAUAUGCUUCAAGAGUUAAGGUAGAAUCAAGAAAAACUCAUGAACAUCAAGAUAGAAGCCAACUACCAUGAACUUACCUUCAAUUUUCUUCCCCAAGUGACCGAACACUCAAGAACUUUCUCCUCUCAUUUCUCUUCUCUAACUUUUAGCUAUGAUGAACAAAGAUGGACAAAACUUUGUUCUUUUCACCCCUUUUUCUUUUAAUAAAACUUCAUAUUUCAUCCAUUUAAUUCUUUAAUACAAAAGACAUGAAAUUCUUAUCAUGAAACAUUUACCUAACCCAUUAUCAUGAACAUUUACCUAACCCAUUAUCAUGGAAUAUUUACCUAACCUAUUAUCAAUUCGUAUCAAUUUGUACCAUAAAUUAUGGAUAUCAAGUGUACAUUUUGUCUACAACAACAUGAUGGCUAGCCACUUCAUGUAAAAUGGGAGGUUUGUCAUGCAAAUCCUCCUAUUUUGCACUCAUAUUUAUUUGGCCACUUCAAUUUAGCCUAUAGCAUUUUCAAACAUUUUCACAUAGGUUUUAUUUCAUAAUUUCACCCCUUUUUUCUUAUAGAACAAAAAUUAACUAAAAUUGCCGGGUUCUAUCUUAAGCUUGGGCCUUCUAGAGGCCCACUAACAUAAUUAAACAUAUGCCAAUAUUCACAGAAUUCCCGAAAAUUAGGGCGUUACAUUGACAAAUUUAUUUGGUGAAAUUUUGUUAUAUAUAUUUAUAAUUUUUUAUAAUUUUAAUUUAAGUUUUCUAGUAAUUUUUAUAAGUUUAUAAUUAAAAAAAAUAAAAUUUUGAGGCUUAAAAACAUCACGAUAAGAUGUGAAAAGUAUCAUGAAAAUGAGGUUUAAAAAUGUCGAGGGAAGAUGUAAAAGAACAUCACCAAAAAUGUUUUUAGAGGUUUUAAAAACAUCACAAAAGAUAAUAAAUUGUUGUUGAAAAGUGUUAGUGACGUUUCAUAAUGUCCUUAUUAUUACCCAUAAGUGUCACGAGAAAAGCAUUAUUUCAUGACGUUUUCUACUAAUUCUAUUUUUAGGAACAACUUAAUUUUCCAUGACGAUUUGAUAAAUAGUCACAAAAAGUUGUAACACAACACAAAAGUAAUGAGUGACUAACUUGAAAAAAAAAAGUUUAAUUCUUAAUAUGAAAAUUGUUUCCAAAUUUAAGACCUAUUAACCUAAAAAAUUAUUUACUCAUGUAUUGUCAAUAUAUUUUUAUAAUAUAUCAUGUGCCAUUUGUAAGACCCAAUUUUAGUCCGGGCCCAUACACAUACAAAACAAACAAAAAACAAAGAAUAACAUGGUCCAAUACAAAUUUUUUAAAGCCAAAUGUUGUCCCAAAACACAAUUUUGGCCCAAUUACACAAAGCCCAAUGGCCCAAUUUUUUUUUCAGAAGCAGCAAACCCUAGCACUUAGGUCCUUCCUUUGGCCAGCCCCGCCUCCACCUCCACGCAUGCCCCGUGCACGACCCCUGGCUCGCGUAUUGCAUGCCCCACGUCCGUGCACUCCUCCUUUACGUCUGCACGGCCUGCGAUUUGAGCAGGAAAAUAACAAAGAUACAACUUGUAUUCAGCUAUAAAAUCUACAAAUUUUCAUUGUAAAGGGACUUUUUUUCCCUUUUUCUUUUUCCAGAAAAAAAGAAUACAUAUCUAAAAAUCAACAAAUAUAUAGAAAAGAAUUCAGAGAAAUCAAAAAGCAAAGGUUGUGUUUAUUUUUUUAGAUUUCUGUUGCUGUUAUUGAUGUUCUCUUUUCAUGAGUUUAUUUUGAAUUUUUUUCAAAAAUGGACAUAGUGUUUGAAGUUUUUUAAAAAAAUAUAUAAAAAAAAAAGCGAAAAGGGUCGAAGGUACCUAGUUGUGGCUCCUCCGACCAGAUCGAGGCGGAUUAGCAGCAGGGGGGCUGAUCCAUUUGUGCCCUAGCAAAGUAGGAGGAGUAGCAGAGUAGAAAGGGAGAAAACCUUCUUCUUUUUUUCCCUUUUGAUUCGCGACAGAUAAUUUUGGGGAGGGGGAGUUUUCUUUUAUGCAUAAACCAAAAGGGGAAUUUAUACGUUAGGUCCCUCCCCAUUUGCGCUGACUUUUGAUUUAGCCUUGAUUGCAUCUUAUUUAUUUUUAAAACAUCUCUGGAAUUUAUGCGCUACUUCAUCUAGGUCCUCCCUUAAAUGUUACGUCUCAAGACUUGGGAUAUUUGCAUUUUAAAUCCCUGUUUAUAUGAGCAUAUCCCUUUUUAGCCUUUGACUUUGUUUUAGUAGUUUUCUUAAUUUGUAAAUUGUCCUUUAAAUUUUAUUUUGGUUUCAAUUGAGUUUUUUAGUUUAUGCUUUAUUCUUUGUAAUUCUUUCUUUUUUUUUUCCCUUUUAAAAAAUUUGCUAUACAUUUUAUUAUUAUUCGUUUUUAAUUAUUUUUCCUUGAUAUAGUAUUUUAAAACUAUUUCAUAGACCUUAUGUUGUUUUAAUUUGUUAUUUUUUUCGUUUAUAUAAACUUUUAAAUUGUUCUAUUAUAAAAUUUUAUUUGUAUUUUGAAGUUUUCUUUUAUACAUAUCUCUUUAUUUUGAAAAUUCAGAUGAUAUUUAUUUUAAAUAAUUUUAUGCAUUAAUAUGUUAUACAUUUUUGGGUAUAUAUCUUUGUUUUUGUAUUCUUUUGUGUAUGUAUAUUUUCUUAAAUGACUCUAUUUGUGUUUCGUAUUUUCUUUUUUUAAUCUAUAUAUAUAAUUUACCCUUUUUUAAAGUCCCUAUUUCAUUAUGUAUUAUUGUUUCUGCAUAUACAUAUAUUUUUACAAUAAGCCUUUCUUCAUUUUAUGCAAAUUAUUUAUUUAAGUUGGUAUAUUAUAUAGAAUGUAUUCUGGUUUCCCUUUUACCUAAUAUUCAUUUUAAAAUUCAUGCAUAUAUUAUUCAUUUUCCUUAUUUUUUAUCUAUUUUUUUUUCUUUUUAAAUUUUUUUACAUGUAAUUUGUUGGUUGUAUAUAGAUGAUUUCCAAUUUCUUUUUCUUCACAUGAUUCAUCCUUUAUUUAUUUAUUUACUUGUUACAUCUUGCUUGUAUCAUAAUAUUUCUUUUAAAAUUGUCUUUUAAUUCAUUGACCUUCGAGUAUUAAUAUUAGUAUUUAUAUAGUAUAUGAUAUGUUGUACCCUAAUUUGUUCCUUUGUAUUUCCUUAUUACUUUUGAUUAUUCAAGUAAUAUUAUUAUCACGUAUUUUUAUUUCAUGCUCCAUAUUAUGCUUGUAUGAUUAUUAUUAUAUCAAAUUUUAAAUUCCAAAUUUUCGCUCAACAUCGAUUGCUUUUUACCCUUAAGUAAACCAAAUGAAUAUAUUUUGAGUCGGUUUUAUAAUUGCUUAUUUGGAAACUCCUCAAAACAAGAUAAUGUUUCGUGUCUGGAAAUUCGCGAAAUCAUGCCCUAACGUGCUAGGUUUCGAUUUACCGUUUGACCAAUAACUGAAUACCCUUUUAAAAUUUCAAUACAUGAGAUUUGGAAACCAUGAGGUGAUUUUGAUUUCGAGGGUUUAAGUUGUCGUAUCCUAACGUACUGGAUGUGAUAUUUUAUUCCUUCGGAACAAAGGAAUAUUAAUGUCCAAUUCAAGUUAUUCAAAUGUUUUAAAAGAAAUCGCAUUUCAAAAUAUAUUUUAAAUUUUAGACAUAAGGACAUUGUUUAAUCAAUUUGGUACCGAUUCUGGGCGUAACGAUGGUGGUAAUCCUUCCUCAUAAGUAACUGACUCCCUAACCCUUUUUCUCAAAUUACGUAGGUCAAAAUUGAUAAUUUAAUAAAAUAAAAUAUUUUAUUAGGUGAUCCGAUCACACCUAAAUAAAAAAGAUUGGUGGCGACUCCAAAAAGUCGAUUCCCUUUUUUCAAAAUAACAAUGGUUUCGACACCAUUAAUUUCUACUAUAUAGAGAAAGAAUAACAACCACCAUGAGAAAACCUAAUCAUUAUUCUAUGUAACAUUAUCUGAAAACGGGUUUUCGAUUAGAUAGAGUAAAAAGGUGCCAACCUUUUAACAUAAUUGGAAGUUGUCUUCAUUGAAAUGAUUUGUAUCUAGUGAUUAAGUUUUUGUUCAUUUAGUAUCAGGUUUAUCGUAAUAAUUAAGAAAAUAUGUAUUCAAGUGUAUUUAAGUAUAUAAUAUCUUUUAAUUUGAGAAUUUGAGAAGUUACAAGAAAUUUAAAAAUUGUAUAAAACAUUAUUCGUAAUGUUGUAAGAAUUGUAAGAAUUGAACCGGUAAUCAAACUAAAUGACUUUAUAUCUAACAAAUUAAUCAAUAUUUUUUUUGGUACAACAAUAAUUCGAACAUAGACUAUUCUUAAAGUUUAUGAACACUUGAUCAAUAGGCCAUAGGGUCUACAAAUUAACAAAUCAACUUGCUACAAAUUUAAACCAAUAUUGGGGACUUCUAUUGUAAGUUUACAGUAAGAUUUUACCUACUUAACAAGAUAUAAGUCAUUACAAAAAAGUAAUAAUCUAUUGUAUUUUUUUCUCAAGAUAUUUAUUAGAGCGAAUUCAAUGACUAAUCCUCCGAAUCUGUUAUAAUAUUUAUUAUAUAUCUUGCAAUAUAUUAUGUAAAAGGAAUUAUGGAAUACAUUUUCCAGUUACACUAUUUCUUACAACUUACGUAAUAUUAUAAAAAUGUAUUACCCAUUACAGUAUUUAUUAAAAAUCUUGUAAUAUAUUGUGAACACCGAUUUACAAUAUAUAUUACCAGAUUACACAUUUCUUCCCACCUAUAUAAUAUUUUUGAUAAUAGACCAAUUGAUUCUCGUAACGUUUUGUGUUGUUACAAACAAUAUAAUUUGAUUACAAUAUUUAUUACAUAUCUCAUAAUAUAUUGUGUAACAGGAAUUGCAAUAUAUAUUAUAGGAUUACACAAUUUUUAUGACUUAUAUAAUAAUUUGUGUAAUAAAACAACUCUUGGAAAGUUGUGUUAUUACAGAAAAAAAUUAUUCUAUUACAGUAUUUAUUACAUAUCUUGUAAUAUAUUAUGUGACAUGAUUUAUAAUAUAUGUUAUUUGAUUAUACAAUUUGUUAUGACUCAUUGAUUCUUACUGUACCAAAAUGCCUAAAAUGCCUUGACAUGAAUGGUAAGACAUAUUCAAAGGCAAGUUUGUUUUGGACUUAAAAAACAUUUUCUUACAACCUAAAAAAUUGUACAUAAAAAACUUGAUUGGAUUUACUCUACAUAUAUUCCUUACCACUUUUUAGUAUAAUUUACUAAAUUUUUCUAAAUUAUGAAUCAAAUUCUAAAUUGAUAUAAAAUAAAAUCUUUAUACUAAAGUAUCAUUUCGGCUAGGUCCUCUUUUUAGUUUAACUCUUAGUUUUAACAUUAAAUGUCAGUUUAGAUCAAAUAUAUAUUUAAAAACAUGCAUCAAUCCAUAUGUGUUUAAGUGAGAAAUCUUGUCAAAAUCCAAGAGUCAAACUUGACCGUCAUUUAGGAUCCAAUCCAUUACUCUCUUUUUUUUUUUCAUUAUUAUUAAAUACCUGUUUAAUAUAUUCAUUAAAUGUGAAAAUCAUAAAUUGAUUUCCAUAUUUAAUGAAUACAUCUAACAUGAAUGAUGAUGAUAAAUGUAUUGUAUAUUAAUGGAUAAAAAAAAGUAUCAGAUGUAAACCUAAUAAUUAUAAGUAACGCCUUAGGGAUCUCAUAUUUUGUGAAGAUGGAUUUCAUUUGAUAGACUUUGAAAACGUCAUAUUUUGAUUUUGUGGCAUGUAAUAAGAGUACUUGUAUAUGUAUAUAUAUAUAUAAGUGUUUGGUAAAAAUUGUAUGUUUUGUAAUUGUAUAAAAGAUGUGUGCUUGUUGGUUAAUGAUGUGGUUGCUUAUGGCUUAGUAUAGUGAUUUGAAAGUGGUAUUUGAGCUUGAUCGAUAGAAUGAGAUAUAUAUAAGUAAGUUAUACUGUGAUAUGGAAUACUUGGAUAGGUGAAAUUUUGGUUGGAACUUAUAGUAAUAUGGUUGGAUAUUUGAUUUGGAAGUCAUGGAAAUGAUAUGUGAAUUGGUUCUUUGAUGGAAAAUGUAUUGGUGAAUAUGCUUUGGUAAAUGGUUGUUAGUUGGAGAUUGAAAUUAUGACAUUUUGAUACUUUACUAGUUUGGUUAAGCUUGAAUUUGAUAGGAGAUGAAGUUUAGGUUAGAAUCUUGGGGAUUAAAUGAAGAAUAAUUUCAAUUAUUAAUUAAAAAGAGGUUUGAUUGAAUCAACUCUUGUUUUCCCUUUUAUAUAGGUGUUGCCUGGUUUGAUUCUAUUGUCUCAUCAAAAUCUUGAUUGCCCCCAUUAGAAUCCAUAACACAUCUGCACAUAGUGAUGCUUCUAUAUUCAACUUUUGGCCACUUGAUACCCUUUUUUUCAACUCUCUUUACAAUUAGCCAAAGCUGGUAUCAAAGUCUCCUUCAUAUCGACCCCUGGAAUCAUCAAAAGACUGCCCAAAAUUCCAUUAAACAUAGCAACACUCAUUGACAUGGUGGCCUUUCCAUCAGGGGCGAAGCCAGAAAAAUUUUAGAAGGGGACCGGAUGAAAUUUUAAUUUUCUAUAGUUAUAUCUUUAUAAUUUGUAAAUGAUUAAAUCAAAUUUUUAUAAUUUUAGGGGGGCCAAAAUACAAUUUGACCUUUACUAAUUUAAAAUUUUAAAAAUUUUUAAGGGCUUAAAAUGCAAUUUUACAUUUUAGGGGGGCCAGCGCCCAUGCCACCCUCUGGCUACGCCCCUGCUUUCCAUUACCAAACCAAGAGCAUCACUUGCCCCAAGGUUGCGAGGCCACCGUACAUCGACAUCCCUUUCGAGAAAAUCUAGUACUUGAAGAUCGCAUACGAUAGGGGACUCUUUAUUUCAUGUCGGGUAGGGCUCGAUUAUUGAAACGUUGCAGUUCGGACACUCUCUAGUGGUGCUACCUUUUGUGACAGACCAACCCUUGAAUGCAAAGGCUUGUGGUCGACAAGGGUUUGGGUGUAGAGAUAGAGAGAAGUGAAGAUGGGUGGUUUAGUAGGGAUGAUAUAGCUAAGGCUCUGAGACUUGCAAUGGUGUCUGAUGAAGGAGAGAAACUAGGACUCCAAGCGAGAGAAGCGGCUCGCGUCUUCGGCAACCAAAACAUGCAAGAUAGUUACUUCAAUAGAUUUGUGGAGUACCUAAAGAAAAUGGAGCUCCAAAUUAAACAAGAUGGUUUAAUUGCACAAACUAUUAUAACUUUUAUAUUUUUUUUGUAAUAUUAAUGUUUAUGAAACACAUAUAUUUUUUUUUGAAUUUUUUAUCUAAUUAAGCUUGCAAAUGAACAAAUUGUUUUAUGAACAGUUUACGAAUAGUUCAAUUUUUGUUCCUUGCAAUCAAGAUAAAAGAAUGAACAUGAACAAAAAAAAUUUAAGUUCAUUUAUUACAUUAACUAAACACGAAUAAUUUUUUUCCAUUUAUUUAUGUUAAUGAAUAAUUAAGUUUAUUUACAUUCGUUUAAAGUUCACUUAUUGUUUGAUUAUUAUAUAAUUAGUAUUAUUAUUGUUUGUGUUCUUAAUUUAUUUAUUUAUAAUAUAAUUAUUAAAAUUUAUAUUAAUUAUUUUUACAUAUAAUAUAUAUAUAUGUUUAUUUGUUUGUUUAUUAUUUUUCAUAAACAUUAUUUAUGAACAUGUUCUAUAACAUGUUUGUAUAAUAUAUAUUCAUUUAUUGCUCAUAAAAAUGUUCAUUAAACUAAAACAAACGAAUAUGAAUAUAAAUUGUUGGAAACUUUGACUACCUUAUUCGAACGUCAGUAGAACAAGUUGUUUGGAGUAAUCAAAUUUUUUUGGCGUUGGCAUAUAAUACUUUUAAUGGAUUACGAAUACUAUUAUUGAACAGUAAAUGAUGAGGGAAUUUCCUUGAAAAGGAAGGAGUGGAGUUUGAAUUUUGGUGGAUACUCAUUCCUAUCUUUAUCUUUUAGAGUAAUUCAAGUUGUUGGAGAGCUUGCUUAUAAAAGUCUUUAUGUGAUAAAUACACAAGAUAAUUAAUGGGAUAAACUUAGCUUUUACAUGAGUGUUUCAAGUCUAUCGAAACACUGCUAGUUAAUCACUUGAAAAGACCUAUAAAUAGGUUGUUUGUACCACACAUUGUUGUGCAAUUUUUUAGUGUCUUUGGCUUUUGUAUUUUGCUAUUUCAUUGGGUAAAUUUUUGACAUUUUUUUAAGUAUUAUUUGAAGAGGUUUAUUAAUUGUAUUGGGAGGUAUUUGGGUGAGUGAUUUGUAACAAUCUGAGUCCUUGUUGGGGUUGCUCGUUUUCAGUGGUGUCAGAAAUAGUGGGUUUUGGAUCACAAUUCCGACAAGUGAGUCAGUAAAUAUUAUUAAUUUAAUAUUUAUGAGUGAUUAGUAUUGUCACAAUAAAUUUUGGUUAAAGAAUUUAAAUGCUCAGAUAGUUAAUUAAGUAAAAAUGGUUAAAUUGUAAAAGUUACAAAAAUUAAAUCCUAUUAGUUAAAUGUACCUAAUAGCCAUGAAAAGAGAAAUACAGGGACCUAAAUGGUAAUUGUACUAUAUCAAUGGUUAGUGAACGGUUUGCUGACCAAGUUUUGAUAUUUGUUGGAUGAAUUUUAAUAAUAAUAUAGUAAUAAUAGGUGAUAAAAAAAAAGAGAAGAAAAUAUUUUUUUUUCUUUAAGAUGAUCUUCCCAAUAAAAAACUCCAUUUUUGGACCAAGGUGAAAAAAAUGGUUUUGGAAAAUGCAGCAGAAAAUAAAUUUAAGGAAAAAUUAAAGUUUUAAAAAUUUCUCCUAAGAUCUUGUUUGUGAUAUCUAAAGUAAUAAACACUUAAACAAAAUUAUACAUUUUCGAUUCGUCUAAAAUGAGCACUUCGACCUAGUAGUCUUCUCCGCUAUCCUCAAGCUUACGUUUGCUGAGUGUGGGCUCGCUUCGAAAUCAAAAAAGUUUUCACAAAAAUUACCAGUUGGGUAAUUUUGUAAUUUCUCUAAACUUUUAGGUCAAGUUUUAGAAAAUUUUCUCUCUACAACUUUCUCUUGAGUUCAAGUGUAUGUGUAAUUAAUGACUCAAGGCUCUCUUUAUAUAGGGAGAGUUUAGAGAAUUCAACUAAGAUUAAACUUAAUUACUUUAAUAUUAAAUUAAUAUAAUAUUAUAUCUUAUUAAAAUAAUAGAAUGUUUAUCUACGAGAUAAAGAUAAACAUUAAAUUUAAUUUAAUAUUAAACUAUUAACAUAAUAUUAUUUUCGUAAUAAUUAAUCUGAAAUCAAACUUUCCUGUGGAAUUUCAAUAGGAAUAUAACUCUUCCUCUACUCAACCAUCGACGACCAACCGUCGUCAGCCACCGAAAUGCCAUCAGCACUGUCGUGUCCGGUGAUGCAGGUGCGACACCCUUACGGCACCCUGAGCAGGUUUGGCUGCUGCCAGUUCGGUUCGGGUCAAUGACGACCUGACCGGUCCGGUCUGGCCACUGGUUGGAUCGUCGGCCCGGAUUCACAUACCCGGCCUAAUUUGACCAAUUUUUGGGUCUUGGUCUCAGUUUUGGGCUCCCAAGCCCAAUUUAUGAUCUUAGGUCCAAUUUUCAAGUUCAAUUACCCAUUGGGCUAAUUGUCUGACUUGAAAAUUAACUUUCAAAAAUAUCAUAUUAAUUUUAAUUAAUUUGAUUAAUUUAAUUUUACUUGAUCAAAAUUAAUUUUUUCAAAAAUCACUUAGCUUUUCCAAAUUAAUUUUUCAAGAAAAUUCUUUAAUCAAAUUCUCUAGUUGAACAAUUCUCACAACCACCAAAUUUAAUUCCACAUCGAAUAAAUAGACUCAAUUAAAUUAUUCCCAAAAUUGUAGAAUUUACUUCUGAUUCAAAUGUAGUCUGAUCAAGCUUUUGUUGAGCUAACGGAGGGACCAUUCGGACAUAUACAAUUAGGCUCUAGCGAUUACAAUUAUGUCUAGAAACAUUGAUCCAAUAAUUCGCAAUUACUUAAUCAUGAAGUCAGUCCACAAGAAGUACCAUGAUUGAAAACUCCCUUAUUGUAUACUCUUUACGAAAGCAAUUCAUCGAACUGCUUUAUCUAAUGCCUCGUUAUGUGUGUGUUACCCUCAUAUGAUAUCCUUGAUUCAUUUGAGUUAAAUUUGUUCACUCAAUACAAUCCUAUUUUAUUUCAUUAUCACUACUAUGUCUUCUUAAUGAUUAAUAUGACCACUGUCAACAAAGGAUUGUGAUAAAUUGCUUGUUCGAGAACUAACAACUCGUGGCCAUGUUUCAUAUUUAUCAGUCCACACAAUGUCAAUGAGAGGAUAUUAUUAACUCUUUAAUUGAGCUAUGAAUUUCACUAUUACUAGUAAAGCCUCGCUAUGCACAAGUCAUGUACCCAACUUACGGGCUAUGAGCUCGAUCAUCUUUAAAGCAUAAGCCUCCACUUAUAGCAAGGCACAUGAAUUGCAUACACAUGGUCAGUGACUAACUCAUGAUUUAGGUAAAUCAUACCAUGAACGUCACAAGUGAAUAAAUCAUACCAUGAACGUCACAAGUGAAUUAAUUCACAAACGGAUUCGGAAUUAAUUCAUCUUGGGUCCAGUCUAAUGUAUCAUUAUACCAAUGAAUACAUCUAUGUCUCUACUCGUGGAGUCAACUGCUCUGAUAGCCAAGACUAGCCAUCUCCCCAAUUAGAAUUGUAGGCGACAUAAUAAUUCUUCUCAAUAUUUGAAUCAAAUUCUCACUUUGAGUCUUUUACAGGAUUACGGAAUCAUUUAGAUUAUUUACUGAAGUAAGUUAUCUUUCUCGCAAUGUAAAUGUUCUUUACAAUGCCACUUAUCUUCAGUUUGAACUUUAGACAAUCAAUGAGCUAAUAUUUGCUUGUCACAAUUUCGCUAUGCAUGCAAAAUAUAAAAGACAUAAAUACAAAAGACAUAAUAGUGAAAUGUGAAAUUAACUUUAUUAAUUUAUUCAUCGUUCAAAUAAAUAGAAAACAGUUACAUAUGUACUAAAAUAUGGGCAUAUUUCCCAACACAAGGAAGGUUCGACAACUUUCUUCUAAUUUGAGGUCCGUUUCUAAUGAUUUUUAUGUUUUUUAGUUCGUUUUAGCUUAAUCUAGCUAAACCGAGGGUUAAUUUGUGAAGUUGUUAAAAGUUUAGGGACAUAACAUGAAUGAGAUAGGUGAGUUUGUGAACUUAGUUGUUAGAUCCUUGAAUUUAAAGGUUAAUUAUAAAUAUUUUGUUAAGUGAUUUUUGAUGAUUUAAGGACCUAUUUGAGAAAAUAGUAAAAUGCAAUGAGAAUAAUAUGACAUGGUGUAAAAAUUUGGGCUGAAAUAAACUCAUAGAAAAAAAUUGGCUAGUUUGGUUUUUCAUAGAUUGUUGUUAAAUUGUGAGUUUUAAUUUAAGGACUUAAUUGUACAAAUGUUAAAGUGUUAAGGGUAAUUUCGUAAAUCACCUUAAAAUGGAUUAUAAGUUUGAUUUAGUUAUUUUAAUUUUAUUUUGAAUGAUUUAAUUGAAUAAAAUUAUUAUUUAGAUCAAGAUACGCAACAAUCGGGCUUGAAUUGUGGAAAGGCUAAAGUUUUAGAUUAGUUAUUGGUUCUUUUUUGUGUAAUCGUGUUAGUCGAGGUAAGUUCAUAUAAUGGUAAACUAACUAAUUUUUUUAUUUUGAUGGAAAAUUUAUUAAUGUUGUACUUUGUAUAAUUUCUUUUGAAUAUAAAUUGUUAAAUUGUUAUUUGGACGAUAUUGUAAUGUUUAUGUAAUUUAAGGUAAUAUGUGUAAAAUUUUGAGAAUCGUGGAAUGAUAUGGAAACGUGCUUAUGAAUACUUAGGAUACAACUGACAUGUCAUUAGGAAUUAUACAUUUUCGAGUGUUAGUCUUGGAUGUCCUACUGAUCGCUGAGGUCAUGCAUUUGUUGUGGAUUCUCCACAGCUCGUAUAAGUAGCAUCGUGUAGUCUAACAUCUCGACCUACAGCUCAUGUGAGCAGGCCCAUUUAACAGUUCAUGUGAGUAUUACAAGAUGUGAUUAUAUUUAAAUGUACAUGCACACUUUGUGUGAGCAUGGUUCCCUUGUAUCCAACGUAGUUUCAUUUGGUUCAAUGAGUAUUAAAUUUCUAAUCAAAGUGAAGUGAAUUUUUUUGGUAAAUCAUAUGUUAAAUGAAUGAAAUGGGAAUUACUUGUUCAAAUGCUUGAGAUGUAUAAUGCUACAUUGGAUAUGUGUUGAAUGUUUUAUGUACAAGUUCAAUAACUUGCGAGAAUGGUGAUUGAAGAUGGGAAUUGGUUAUACAUAUGAGCAUGAUAAUGGAAAAAUGCAUUAACUUUAUAAAUUAAGCCUAUUGGUAAGUUUUUGUUUAAGAUUAUUACCAGCUUACUUAUCAUUAUCUAUUUACAUAGUUGUCUUUCUUUUCUUGUAAGUCGUUAGAAAGCUCGAUCAGUUGGAAUUUCAUUGGAGCACAAUCAUACAAUCCAAUCAUCAUUUCGGUAGCUUUCGGUUACUUUUGUUUAAGGUUAUAAUUGGCAUGUAAUAAGGCUUAAAUGUAAUAUUAGUUUUUUUUGAUUAGGUGCUAAGUCCAUGUGUGUUUUACUGCCCCUUUUUGGUUGAUGGUUUGUAAACAUGAUAUGCAUGCUUUUUUAAAGAAGCUAUUUUAGUUGAUUUGGUAUGUUUUAGAGGGUGUUUGAAUUUGUUUUGAUCAUAUGAAUACUUGUGGUAAUAGUUUGGCUUGGUUUGUAGGAAUGGAGUGAUGAAUUAUCUUAUAUUAAGGGUUUUUUUGGGAGCACACAACCUGGGACACGGGCUAUCAUAAGGUCAUGUGUCACACAUGGUCUGAUCACACGGCUGUGUGUCAUUAUUAUUUUAGGUGCAAGUUUCACAUGGCCUGGCACACAAGCUAAGACACGGUCAUGUAUUCCGAGUCAGUGAGUUACAUGGUCUGAGUAAACGAGCGUAUGGAGUAGCCACACGGGCGUGUGGGAUAGCCACGCAGCCAUGUUUCAGGCCAUACGGGCUGGCCUUUGUCACACUGCCUUGUGACCCUUAUUUACAAAAUUUUUUAGAUUUUUUUGUUUUAAUUCAAAAUAGUCCCUGGUUGUUCCCAAACUAUUUUUAAGGUCCUCUAGACUCAGUUUAAAACCUAUAAAUAUUUUUUUGCUAUAAUUAAAUUGAGUUAUUAAAAGUUAACAUUGAAGUUGCAUAAUUGUUUUCUGUUUGAAGUUAAAUGUUCUGAUUUGUACAGUAAUGCUCCAUAACCUUCCUCCGACAACAGAGACGAGUUAGAGGUGUUACAGUUGUUGCAAGGGUAGUUUGAGCUUUAGCCAAUAGGUGAUUCAGUUGAAUUGUUGAAUAAAAAUCAUUCUUUAAACGAGGCUCUACAAAGUAGGAUUGGUGAAUACGAACUACAUCAACAAAUAUUGCGUGUUAUUUCUCUCCUUUCUUUGAUUCUUGUUUUACCUUGGUAAAAUUUUGUUUUGUCUCAUUCCUUACUAGAACAAAACUAUUUUACAGACAACCAAGUUAUCUGUUCCAACAUCUGUUUGAACAACAGUUGAAACAAAGUGCAAAUCGGAAGCUUUUUCAUAAAUAACUUUAUAUAAACCAAGAUGAACAUUAUUUUAAAAUUUUUAACAAAUAUGAACCGAACAUAAAUAAACUUAAAAAAACAUAUAUGGAAAUUCAUUCAAACAUAUAUAAAAGUCCAUUCGUUCUGCAUUCAUUGUUGUGAACUAGUAUCAGAUAUUCGAAUAUGGUUGUAAAAGUACCAUAAAGGCCCUUAUACUAGGAGUCAGAUUGCAUAUAACUACUCAAACGCUUGAUCAAUCGACCAGCCAAAUAAGAAUGCUACAGUCAUACUAAUUUCCAGUCUAAGACAUUAACAUGCAAAUUAAUGAUGGUUAACAAUAAUAACUUCAUUAAAUUGUAAUAAUCAACCUAUGUUGUUCAAACUCAGUUACAAGAAUUUUUGAUUCUGAGGCUCAGCCUAUAAGUCACCCUCCGCUAUAUGUAUUUUAAAGUUAAAGAGAACAAGCUCACACAGGCUCGACAGAUUUUGGCUUAGUCCCUUUCUAACAUCUCAUAUUGUCCAUUUUACUUGAAAAACAUAACAAGAAGCUAGAUAAGUUUGAAUGAACUUAGUGAGUUAUUAAUAUAACAUACCCGAUCAGGAUAUUAUCAUAUGAUAUGGCUUCAACGGUUUGGUUUUAUGUUGACAUCACUUACACGAGGGCAAAUCGCAUAUAUUCGUGAUGCACUAUUAACAUCCUUCACAUUGACACAACUUACAAAUUGUCAGGUUUUAUACAUUGACACGGUUCUUCAUUUUCAUCAUUUGUGCGUUAGGUUAUCUUGUAGGAUGGUUCCGCUUAUGCAUUUGCAUUGAUUUCAUACAAGAUAACUCUUUAUAGCAGUUGAUCAUGUAAGGAGCAUCUUGGCAAAUAAUAUUGUUGUGAACUAACAUUCAAGACCCAUGCAUGAAAUUUCUCACUUGAAGGACCUUUACGUGUGGACUCACACAUGGUGACUUAUACACACAGUGUCAAACUUGGUGGAUUCAUACAUGCAGAUUCAUACUUGCGUAUUACUGUUUAGUGGACACAUUCCUACAGACUCACACCUGCGAGCUCGUAUGUGUAAAUUCAUACAUACAAAUUCAUUCUUGGUGGAUUUAUAUUUGUAGAAUCAUACUUUGGCAAACUUAAACUUGUGGAUCCAUACUCAUCGAUUAGUCCUUACGGACUUCUGCUUGAAGAAUAGUCCCUGCAGAUUCUUUCAUACGAGUUCAUGGCUGUAGAAUCACAUAUGCGGAUUCAUAAAUACGGGAUCAUAUAUACAGAUUCAUGAUUGAUGACCCAUUCAAGUGGAUUCCUUAAACAGAUAGUCCCACAGACUUUCAUAUAGUGGAGUCCUGCUUAUAGCCUUUGUAUGAAAAUUUGGAGACAAGUCCAACGGACUGUCUUAGCUUGAAACAUAAAGACGAGUCCAGCGGACUGUCUUAGCUUGAAACAUUAGGACAAGUCUAGCAGACUAUCUUAACUUGUGUAUGCCCAUGGCUGUGGAACUUACAAACAUACAUGAGGCUUAGAGCCUUAGACUCCGCAAAAUCACAUACUUGAGAAGACCCUCAUAGGGUCAUCACAUACUUCUGCUCAUAUAUCUCCGUACAAUCCAAUUGAACCUCCGUAAAGCUAAAUAACAUGCAUAAACAUUCUUCGUACCUUCCAAUUGUACCUCCGCAAAGCUAGUUAACAUGUAGCAUAAAGUGCACAAUAUGACAUCUCCUUUUUCUUUCAUCCACAAACCAACACAUACCUCUCAUGCACCGUAUGCAAUUCAUUCUCAUCAAGUUAAUAUAUACCAAACAUUCAGUAGAUUCACACAUACAACUAAUCAUAUGGCUCAGUGACACACAACAGAGUAUACCAACAUUUCAUCGCAACAAUAGUACACAUUACAUCCAACGAACAGUUCAAUAGAACAACAUUUACCUAGCAUACAAUUUAUAAGUACCCCAAUUUCAUACUCGCAACAAGCAUGCAUAUGUACCAUAUCACUAAACAGACUCAUUAACAGUUCUGCAGAAAUCCCAUAACGGAUGAACAUAUUCAUCAUCAACAGAACAUGCAAGUGAACUCUCAGCGACUAUAACCCAACCACCACUAGACAGAAACAUACAAUAUACAAACAUAAGAUUUGAGUUUAGUGACUCAUCGGUAAAAUACCUUAAGGACGCAUCACCUACUAGCUUGACUUUCCCCUUGUCGUCUGGUCCUUCUCCAUCUUUGUCGGCUAAAUAGUAACGACCAUAUAUGACCAACCAUGAGACAUUUACAAGUAUGAAAAUCGAGUUCUAACAACAUGCAAGGUAAAUUCUCUACUUAACAUGCUUCUUUUCCUUCAAAAUAAAAAAAAUGUAGAAGAGUAUAAGAACGUUACUAGUUCACAAGUUUCGCAUUUGAUUAAGCUAAUCUGCUGCUUUUUCACCAACAUGUAACUCAAUCCCUUCAUUCAUCUGUUUCUUGUUCUAAAAUAGUAAGAGAGAAAAUGAUAGUUGAGAAGAAGUUAGAAGAAGGAAAAAUAUAUGUUCACUGAAACAUUAGAAACAAGCCAUCAUUUCCCAACAAACUUUUCCGAAAUAAAAAAUUUGACAAUCAUUAUCAAUUCCCAAUUCAUUCCCCAAAUUUUACAAUUCAAUACAAUUAAGAUUUAAUUAAAACAUAGAAAAUAACCCAGGGUUGCUAUUCCAAUGUGGCCAAGUUUUAAUAAAAAUUUAGGGUGUGACAUUGCAUUUUGCCUCUUUACUAAAAAAUGAGCAAGUUAGUCCCUAUAACGACCCAAAAUUUACGGGUAUCGAAAAAGUACAUUUUCGGGUCAUUGUUUUCGUAAAAUGGAUAAUAUUUACGAAGUUAGUUGUGUGUUUAAUUAGGUUUUGGUUAGGUGAAUUAGCUUGAAUUAAGGUUAAUUAGAUAUAAUGAUUAAAUUGAAUAAAGGGUAAAAGUUUAAUUAUAGAGUAGAGAAAAGUGAAGGGAUUAAAUUAAUAGAUAAACCAAAUUGUGACAAUUAUAUGGUAAUAAAAAUAUACAUGUAUAAUAAAUACAUACAUACAAUUGUAAUACAUAUAUGUAUUUACUUAUUAUUUAAGAAAUAAUAAUUAUUAUGUUAUUAUAAUAUUAAAUUAAUAUAAUAAACAUAUAGUAAAUACAAGUGUAUGGUAUAGGCAAUGACAUUUGUGGUAUUUAUGUACAUAUACUUGUAUAAAUUAUAUACAUUACUUAUUAUUUAAGAAUUAUUAUUAUGUUAAAAUAUUAUUAUAUUAUUACAGUAAAGUAAAUAAUAAUAAUAAAACAAAAUAAAGAAACAAAGAUGAAAAGAAGAACAGAAAGUUGAAAUGAAAAAUAGAGGAAAAAGGAAGAAAAAGAAAAGAGAAAAGAAAAGACGGAGAAUUAGGGUUUUAAGGUUCAAGCUUAAUUUGGUAAGUCAAUUUAGUCUCUUUUCUUGUAAUUUUGAUAUUUUUAGAAUCCUAAAACAAAAUACUACUUGAUUUAUGUUGAAAUUUUAGAAGUUAAUAAAUUUUUAGAAGUUGUUCAUGUUGAAUAAAUUUAAGUGUUAGGGGUUAAAUUGAUAGAAUUUCAAGUUAGAAGUGAAAAAGGGAUUGAAUUGUAAAAUAAAUCAUAAGUUUUCAGUAAUAGGGACUAAAUUAAAAUAAUUUCAAAAUUAGGGUUUUAUGGUGAAAUUAGAGAGUUGAAAUUAGUCUAAGUGGAAAUUGAAUAAGAUAUGGAAAUAGUUUUGGAAGAAAUAAAGUUAGUUGUGAUUUAAGGACUAAACUAAAAAUUAUACAAAAGUUGAAUAGAAAUUGAAAUAAUUGAUUUGAAAUUGUGUUGUAUUGAUAAUUUUUAAUUGUUUUAAUUCCGUAGCUAACGUUGUGCCGAAGACCUCGGCUAAGAAAGGAAAGGAUAAAGUUGACGAGGAGUAACUCAGAAAAUUACGGUUUGUAUUUCUAUAAUUCGAAUUUAAUAAUUAAUUGUUGAAUUAUUACUUAAUAUGUAUGGUAAGUGCAUUGAGGUAAGUAUUGAUAUUGAUUUUGUGAUAUUAAAUUGAAUUGAAUGGAAUUGAUUUCACGUACAUAUGUGAUUAUUUGAAUUGGAAUGAAUAUUGGUAGAAAUUAGAAAGUAAAUUUAAUUAUUAAUUGAUAGAUUUUGAUUAAAUAUUAUCGUAAGUAAUUAAGGUAAGAAUUAUUUGUAUUGUGUUUUACAAUUGAAAUGGAUUGAUUGGGAAUGUUAUGAAAUAGAUAUGAAUAUGUGAUUAUUGUGGAAUUUGACUAUUUGUUAUUGAAAAGUAAAUUGAAUUGUAUUGAAUUAUGAAUUUAUGCGAUUAAUUAAAAUGUGUAUUGAUUGGAAACUGAAAAGUGAAUUGAAUACCUCAUUAACUGUAUCGGGUUGAAUCGGAUAUAAUUGCCAUGCCAUAGGAUUGGAAGUGUUCAAGGAUACAUCGACCUUGAGUCGAUGAGGCACUACAAGUGUCGUAUUAUUACUUUGGAUAAUUCCGAUGAGGUACUGAGUACUGAGUGCCGUACUAGUGUGUUUUGGUUAGAUCCGUGUAUCCGUCAAAGUCCGAGUCUUGUUAGUAACGGUAAACAAAUUAUUUGGCCAAUUGGUUGACAAUGAAUGAUAUUGAAUACGGAUUGGAAUGGACAAUGAAAUGAAAUAUGCAAUUGAAAUGCAUGAAAUUGCAUGAAUCAGGGAUUCAUGAAAUGGAUAUUGAUUUGAAAAUUGAAUGGUGUAUCCUAUUAAGAAAAGCUAUUGAAUAGCAAUUAUGAAAUUGAAAUAGUAUAAUAUGAGAAUUGAAAGUGUUAUGAAUGAUGUAUUUAUGAAAUUGAUUAUUUGUUGAAUGAUUUUAUUUAUGUGUGGUUAUAUAAAUAAAUAUUAUAAAUUCUUGUUUAAUAAGUAUCUAGAUUAUAGAAAUACCACUGAGUUUAUACUCAGCGUAUAGUUUGUUUUCCAUGCACAGGUUAGAUUAAAGUCAGAUUGUCGAAUCAGCAUCCAAAAUCGAUCCCGAACUCAAAAGUGGUGAAGUACUUUUCUUUUUGGUAAUGCCAUAUACCUAAGAUGUCACAUGUAUGUCAUUUUAAGUUGUGAUUUCAAAUGAUGUUAUAAGAUAAUAUAGGCUAAUUAUAUAUUUGAACUUAUGUAAGCCAUGUUGAUAUUAUAAAUGACAUAUUUAAGUUAAUGCAUAUAUGAGUAUGAAAUAGAUAGACCUUGGGUGAAAUUGAUAUAAGUUUAGAAAUGGUUUGAAAGAUGCUAAAUUGGACUGUUUUGGUUAAAGUAUGAGAAGUAUCUAAAAGAGUACAUUGAUUAGGUCAUUAAGUUUAUCAAUUUGACAUGUUUUAGAGGUAUUUGAAUGUGUUUUGGAUCGGUUGAAAGAUUGAAUUUUGAAUUGUUUGUUGUUCAAGAUUUGCAGGGUUGGUAAAUUUGUUGUAUAAGGCUCAUUUUGAGUCCACACGACCUGGAACACGGGCGUGUGACCUGACCAUGUGAGGCACACGGCUUACACAUGGGCGUGUGGUUAGGUCGUGUGUCCCUUGCAACUUAAAAUUUUAAAAUAGAAUGCUCAGGUAUUUCUACACGGGUAGAGACACAAGUGUGUGUCUCAGCCAUGUAAGGCACACGGCAUAGCACACGAGCGUGUGACUUGGCUGUGUGAUGUAAGUCAGAGAGUUACACGUGGUAGAACACGGCCUGAAGCACGGGCAUGUCAUAGGGUCACACGGGUAUGUCAGUAGACCACACGGGCGUGUGUGCCCUGCACUUAGGAAAAAUUUUAAAAUUUCACAAAAAAUUCUCUGAAUUUUCGAUUGAGUCCCAAUUUGUUUCUAACGUAUAUUUUGGGCCUCGAGGACCCAUACAAGGGACAAUAUAAUUAAUUUAUGAAGUGUAUGUAAUUUAAUUUGUUUAAUGUUCGUAGUUGUUCUGAAAAAUUUAGUAAUACUCUGUAACCCUAUUCCGACGAUGGAUAAGGGUUAGGGGGUGUUACAAUACAUUUGAUCAAAGAGCAAAUUGGUCCUUCUGUUAAAAUUUCAUCCAUUUCUAUUGUUAAAAAUUGAUCAUUGUUCAUUGGCAUGAAGUACACGUUGCACACUUCGUGUAACUAUCUGGUUAUUUCGUCAACUACACCAGUUUUUAACAAUUGAAAUUGAUGAAAUUUUAAUAGAAAGGACUAGUUUGCUUUUUUAUCUAACUUAUAGGGGCUAAUUUAUUCAUUUUUCGAGUAAAAAGGGAAAAAUACAAUCUAACUUAUAGUACAGGGGCCUCUAUAGUAUUUUUAGCGAAUAUGGUUUAUUAGUGAUGUAACGCCCCAAAACCCGACUCAAAAGUCCGUUGGAUCUAGAGCAUCAUUGUGGUCACCAGAGCGGUCCACUCGAUCAAUCACUCAUUUAAGCAUAUUAAAAAAUAAACUUAAACAUGCAACUAAUAAAAAUAUAAUAAAAUAAAUCAUUUAAAUGAACUCAAUCUAACAACCAAAGUAAACAAGUCGACCAAUUUAAUAAAUCUCAAGUACAUGUUAAACUUUUCUAAUUAACGAGUCUUUAUGAAUAAGGAUUGCAGAGACCCUGAGACAAUGCUACUCGAUCACGAACUCUUCGAUCCAACUAGUACUUGUGCACAUAAUUAAAAACCUGAGCACUGAGCUUUUUACAGCUCAGUGGUGAUUCAAUACAUUUUAAACUAUCAAUGCAUUUAGUUAAAAUAAAAGCAUUCUAAUCACAUACAAACAUAUAUAAUUAGGCAAUAAUUUGAUGAGUGAAAGUCACAUUCAAUAGAAAUUUCCAAAGACGCAAUACAAUCAUAAAAUAACAGUUAAAAUAACAAUGAAACAAUAUCAAGACAUUCAAUAAUUAACAAUAGUGUUUCGGUUUAACAAUUAAAUUCAUUUAAUAAUUUUUUCCCAAGUAACACAAGGAAAAAUAUUCAGAUACAUGACUGUCCAACCGAACACCAAACGAUCAAUGAAAAUGGCGCUAGUGCCAACAAUGACAAUACUUCGUUACAUGAUAAGCGCAACUUAAUCAAUGACCAACCAAACACCAAAUGCGCAAAGUGUAGCAAAGACAAUACUCCCAAACGCUCAAGAUAGAACAAUAAGAAAUUAAGGGGAACCCUACACUCUAUAACAUGUCGACUAUAUCUGAAGAAUUUUCAACUAAUUUUCCUGGGCAUUUAAUCAAGUUGUAUAUAAUUAUCCUAAUAAUAUAUAUCACAAAAAAAAUCCUAAUAACAAAAACAAAUCUAAUAAUAAUAAUAAUAAUAAUAAUAAUAUCACACGUACAUAACCAUCAUCUUAAAAAUGAAACAAAAGGGUUAAUUCCAAGACUAACCCCUCAUCAAUAGCUAAAAAUUUAAUUUAAUCCUUAAAACAAAAUUAAAUUUUAUUUUAAUCACAAAAAUAAAAGAAAAUUUUUAAAUAGCUCAAUAAUUCAUAGAAAUGUUAAAAAAUCUAAAUUUUAUCAUUUCAUUUAAAAUUUCUGAAAUUAAUAAUAUUUUACCGAUCCAUCAUUUUCCAUUACAGGUGAGGUUGAAAGGAAGGAGUGCCCAACCGAUAAAUGUGUACAACGGCGGCAUUAAUAUAUUAAGAAAAAUCCAUUAGAUCUCAGUUGGAUUUAUUCUACAAUUUAACCAAAUAGGGUUUAUUUCUUACAUAUUUUUUGCCGACAGAAAAUAACCUAAAAGUUUUGUCGGACAAAUACACUAAUGUUAACAAAUUAAGAAAUUCUGCUACAAUUUCGAAUCCCACUAUAAACGAGUGGUGGAUAUUAUUAUAAAACAAAAACAUUUUUAGAUAUUUAUUUAUUGGUAUAAUUUUACCAAACCCUGAAGAAUUAAUUUGCAAAUUCAUCCUUAAAUUGUAAAAUAUUUAAAUAAAAUAAUCAAAUUAAAAUAUUGUUUUAAGUAAGUUUUUUCGAUAAUUUAGUUAUUAGUUUUAACAUUGAAUAUUGUUGAGAGAGUCGACUCCUUUCAGAAAAGUUUUCAAAAUACUGUCCAUCAAGUAGUCUAUCAAGUAGUCAAUCAAUUCCCUAACAAUUGAAAGUAUUGUCCCUCAAAGGGUUUUGUUUUUUGUACUCUAUGGAGAGUUAGCGUACCAUAAGCAGCUACCCUGAGUAGUUCAUCAAAUAAAUCGAUUGAAACAGUACUUUAAUUCAAGAAUUGGAUUGUAAUGUUUUUUAAAUUUACGGACCAAAGUAAAAUUGGCCAAUAAUUUGAAGAGGUUUGAUGCAAUUAACUCUUAAAAUUUCCCCCUUAUAUCGGUGUUGGCUGGUUAGACUCAGGGUGUCUCAAUCAAAACCCUAUGAUUGCCUUGGUUGCAGAUAUGGCUACUACACAUUUGCAUAUAGUGAUGGUUCCAUGGUCAGCUUUUGGUCACCUUAUAACCUUAUUUCAACUCGCUUUACAAUUAGCCACAGCUGGUAUCAAAGUCUCCUUCAUAUCAACCCCUGGAAACAUUAAAAGACUGCCCAAUGUUUCAUCAAACAUAGCAACCCUUUUAGACUUAGUGGCCUUUCCAUUGCCAAACUUAGACGAUGAGCAACAGCUGCCCGAAGGUUGUGAGGCGACUGUCAAUAUACCUUUCAAGAAAAUCCAGUACCUGAAGAUUGCAUAUCGACAACCGGUGAAGCAAUUCGUCAUAGAUCAAAAGCCAGAUUGGAUUUUCAUCGAUAUGAUGCCUCAUUGAAUGGUGGAAAUAGCUCAAGAACAACAUAUCCCUCUCGUUAUUUUCUCGGUUUUUUCGGCUUCAGUUUAUAGUUUCUUUGUGAAUCAGGCGUUGACGAGGCCAUCCCCGGAAAGUUUGAUGUCACUGCCUGAGUGGUUUGGUUUUUCUUCUCCAUUGCGUUAUCCUAAAUCCUUAGCUACUGCCAUGCACGAAGGGUUUCGUGGGGAGAAUGCUUCCGGGAUAUCGGAUGCUGACAGGGUUCACAAAAUUUUACAGGCAUCUAAAGCUGUUGCGUUUCGUACUUGCCCUGAAUAUGAAGCUGAGUACUUAAAUGCAUUCGAGAAGAUAACCGGUAAUGGCAGCAAACCAGUGUUUCCCAUUGGUUUGCUACUACCGGAAAAACCCCAAGGAAGACAAACCGAUGAAAUUUUUAGGUGGCUCGAUGUUCAAAAGCCUAACUCGGUUGUGUUUGUAGGGUUCGGGAGCGAGUGCAAGCUACGCAAAGAACAGACACAUAAGAUAGCAUAUGGGGUAGAACUAUCGGGGUUACCGUUUUUAUGGGCACUAAGGAAACCCCACUGGGCUUUCAAUGAACUCGAUACGUUGCCUUGUGGUUUUCAAGAGCGUACGCGAGGGAGAGGGAUAGUCUGCUUCGGUUGGGCACCGCAGCUAGAGAUAGUAGGACACUCUUCAAUAGGGGGCUCUAUGUUUCACACCGGGUGGAGCUCGAUUAUCGAAACAAUGCAGUUCGGACACUCUCUCGUGGUGCUACCUUUUGUGAUAGACCAACCAUUGAAUGCAAGGCUUCUAUUAGACAAGGGUUUGGGUGUAGAGAUAGAGAGAAGUGAAGACGGAUCGUUUAGCAGGGAUGACAUAGCUAAAGCUCUGAGACUUGCAAUGGUGUCUGCAGAAGGAGAGAAACUAAGAAUCCAAACUAGGGAAGCAGCUCAAGUUUUCGGGAACCGAGACCUGCAUGACAGUUACUUCAAUAGAUUUGUGGAGUAUCUGAAGGAAAAUGGAGCUGCAAAUUAAACAAAAAUGGAGGAAUGAAGGAUAUGCUAAGUUAUUUAUUUCGGACAAAAUGUUAGGUACCUUCCGUUUUAUUUCAAUGUCCACUUUAAUAAUUUGACUUGCCCUAUAUGUUGUCCCAUGUUAUAUCACCAUUUUCAAUGACUGCAAUGGCUUGAAAUUAAACGACACCAAAUUCAUAGUUGCCCUGAUCAGUACAACACACUACUAGAGUUUCUUUCUUGAAAAACAUUUUCAACUAAAUUGGCGAUGUAUAAAAUAUUAGUUCACAUGAUUUAGAAUUGUGGUUUCUAGUCCUACGGCGUCCUAUUGUCUACCAAAACAAUAUAUAUGCAAAGAAAAUUCUUAACCAAAUCAUACCUAGAGGCGUUCAUGGCCGGGCAGCUCGGCCAGCUUUGGGCCUGGUUUGAGUUUAUGUUUUUCAACCUUAAAGACUGUGCCAGUUUACGGUUUAUAAAUUAUAAAAAUAUAAAAAUUAAUUUUAUAUUAGUAUUUAUAUAUUUUUUAUAAUUAAAUUAAAUAAAAAAUUGUUUUUAAACAAUAAAAUAGGCCUUUGGAGGGGCAUAAGCACACCGUGAUCGGGUAAGGAAUUUUUUGGAACUAGGACUCAGCUCGGUCCAUGAACACCUCUAGUCAUACCCAUUUCUUCAUGAAUCCAUUUAAAAUGGUGACCCUCCAGUCCCACAACAACGCAAAAACACGAAAUCACCAAACACGAUUUAUAUCUCAAGAUAUAUUCCAGUUGUGGAAGACGUCUAACCGCAUAAAUUGCAACUUGGGUGCAAAAGAUCUCAUUCUCUUAGCAUCGCUGACCUAUAGGACAUUGGAAUGUGCUGCCCAAUGUAGCACCAUGCUUCUUGAUAAUCCGGACAGAUUGCAGAAGAAUAUCUUGGUGUGUAGAGUACAAUUCAUCUUUGCUCUAUAAUUGCAUAUCAAAACAACAAUGUAGAUAUCAGUGAAAUGAGAAAAGGUAAACAAAAGUCAGGCUUAAAAUGAUGAAUUUCAGAGAUGAUCCCAACAAAUAUCUAGCAUUAGCAAAUCGCAACAAAAUCACUGAAUGCGAAAACAAUGUUAAUAAGUCGAGGUUGAAGGCUAGGUCAAGGCAAACCAAAGAUCAAAAAAAAAAAAAGAGUUGAGAUUAAUUAGGUAGACCAAGCUCAUACAAGAAGCAUCUGAAAAGUACCGAGGAUGAGAGGUUACCAUAUGUCUGAGAUUGCAUCCAACAGUUAGUUCUGCAUAAGAACCUUCUACAUGAGACAGGAAACAGUAAGGGACCUCCUUUCCCAAGAAAACUUUUGAGUUUGAUUUCAGCAUGCUCUUGAUCUCAUUUGAUAUCUCGGGAACCUUGUCCAGAUCUUCAAUUAGCAAGGGAAUUUUGGUCACCACUGCACGCCAUCGAGCACGUGACUUGUUUACAAUAACCUGAAAUUUUACGUAGUAAACAAUACAAUGAUAAUUUUGGCCUUUCUAGUACGACUACUGUGUGUAAGUAAACAAAUAAGCAUACGCUCAUAAGAGUUGAUGAGUUGAAAACAAGGAUUUCUUCUCUUUCAACAAAAGAAAUGAAAAAGAAAAAUACCAACCUGACUGGAGAAAAGUGAGUUCGGAACUAGAUCCGGAAAUCUCUCAGAGUUAAGUACUGUUGUGCUUGCCAGUCCCAUUUCAACCACCUGAACUUUUACAGAUCCUGCCUGCAGUAAGAACAAUUUAUUAGCAAUCCUGCAGAAAAGAAAAAUAAAUAAAAGAACAAACUAAAACUUUUAAAAAUCACAAGUGGAAAUCAAAAUUUAUCUGGCUACCACCAAAACAAAGGGCAUUCAGGUUAUAUGACAGAGUUCCCGAUAUGAUGAAAUAAAUAACUGACAUCUCCGCAAAGGUCAGAAUUACCCAUGACCUCAUAUAUCAUGAAGCAUGUAUCAAAUAAACCCCAAUUAACUUCAGAGAAUUAAAUUAAGAGUCGGUAAAUAGUGGAAUUAGGAGGGAAAGAGCCAGUUCAGGCUAAGUUGAAAGAUGAUAACUGAUUCAAACAGACAACUCAGAAUUAGCCAGCAAGAAUAAUAAAUUAUUAAGUACAACAUCCAACCAUGCAAUUUUCUAAGAGAAGGUCAGUUCCUAACAAUAUAGGAUGAAAUACAGGGUUCAUCAGAUACAUUUAGAAAUAAAGAAAAAACUAUUUUUGUCUUUGUAGACUGUAACUAUUACAAAAGCUGAGUGGAUCCUUUCACACGGAAAGAAAGAAAACAUUUUUCCUUCACUAAAAGAAAAUUACACGUUCAUUUGUGUUACCUUUAUUGUAUCACCCAAGGAAAGGGUUUCGAAAACUGCAUGUACAAUCCACUGAGCACAUUUCCAAAGAUGUCCCUGGCAGCAAAAGCAGUAGCCACUCUUAUUAAGGAGAUUGAAUUAGUUAUAUGACUACUUUGAAGAUGAUAAACGAGUGACGCAUACUAUAUCUUCAAAUAUGAAGAUUCAAGAAACAGCAAUUUGGCGCCUUUCUAUUUUGGCAAUAAAGCAUGUAAAAUUAGCAUUUCCUAAACCAUUGCAUAUUCUUAAAAAUCUUUGUAACAACAAAGAUUGAUGAUAAGAAAAACACUAAAAGAAAAAGUCUUAUUUGGGUUAACACAGAUAAAAGCACUGGCGUUUUGUACUGUAAACUUAACCAAUUGAAUGAUCUUAUUGUUAAAAUGGACUGAAACAAAUGAGAACAUAUGCAUUUAACAGAAAUACCUACCUCCUACGCCACCAACUGUCAGAAUAGAUUGCACAGCUACGCCAGAUGCCUCUGCUAAAGCCAUAAUCCCAAUAACAAAUAGACCGACGGAUGAAAACCUGUCUAUAGUUAACAACUUCUCCCUAUCAAGCGCUGCUAAAGUCUUAGUAGCCAGUGCACAACCAAGUACGUUAGUUUUCCAACGAUGCAAAAACCAGACAAAUGAAAGGACAGCUGCACCCCUCCAUGCCUGCACAAUGUAUUGUGAUGGAACAGUACUCGGUGCCAUGCACCAUCAUGCAACUGCAAGUCCAGGUAUCUUUAUUCAUUAUUCAUAGACCCCCAAAAAAAUGUAGAAACAUAUGAACAAAUGGAUACAAAGAGUUGAACAUAGAAAUCCAGAACCACUGACAUUUGAGAGAUUGCCAUGAAGGUAAUUACAUAUCUCACUGGAUCCUCCAAAGCUCCCCACAAGCUUUUAUCAUAUGGCACUUGAUCCCCAAGCAUUCUUCCAGAUGGCAGGAUUGAAGUUUGUAUCGCAUACUCAUGAAAUCUUCUCAAAAGCCUAGGCAAGACCACCCAAGCUCAUAUGGUGAGAGUCAAAGUAAACCCAACAGGAAGAACCACAUCCUUAAGAUACGGAUGAGUAUCAAGCAACUGAUUAACAUGAGGCUUCAAUUCAUUGGAGACUUCUUUAGCCUUCUGCCCGGUAUAACCUAUUGUAUCCGCAGCACUAUGCCAAGCAUCUUUGACUUUAUCACCCCAACCACUACCAAUACCAUCACUUUUACUAACAUCUACUUCCGCUCCACCAGAAGCAGCUGAAACCUUAUCUACCUUGCUACUGAAAGACAAUGACUGCGAUUGAUGUAUCAACACUGGGCUUAUCAAAACAAAAGGAAACACACUCCGGAAAGGCAAAUUUGAUGAAGUCGAGGAUAAAGCAGACAUGGGAUUGGAUUUGUGAUAACAGACCGCAACUUUACUACAAAUAUUCAUAAACUUUGCAGCACAACGAAGUUUUGUUUUGUUAUAGAAACCAUUCACAGAACCAUAAGAUGGUCUGACAUAGUUUUUAUAAGCAAUUCCUGUAGGCUUCAUUAAUGAAUUGUAUAAAGCCGAUGACGAUUUUGAAGAGGAAUAUAGGGAAUUAGAAAAUAACCUCAGUCUUGAAAGCUUAAUUCCAAUCAUUACAGCAACAAAGCAACUGAGAGUUACUCACAUUGUCCAAAAAAGUGAACAUCUACAAAAUUUGAAUAACAAACUGAAUCCAGAAACAAUUCUCAAUCUGCAAAUAACAAAAUCUUCAACGAAUUAUUAUCAAAGCUAAAUUCAAAAACGUCAAUCACAAUUUCAUGAUCAAGAAAAUUUGUGCAGAAUUGAACAGUGGAAUAAAUUUAGAUACAGUUAAUACAAUUUCAAUAAUAAAAAUACGAAUUAACAAAAAAAAAAAAAAGAGUUAGAACUAACGGUUUCCGCGAGUAGAUUUCAGUUCAGUUGGUUUGAGGCGAUAAGUAAUUCAAAUUCAUAUGCAUAAAGGACCUAAAGUAACUCAAAUUUCUAAGCGAUUAGAUUUUUUUUUUCUUGCAUUUUCUCAGCAACCAAACGAAACAUGGAGAUUAUUAUAAGGAAUCAAUAAUAAAGUAAUAAAAGGUAUAAAAAACUUCACUAACCUUUGACGGUAGCCAUUGAGGGUAUCUUUGAGGUGAAGCUUCCAAAGAAGAACAAAAGAUCAAUGGAGGGCGAAAACGGAGGCUUGUCAGGGACUUGUUUAGCUCAUGAAAAUGUGUGUAAUCCCGUUAUCAUACAUGUUUUAUGUUCGUCUGACGUUGUGAUGGAUUAUAAGUAUAACGAUCUAAGGGUUGAAAUAUAUCAUACCUUGCCUAUUCAAUGGGUCAUUUAUAAAUCCGCUUACCUUUCGAUGUUUACAUUUUUGUUGAUAGUUAAAUUUAGCCUUUCGAUCUUUAAAAAAAAUUAUAUUUAAUAAUUAAUCUUAAAAAAAAAAGUUAAAUUAUAGUUUUUUUAACGAAAUUGAUAAUUAAAAGGUUAAAUUUUUAAAUACAAUAGCUCAUAUGACAAUUAAAGUUUAAUUCAUACUAUUUUAUUUUUUUGAAUAUUUUUGUAAUUUUAUAUUAUUUGCUAUCGUGAUAUACAAGAUAAAUAAUAUUAUAUCAAUAUAAAGUAUACAUGGAUUGCGUAGUGAGUUAACACACCAAAAUCGAUAAAAAUUUAAUAUUUUAGUCAACAUUUCCAUUAAAAAAUGAUUCAACUCUUUUUGAAAUAUUAACAACUAAAUUUAACUAAAAAAAAAAGAAUAAAGGUCAAAUUGAUAGAAAAUAUAAAUAUUGAAUGUUAAAUUUAACGUUAUGCCUAUAAAUGGAUUAAUAUAAUUUUUUUAUCUCUAAACUAAGCAACUAGGUCCAUUUUGAUGAAUACAUUUUUUUAUCCACUUUGAUAUUUAAACUUGGUGGCUUUUCCUACUCUAGUAUCUAAACUUGAAUUUCAUAAAAGUGUGAUGACAUAGUAUCAUAAUAUUGUGCUAUAUCAUCACAUUUUUACGAAUUUCAAGUUCAAAUAUAGAUGAGACAAAAAAAUACUCAUACCAAAAUAGACUUAACUACUAUGGUUAGGGGCCAAAAAUUACACUAACUCAUAAAAUUACAAGGCCUUCCUUCCUUUCUCUUUUCUUUUCUUUUUUAAUUUUAUUUUUUUGUUGUAAC